GAGACUUUGGAAAAAGCAGGAGAUUUUUUGGGACGGAUAACAAAGAUCUUUAUUUAUCAUUUCAAGGGUUGCUUAACCGCAAUAUGAACUAGAAGUAAUUCUGACUAUGGUUAGUUUAAUUCUAUAAGCCACCUCUAUUUUCUCCUUGUUCUCCAGUAGAUAUGAUGUAUGAUAUGCGCAGGAAUACAGUGCUCGAUCAAAGAAAUGCCUGCUUGAGCAUCCAAUAUAAUUGGCAGAAAGCACAAUGUUUCGACCUUAUAUUGAUGUUUAUGUUCUAAUAAUUCGAUAAGCAGAUGUUGAUAAGUGAUGUUGGCCGAUUAAACAUACAAAGGAAUUGACAACUCAUGAUAUCUUAUAUAAAAUUAAUUAAAUUGAUCAAAUUAUAAUUUACUCCAAUCUCUAAUAAAAUAUAUGUAUAUGAUAAUUAAGUUUACUAGGCAUGUCGAUCGGCUAGUAGAUUCAAGAUACAUCCCACUGCAAACAUAAUUAAUCACAAUAACGAUAAAAUUAUUAAUUGCACACUAAAUAAAAACUAAGGAAGCACGAGCAUCUAUCAUAAGUCAGAAUAAGGUCUACAUCGUUCUAGGUCACAUGACUACCACAUUCUACUAAAAGCAGGAGCACAACCAUUCAUAAUCAGGCCGUAUAGAUGCCCCUUCAUCCAGAAGACAAAAGUAGAGAAGUUGGUCAAAGAAAUGCUACAUAGCAAAUCAUACAAUCCAUUUGCCUCUCCAGUCCUCCUAGUCGAGAAAAAGGAUGGAUCAUGGAGGUUUUUGUGUAGAUAAUAUACGGCUAAAUAACCUAAAAAUCAUAAACUAGUAAAUAUAGGAAUAGUUCAUAAUUAUAUGAGAGAAUCUGUUGAUUCAAUUUUAUCAUCGACAAAUUGGUGCUGUCUUUGAGAAUAGUUUUGAAUAAAGUAGACUCUAUUACAGCUUAAAAAGUUUUGAAAUCUAUAAGAUCUAAGAUAAAUGAGUGGGAAAAUAGGAAAGCUAUCAUCGGAGGUUGAAAUGAAAUGAUAUAGCCGUAACAAUUCAGAUCUAGCCAAAUUUAUAUACCCCUAGACGUAUUAUUAUUUAAUUUCUCUUAAAGCCUUAAAUGCAAAAUGACGAUUUAAUUUUCCUUCAACAUAAUAAACAUCAAUGACUUAUUAUUUUAAAAUAAUUAGAGCUUCAUAAAUAUAAAACAAUUAAAUUGAAUGUUAAUUUAAUUUACAAAUCGAAUUCAAUAUUUAAAUAUGAUAAUAUUGAGUCUGCAUUACCACAAGUUGUCAUCUCGAAUCAUCUCACUUUUAUUAGUUGAAAAAUGAGAAGGGAUAAAGUGGAAUGAGAUAAUGCACAGUAAGUGAACCUCUUACAAAUAAUGCAUGCUUAUGAUAUGCAUAUGAAUUACUUUAACAUCGUGACCUCACUUGGUGUAUCGUUUAGCCAAUUAAAAUUCCAUGGACAAUUAUUAAUUGGAACCUAUUUCAUCCUACCAUAAUAUCGCAAAACGGUUAACAUAAAUAUUAUCAUUGAACAUUGGUCGUGGUCCGUUGAUUCCCCACGUCUCAUUUCUCACUCAACCUUUUAUGACAUAGAAAUAUAUCUUCUAAUAAAAUAUUUAGGACUUUUAUACAUUUAAUCAUAUGACGUACCCAUGAAAAUGUGGGGUGGGGUGGGGGUUACUUACUUUGAGCCCUAGCAAUGGCAAGUGGAUAUAUCCCUAAUCGUCCACGAAAUUAAUGUGUCAAAGUCCUAAUUCAUUACCACUUAUUUAGAAAUUUCAUUAUAUACAUAUUUUUUAAACCGUCUAGACAUAUCUUUAAUAUCAAUUAUCAAGCUAUUCAAAUUUUCUCUUUGACCAUUUAGUUAUUCAACGAUACGAUAUUAAAAUAUUUAAGUACGUUACAAGACUAAAAUAUGGUUUUGAUUAAAUCAAGAGACUAAAACAUCCCUUGAUAUUGCCAGCCCAAUGUAACUUUAUAAUGAUGCAUCUAGGCUCUUAUCGUAAUAGGAUUUAUAUGGUUUUGAUUUUAAUUAUGGAUUAUCUAAUUAAUAGCCCGUGUUAAUUAGAUGGAUAUCUUAUCAUUCAUUGACUGCAUGAAGUAUGUUUGGAUGAUAUUAAAUCUGAUAUUUUAUGUUUCCACAGUUUAUAAUGUCUCACUCUUUCGAGUUAAUUGUUUGUUAUUGGAACCUUGAUUGGGAAUAAUUAUGUGACAUGGAAAUGGGACGUAGAAGUAACAUUUGGUCUUUUGGAUUUGAAUUUUGCAAUAGAGAACAAGCUUUUGAAACCCAGAGAUAAAAGCACUCUUGAAUAUGUGUCUAAGUAUGAAAAGUGGGAUAAGGCCCAUAAACUUUGUUUAAAGAUUAUUAAGCGCUAUAUAUCCGAUUCCAUUAUAAGUGCUAUCCUAGACAAUGAAAAUGCCAAAAGUUUUAUAAAUGCCAUUGGAGAGAGAUUUAUUGAGUCUGAUAAAGCUAAAACUAAAGAUCUGAUAGACAAAUUGAUGAAUAUGAGAUAUGAUGGUAUAAGUGGUGUUAGGGAGUAUAUUAUGAAGAUGAUAAAUAUAUCAUCUAAAUUGAAGGCUCUUGACAUUCGUAAUGUGGAACUCUUCCUAAUCUAUCACGUUUUAAAAAGCCUUCAUAGCCAGAUUAAUCAACUUAAGGUUGCAUACAAUGCUCAACGAGAUAAAUGAGAUUUGAAUUACCUUAUUACAGUAAGUGUCUAAGAUGAGUAUAUGAUGCAGCGUGAGACUGUUGAAAUUGUACAAUUAGCUUUUUAGCCAUCAUAAGACAAGGGGUUUUCGCAUAACCAUAAGUUUAAGUUUCAUAAGGGUAAUAAGUCAUACCAAAAUCAACAAAAUAAAAAUUUGGGAGGGUUAGACUUCUGGUGGUCCCAAAGUAAUUAUAAAAAAAAAUGAUCAGCGCAAAUUCUGCAAAAAAGAAGGGUCACUAGCAGAAAUGUUGUUUUAAGUUUAAGACUUGGUUAGAAAAGAAGAAAUUUUUUGAAGGAGUUUACAAGCAAACGAAGGCCAAGUGAGAAUGAAGUGAGCUUGUAUGUCGGAAAUGGAAUAAUGGAAUGAUUAAGUUGUUUUAUAAUUCUCGUUUGAUUGGGAAUUGCCUUUUAUGGGAUGAUUUAUAUAAAUUGUCUUCUACUCCUUUUGGUAAAAUCUCGUGUUACUAAUGCAUUAAGGAAAAGGGCUCUAAUUCAUGAAUCAUCCUCUAUGUUGUGGCAUAAGCGGUUGGGUCACAUUUCAAGGGAUAGAAUGAAAGUAUUGGUAAAGAUUGAGAUACUUUUUCGUAGACUUCUUUGAUAUUGACACAUGUGGGGAUUGAAUAAGAGGAAAGCUAACUAAGUCUACAAGGAAAGGUUUUACUAGGAGCGAUAGUAUUUUGGACUUGAUACAUACUGAUAUUAAUGGACUUUUGCCUUCUUCCACGUGUGAGAACAAAUACUCCAUAACCAAUUGAUGAUUUCUUACGAUAUGGAUAUGUUUACCUGAUUAAUGAUAAAUUCUAUGCAGUUGAGAAAUUGGAGAUUUUCAAAAUGGAAGUGGAGAAACAACGUGGAAAAAAUAUCAAAGUUGUAAGAUCUGACCAUGGUGGAAAGUACUAUGGCAAGUAUAACGAGUAUGGUCAAAACAUGGGUGAUUUUGUAAAUUUUUUACAAAAAUGUGGAAUAGAGUCUCAAUAUGCUAUGUUAGGGACACCUGAGCAGAAUGACGUUUCUCAAAGAUGUAAUCGAACUCUGAAAGAUAUGGUCAGAAGUAUGAUGAGUACCACAAGUUUGCCAUAAUAUCUAUGAGGUGAAGCAUUAAAAACUGCUAUGUAUAUUUUGAGCAGAGUUCCGAGUAAAGCUGUUGCAAAGACACCUUUUGAAUUAUGGAUAUGACACAUAAGCUAAAUUUGGCUCAUUCAAAGUUUGGGGGUGUUCAGCCGAGGUUAGGAUUUAUAAUCCAUUUGAAAAGAAAUUAGACCCGAAAUUAACUCCUAGUUACUGUUAGAAUUUUUUAGUCCAUUACCACUAAAUUUCUGGAGAAUAAUUUUGGUGAUAGUGAAAGUUCUACAUUGAGAAAAUAUUUUGUUGAACAAAAUCAAGUUGUUGUUCUAGUUCUUAUUAUACAGGAAAGAGUUGGCUCUCAACUAAUUGAAGUUAUUAAUGAAGAAAAGAACUGAUGAACCAAGAUGAACUUCCAAUUCUUCCUCCAACAACGAUUGAGUCAAUUUCUGAGCGACAAGUUAGAAUAUCGCAUAGGGAAAGGAGGUAUGCAUUACUAGUUAUUAUAUUACCUAUUUAUUGGAAAGUGAUUUUAAUAUUGGACAUGUUGUUGAUCCUGUAACUUAUAAUCAAGCAUUAACUACUACUGAGUUAUAUAAAUGGAUAAAUGCUAUGGAAGAUGAAAUGAAUUCUAUGAGGUAGAAUAAAGUUUGUGAACUUUUUAAACUUCAUCAACAUGCCAAAGCUAUAGAAAACAAGUGGAUUUUCAAAAGCAAGUUGGAUUCUAAAUGAAAUGUUGAACUAAAGAAAACAAGAUUGGUUGCAAAAGGGUUCACUUAGCGAUGGGGCAUUGAUUAUAUUGAAAUAUUCUCACCUGUUUUGUCGAAAAAUUAUUUUCGAAUUAUCAUGACACUUGUGGCUCAGCAUAAUUUGGAGCCUCAUCAAAUGAAUGUUAAAACAACUUUUGUAAAUUGAGAUCUUUCUGAAAAUGUUUAUAUGAUAUAAUUUGAAUGUUUUGUUGUGAAGAGAAAAGAAAACUUGAUAUGCAAAUCAAACAAAUUCUUGUAUGGCCUCAAACAAAUAUCACAAAAGUGGUAUUUGAAAUUUGAUGAUGUUGUAACCUUUAUUGGUUUUGUCAAAAAUACAGUUGAUCAUUACAUUUAUCUCAAAACUAUUGAGAGAAAUUUUAUUUUUCUUGUCCUAUAUAUUGAUGACAUUUUACUUGUCGGUAGUGACUUGGGAUUGCUUCAUGAGACAAAGAAAAUGUUGUUUGUUAAUUUUGAGGUAAAAGAUCUUGGAGAGGUUUUUUAUGUGCUUGGCAUUGAAAUAUAUCAUGAUAGAAAUUGUGCCUUGCUGGGACUUUCUUAGAAAGUUUACAUACUACGUUUUCUGGAAAAUGUUCAAUAUACAGAACUGUACACUUGUGAUGUACCUAUCUUAAAAGGGAAUAAGUUUAAUGAAACUCAAUGCCCAAGAAAUGAGCUAGAAAGGAAAUCUAUGAAGAUGAUACUAUAUGCUAGUGUUAUAGAGAGUUUGAUGUAUGCUCAAUUUUGCACUAAACUAUGUAUAGUCUACGCAAUCAGUGUCCUUAUUAGGUUUCAGUCAAAUCCAAGACAAGCAUUGGAAAGCAGCUAAAAAAGUUAUGAGAUACUUGAAGAAAAUUGAAGGUUAUAUGCUUACAUUCCAACGUUUAAAUCACCUUGAUGUGGUAGGUUAUUCAUAUUCUGAUUUUGCUGGAUAUCAAGCUGAUUUGAAAUCAACCUCAGGUUCUAUUUUCAAGAUAGCUGAUGGUGUUAUCUCUUGGAAAAGUGUUAAACAGACUCUAGUGGCAUCUUCUACUAUACAUGCUAAAUUUAUGGCAUGUUAUGGGGCUAUAGUCUGAGCCGUUUGCUUAAAAAAUUUCAUUUAUGGGUUGAAAGUUGUUGAUUCCAUCUCGAGACCAAUCACUAUUUAUUGUGAUAAUAAUGCACAGUGUUCUUUUCAUUGAAUAAUAAAAGUUUUAGUAGGUCAAAGUAUAUUGAUAUCAAAUAUUUGGUUAUUAGAGAUAGAGUCAAUGAAAGAUUGACGAAAAUAGAGCAUAUGAAUAUAGAGGUAAUGAUUGCAGAUUCUUUGAUUAAGGGACUUGCUCCAAAAAAUUUUAAGACACAUGUUGCUAAUUUUUGUAUUGUGGAAACAUUUUUUUUUUCGUUAGUAAGAGUUAUUUAUGUAAAAGAAAUAUGAUUUGGCUUAAUCCCUUUACGAGGUACGUAGGUAACCCAUAUAUUUUUCGGGUACAGCCUCUCCCAGUAAUAAAAUAUAUUUUUCCUUAUCCAUGAAUUAUUUUAAGCAUGCAUUUUGCUUAUAUCUUUUUAUUAUGAUAUUAUUAUAAUCUCGAGAUAUGAUGGAUAAAGAUAUAAGAUGAGUAUCUCUUAGAAACAUGUGGCUUCAUUUUGAUCUGAAGCAUUAUGAUGACCAAUAUAAAUUAACUCAGUUUUUUUAUCACAUUUGGUGCUAAGUUCAUACCACAUAUUACCACAUUGAUUGGAUAAUGGGGAUCCAUGUCGAUAAAGAUGUUGGCAUUUUAUAGCGGUAGAAUGGUUUAAAUCGUUUAAAUGGUAUAACGAUUUUCAUGUUUGAUAUCAACAUUCUUGUUGGACCGGAUGUCAAAAGUUUUAUUAUAGCAAUCAAAUAUUUGUCGAAGUGGGAGAAUGUUGGAAUAAUUCUAAAUAUGGGUUUUCCAUUCGAUUGUAAAUUUUACGGGUUAGAAUUAUGGCUCAUAAUGAUACGGUAAUUAAGCCCAAAUAUGUUAAGUGAUCAUUUUAUGGGUUAUGUUUUAUAUGAUGUGAUGAUUUUAAGUAUGUGGGCCGAAAAUAGAUGUAAAUUCUAAUUUAGGGUUUAAGUCAUAGUAGGAUGGCUCAAUAAUUUCCUAUAUAAAUGCUAGAUCCUCUCUCCUCUUCGUAUUAUUUUAUUGGCUUGCUCCAUUGACGGUUAAUACUUUGUGAGAUGCAAGAAGGGGAAAAUCUAGCUGCUAAUAUUAAAAUUCAUGAUGUCUUCCGCAAGUAUGAAUUUGAAAUUUUGAACUAUCGAUUUAUUAUUUUGUGAUUCUUGUUUCUUAGUAUGGUUAUCGUUAAAUUCAAUAUGGUCAUGAGUCCAAAUGGGAAAUGAUAAAAACAGAUUGUCCAUGAAAGAACAUAAAUUUCUGAAAACAGCAGAAGUGAGAAUGAAAAAUAAUUAAGAAAAAAGCUAGAAUAUAUGCAUGUGCAUCAUAUCACUAAUUCACAUGUUUUCAUUAGUACUAAGGGCCCCUAUUUCUCAGAUCCUUGUAUUGUCUCUAUCAAAAGAGAAUCAUAACAGCAAAACAAAAAUACCUUGGCUAAUUAAAGUACUCAUGACUUGAAUAAUUACUUUUUUUUUUUUUUUUUAAAGAAUAUAAUGUGUGAUGAAGAUAUGCACUUAAUUAACCUAGGUAGCAUGUGCCUUUGUGUAGCAUUAUAUGAAUGCAUAUGAUUAAAAGCUGAAAACAGCCUAUAAGUAUAUUUAUAUGUUGUCAUGGAUCAAGAAAUUUCCAAGAAACUAUUGAGGGAGAUGAAUGAGUUUGAAAGGAAGGAAUGCCACGUGGCAGAAAAUCAAGAAGCAUGAGUAUUUAAUUGAAUGAAUAGUGCAUUAUAUGAAUUAUUUUAAUCAUGAAAUUUUCAUAUUUUCUUGAAAGCUGGAGUUUUAUAUAUUAUAGAAGCUUAAAAAUAGUGUGAAAGAUGCAAAAUCAAGAUCUAUUGCACAUGGCAAGAAAUGAAAGUGGUUUUCUUUCUUGAAUUUUACGAAUUUCUGUAUUCCACAACGCCUCAACAUAGAUUAUGAAAAAAGAGAUUAAUAAAAUAUUUCAACUAGAGAAAGAAAGUCAUGUAGUAUGACAAAAUCUUCUAUUGUAUAUGCUCUACAUGAGAAAUACACUUGUAAAAAGCAAAAUUUUGGUCUCACCGGCUAAUUUUUUAAUCUUUAACAUGAAAAUGCUGCUUUUAUUUUCUUUCUUUUGGUAUGCUUACUUUUUAAAUCAUGCUACUUGAUUGGUUACUCAAGUCUUCAUGAGUUAAAAUCAUUAUUAAUUAACUUCUUGAAUGUUGGUUAAUUAGAUUUUUUGCUAACAACAUUUAGAAAUUCAAAGAGUCAAAGAGAGGUAGGUCAUUAGAGUUGAUCAAAUCAUAGCAUUUCUUGCUGCACAUAUAAUCACAUUUUAAUUAGUAAUAAUAAUAUUAUUUGACUAAAAUUGCAAUUACAAUCAUUGAACAAAUGAUUAGAUAAAAAAUCAGUCCUUUUAAUUUAUUGACCGAUGGAAGGAAAUUUACCCCUCUUGUCAAGAGUUUAUCAGCCAAUUGAUUAUGCUAAAUGUCAACUCAUCCUACGUGUAUGUGGGUCCAAAAUAAGUGGUUCUAUUUGUUUAUUUGCUUAAUUUGUUCAAUAUUUAAGCUUACACUAAAUUGUCGCGUAAGACAUAUUGAAUAAAAUUAAGAUAAAACGAUAUGAAAUGUUGAAGUAGUACAUUUGUCAACAACCAAGAUAUAUUGUGAAUCAAAUAAGAAAGUCAAUUACCACUUGAGUAGUCGAGUAAAUGAAUGAUGUCUUGUAAAUAAUAAAUUGUUUGUAAUACAAUAACAACAAAAGAUUGUGGAUAUCAAAUAAGAAAAGUCUUUUAACUCAUUGUGUAGUCAAGUCACCGAAGAAAAAAUUAUAAUAAUUUGUAUGUAUAAUAAUAAAAAAGUAUUGUAAAUAUCAAACAGAUCAUGCUACGUGUACAUUAUGGUUUAUAUCAUUGUUUACACUAUUCCACGUGAACACCAUCAUCUCCCUUGAUUUUCCCAACACCUUUUCAUACUACUUCUCAGAUCGUGCCACAUAGGGGAGGAUGCCAACUAUAAUGUAAAGGAAAAUGUACAUAUGGCUCACAUAACCAAUCAUAUUAGGUGCAUAAUUAAACGCCAAAGAUAAUCAUAAUACGGAUUAAAUCAAAUUGACAAGUUUAAUUAAUUAAUUAAUUCUUUGACAAGGACUUCAUUUCGUUUUAUUUAUUUAUUUAUAACUAAGUGGGAAAUGGAAUAUAAUACUUAAUAAUUUAGAUAAAUUUAUUAUUAAAAGAUAUAAAAUAUAUGGAAAAUAUCCAGCCAGGAAGAAUCACAAGAAUUUAUUAAUUGCUUUCACAUUACUCUUAAGUCAUAUCUUGAUUUGACCAUUGAAGUUUAACAGGAAUUUCUCCUCCUCUCUCCGAGAUAGUGAAGAUUAAGUUCUUGUGUGGAAGUAAUUUAAAUAAUGCUACUUGUAAUUAAUCACUAUCGUAAUUGUCCUACAUAAUAUACUUGUGGCGAUUAGUGAUAUAAUAUAGGAGGCAAAAAAACUACUACAUUAACACAUCAAAUCACAAAUCGUCACGUAAAAGGUUCCGUAGGACGACUACUGCAGUGUGCAAUUAUGAAUAGCGUUACUAAAGUAAUUUUGUUGAAAAAUAUUAUAGAGAAAAGUUAUAGAAAAAAUUCAAAAAUUAAAUAUUUUUAUAGAAUUUAUUGUUUAAAAUGAAUAUGAAAAAAGCAAUUUUCAAAUAAUCACUUCUAAACAAGAAUUGAGUACAAAAUAUAGAAUUACAGUUUUUUUUUUCCUAAAGAACAAUAUUGUGUAGGUCAACUAGUGUUACAUAGCCAACCAGGCCAAGCCUCGAGGCACUUAACUGGUUGUUGGUCGUCCAUUGCAUUAUAUUUUAUGUCUCUCUUUGGUACAUAUUCCUCAAAAUUUAUUUUUUUCCAAAUAUAUUUUGAACAACAUUCUAGUAAAAUAAUUAGCGCAUAAUGAUCCAUGACUUUUCUUUACUUUUUAACAAAUUCUCUAAAAUAUCACUUUUAACAAAAAUUUAUUUUCAAAAAUUUUUACAUCAAACAAGCUUUAAGAGCAUGUUUGAACCCUUUUUUUUUUUUUUGGUCAAAAAUGUAUUUUGAAAUAGUAUUUUAAUAAAGACUGUGUGAUUAAAAAAUAAGAAAAAGUUUUGGAUUUGUGUAUAAUAUUAUUUUAUUGUAUAAUGUGUAGUUAAAAAUAAAUUAUAGAAGAAUGUAAUUUGAAAAUAAUUGGGCCAAACAAUCUGUAAUGUACGAUUAGAGAUUCGGAUUAUCAUUUACAUAAUCUAUAGGUCGCCAAAAUUGUGGAAGAGAGCAAACAAAAUGGAAAAUACAUGUAGAAAUUAGAAUUAUAAUUAUGCACUCAAUCGGCAUAUACUCUUGAGUCCCUAUUUGUCAUCCUUUACUAUACAUUAUUUUUUCUACAAUACUCAUUUUUAAUCACACAUUUUUAUUAAAAUAAUAUUAAAAUCUUCUUUUUUAACCACAUUCUGUCCAUCCAUCACAAUUCCAUAAUAUAUUGAGUUUUUCCAUAUGUACAAAAUUUAUUUCACAGGAGGUAUACAGAAAUCUCACAUGAAUGUAAGUCUCACAUGAAUAAAAAAGUGCCAAAAAAUCCAUCCCACCACACCCCUGCUAUGAGUAGUCUGUAUGGAUUCUGUGAAAUUAGAAUCUGUACGUCGAGCAUCUCUAAUAUAUUUCUUCAAAUUAAUGAGCUCAAACUGAAUUGAAUUCAUCGACACAUUAUACUAAAAUUAGGGGAAAAAACGAUGCAUUUUUCAAUAUUAUUAUGUUUUUCUUCUCGCACAUUACAUUCAUCAAAACCCUAAAACCUGAUGCUUCUCCAAUUAAUUCGUUAAUGAGCACAACGUAUUUACAAAAGAAGGAAGAUAACAGUUCUAAACAAUUAUCAUCAUUCUGUUAAUCUCACGAAUUGUUCUUCCUUUGAUUUGUUUUCACUACUGUAAUUCAUCGGCGAGAUAAUUCAAGAGAUCCUGGAGGUCAAUUGAAUCUUCAGCUCCGCCAUUGAUGCUCAGAGACUCCAACACUCGUUGGAAGAGGAACCACGGCAAGGGAUCCGCAAAACACCUUUUUGUUCGUAACCAUACUCUUGCGCCGAUUUAUUCAGUAGCUUUAUAAAAAUCGGGUGAGUCAAAAGCUCGGCACUCACAACGAAGCGUUCCAUUUCCUCGCCUACAUACACCGGCAAGUGUCCCUCCGGUACAUCGCCGCUCCUCUGGAAAGACACAGCCCAUCGACACCUCGUCCUCGACUCCGAUCGCAAAAGAUAGUACUGCGAAGAAUCUGCCACUCUUGCUAGCCUCCCUAUCAAUCUCUUCAUUUUUUCAAGGAAUUUUAGGAAAUUUUGAGAUUUGAAGAGAGAUGGAGAGUUUAAAUAGCAGAUGCGGUGGGGUCACACAAAGGCUAUUGGGAGGUACACAAGGUUGUACUGGCAGGUACAAUUAUUGCCAAGUGUGUAUUACUUAUUAAUGUAUGGUUUACUAAGCUGGUUUUUUAGAUUUGGAAGGAACAAUUUUUCUCUUUCUUUGGUAGGAUGGAAAAGUUAAAGAGAAUGAGACUAUCGAAAAAUACGGCGUUUUUCACGGGAAUGACUUUCAUGUGACACUCGUACGGUUUUAGACUGCAAAUUUUGUUGAGUCUUGUUUGACAACUAUUAUUUUGACAAAAUGAAAUUUUGAAUAAUGAUUUUUUUUUUACGUGUGUUAAAUAGUGUUAAAGAGAAUAAAAAAAUUGAGAAUUUACGUGUGAAUGUGUGAUUGAAAUGAAUAUGUAGAAAAAAUAGUUUUGAAAUCAUGACUUUCAAACAGGGAUCGAAUAGUAUAAAAGUAAUUUUUAAUUGUGAGCCAUGAAUGAGAAUGUGAUGAUCAAUCUUUACUAAGUAUACUUAAAAAAAUUACUAAAACGUCAAAUCGACAUGAUUUGAAACUCACUUAUUUAUAAGCAAAAUUAAUGUUACGGUUUACCGAAAUGUCUUUUAGAUUAAUAAGUAACUUAUUUAUUUAUAAAUUUGAUUAAUAAAAAAUAUAUGAAAUUUACUUAUUCACUUAUAAUUAAACUCACUCAAAAUUACUCCACGCUCAGUUGCUCUUAUCAUCAAGUAAUUUGGAAUUUGUAAUUCUUCAUAUUUUUAAGGAUCUUCAGUAGUUAUUGUAGUGAUUCCUCAAAUGUCAAUAUUUUUUACUACUGCUGUCAAUAUUUUUUACUACUGCAGGUGCAACCACACAAAACAUCUUGUCAAAGUACUAGAAGAGGCUAUAGUUGAGUUUAAUCCAUAUGUAAAGUUUAUGGGAGUAAGUUACCUCAUCUGGAUGCUGCAUUCUGGAAAACUAAAUUUUAGAGUAGUCACAUUUUUUUCUUAUAGAUGUCUUUACGGGAAAAGUGUGAUUUUUUACACUUCAUGCAAUAAUUUUCAUAGCUCUAGAUCUCCUUUUUGUCCUUCCCAUUCUCUAUUUGCAUAUACUCGCACAAGAGUGUCUAGGUGUUUAUCUAUAAUCUACAUUCAGAGGGGAAUGAAAUCUCAUAUUGUAUUAAUGUAGCGUCUUUAGUUCAUGUUAACUUUCACCAUCAUCCUCAUCUAUUUUGGUUCUUGGGUUUUUUAGGUUGGGUGCCUAAAAUAUCCUGGAAUUUGCAUAACACGGCAGAAGAAGGAAUACCCAUUUGUAGAAAUAUUUUAUAACCCAGAACAGGUAAGUUCGGGUCUAUUACUUAACCUAAGAAAUGUGCAAUCGGGCAAGCUGGGAAUUGUAAAACAACAUAUAAUUAAAAAAUCUUACACUCAGAAUAAGUUGUUUCUCACUGCUUGUCAUGAAUUCAAUUAUAUGCGAAAAGGGCAGAUGCCGUUCUUCAUCUCACUUGUGGGAAGGUAGUGUAUGAGUUGGAUUAUUAGGUGUUCACUGUGUGCUUUUGUGGUAUUUUAGCAUAAUUUCAACUAGGUCGAGAUCAGAGUAAUUUGUAAACAUAGAAAUUGGAGUUCCGUAACCUAAAUUAUGUUCUUCUCAUAUUCUUAUUAUGUAUUUCGUGGUUCCAUUUUCUUCAUCUUUAUUUUGAUGUGUUUGAUUUUUUCUUCUUCAUGUCUUUCUUUGAAGUUUUGUGGAACUUUGGGGAAAAAUGGAAGAUUGAUGCAGAAAUUGAAGAGAAACGACAUCAGGUUAUAGAUUUCAUAUUUGCUUUAGUUUUUGCAGAGGAAGGAGGUGGUGUGGUGAUUCUCAAAAUUUAAAAAAAAAAAUUAAAAUUUUUUAUUUUUUAUUUUUAUUUAUUUAUUUAUUUAUUUUUUGUGUUUUGAGGUGGUGGUGUGGUGAUUCUCAAAAUUAAAAAAAAAAAAUUCAUUUUUUUGUUUUGAAAAACUAACAAAAAGAACGCAUUUUCAAUAAUUUCAAAACAAACACUCAAAACACAAAACUCAAAAUGAAUUCAAAACUCAAAACACAACUGAAAUACAAAGAGAACACCCCCUAAGUCUUCAAAGUUUAACUUUUAAUGUCAUUUUAAAUAUCAAGAGUGUCAAAUUAAAUUAUUCAUGUCAUUGUGCAUAUAAAGAUUUAGGACUGUCAUUUAUUUAUUUGGAGGCCAUAAAUUUCUAAAUUCAACAAAUUUAAUAUUUUUACUUAUUAUUUACUCUCUUGUAGUUUUUUUUUUUUUUCCUCUUUUUUUUAGCAUUUACACAAUUUUUUCAUUAAUUGAUAAAUUGGUGCAUGAAGGAAUAAGGGAUGCUGAUUUGACAGUCAUUUUGUAAAAGUUUGUGCAAUGUACUUGUACAUUCUUUGUCAUUUAUAAUGAAUCAUAAGUUUCAUAUUUUAUUCUUUUAUUAUUAAUUUAUUUCUAGGUGGAGAACUUGGUGUAGUUUUUUAAACCCAGUCUUUUAAAGUUGGGAAAAUUUUCAUUUUACAAUAUCAAAAUAGUCUUCUAAGCAAGCUUUUCAAAAGAACAGAGAAUGCAGUUGUCAGAGGUUUCAUUUUAUAUUUCUAUUUAGUAGUAAAUAACUACGAAAAAUGGCAUUGGGUGAGAUAAGGGCAAUGAUUCAAAGGAGCAGUUUUUACACAUUUUCUUGCAGCAGACCAUGAGGAAGAGAGGCCACAUGUCAUCCAAGAUAUGAUGAUUAACAUCUGAAUAGGAAGAUCCAAUGCCUACUACUUUAUUCUAAAAUAGCAAUCUUCCUUUUUAUCUGAUUUUCAUAUUACUUAAUCGAUAAUUUUUUGAUGCGGAUAUCAUCCUAAUCGGGCCAAUUGUUGGGCCAUUUUAUCUUCUAUUUAUUAUUUCAGGCUUUAUGUCUCAUUGGGCUUGUAUAUGAGUUUGGUCCGAUUUAUUGUUUUGUGAUUUAUAUUAUUGUAAUUGGGAUUGAAAGUUUAGUUUUGAUGAAUGAAAUAUUAUUUGGUUGUUGUAGAAUUCUCCUGUCUUCCCUCGUUCUCUCUUUCUUUUCCCUCUGUGAUCCCGCUUCUUCUCUUUCUUGCUACUUUUCAAUUUAUUCUACAUCAAUUCUUGAUAUCAGAGCCAAAACCUGGAAUUCGUUAUUAAAAUAGCUGCAAUUGUAAUUGUGUUGUCCCAUUCAUCCAUCUGCUGUUCGAUGCUCUCGCCACCAGCCAGAAGUUCCUUGGAUGAUGCUUAAUCAAUGUCCCAGAACAUCUGGUACUUCCCAGCAUCUUCACCACUUCACUUGUACAAAACCACCACCAAUCUUCCAUUAACAUAGCAUAAUCAAGUCGAAUAUCUACAACAACCAACAUCAACAAUUCUGUACCUAGUAGCAGUAAUCGUCUUCUGCCUAUAACUGCCAACUAUCAAAACCAUUGCACCAAAGCCGUAGCACAAUACAUGCUCUCCACGUCUUCAUCCACUUCCCAAACCGACCCAACCUCCCACAACUCCUUCACUUGCUGCAACCGUCGAUCUUCACCUGCACAAUUCACCACAUCGUCCACAACCGCAAGUCCCAUACACAAAAAAUAGACCCGACCCAACAUACAGCAACCCAUCUCCCUUGUCUAAUUAUUUCUUCCAGCAACCCACUACCUAAAACUUAAUAACCGCACGCAAUCAAUCCACCACGUCCACCAAUCGACUGCAACUCUUGUUAUCAACCCCCAUUUCAGCUUUCAUUCUACCACCACACAGUUUUCCCAUACAGUUAACCCACAUACCUUCGUGUGGUAGCCGCGCCGUCCUCGGACGACACCCACACCACUACUCAAGUUCUGUUGCCUGCACAAAUACAUCACCACUGUCAAAUCGUCGCAUCCUCAUCGUGAUCGAUACCCGACUACUUAAGACGACCCCUCUCUUCCACAAAUCGUGACUUCAAACUCGCAAACUCCAACAAUAAUCUGGACCAUUACCCAAAGUCCACCAUAGGGGUCGCCAAUCGAGCAUUGAACCUCCGAUCGACAGUGAUUAUCACUGAAAGCCGGCAGCCUAGUCGCCACAGACGUGAUCUGCUUCACAGUGUUGAACAUCCCUUUUUUAUAUAGCCUCGUUGUGAUUUGGGUUUGUUUAUAUUGUAAUUAAUCAAUUUUGUUUGGACAAAAAAGAAAAAAAGAGAGAGACUGAAAAGAGAGUAAAAAAAAAAUUAUUAUUAUUUUUCUAACACCAUUUUUCAAGUACCUCUUUCAUUCCAGUUGAUUGAUCACAGCUUCUUCAAACGAACAAAAGGGAAGUCAUUGUUUUAAUUCAUCCUCAAUUAUAUUAUUGUUUAUCUUGAAUUGCAUCGAUUAACUUUUGUGCUGUAGUCUUUACAUAAAAUUCGCGUGAUUAAACUCUUAGACCUGCUAACUCUCUGACUUGCUAUAUUUCCACUUUUCCCAUAUUUAUUUUAUCUGCUUCUACCAUAUUUAUUUUACGUGUUUAAGUUGUUGCCUAGUGUUUGACCAUUGCUUUGUUAUUUUACAUAGAUCAGUAGUACCUGCUUGACAUAGUUGUUUUCAUAAUCCCCAAAAUUUUAUUUAAAAUAAAAAAAGGGUUAAAAUUUAAAUGCUCAAGUUAUUAUUUUUAUUUCUUGAACUAGUUAUUUAUUGAUCUCGUCAUUCACUGCAUUUAGCUAGUGUCACAUUGCAUGCAUUUGUGUAGUGGUCGUUUUGUCAUACUCAAUUCCAAUACUGUGACUGUGGACCCUUCUCAAUUUGAUACCCUUACUCGACAAUUAGCUCAACUACAGGCUCAAUCAGCAACUGUCCAAACCGAGGUGAUUGCCACUCGUGAAGAGAGUAGAGAACUAGCCGCCAGGGUGAACAAUUUAGAACAAACCUCUCCCUCAACCGACGCUGAUAACUCUGAAGCGUCUCAUAACAUACCAUAUCCUAGUUGACAUGGUGGUCGACAGCGUGUUCAUCAUGGACGAAGGAUUGGGGAACAGGAGCGCAAUCAUGAACGAGACCAUGACCAUUAUGAUAUUCAUUCACCUCCUCACUUUGAGGAGAUACUUUCGAAACAUCAAAUUAAACGCUCUUACUUUCGAUGGCUGUUUAGAUCCUAGAGUUUUUAUACAAUGGAUUAGAGACAUGGAUCGUUUCUUUUCAUGGUAUGCAGUCUCAGAGGACUGAAGAGUUCAAUUUGCCAAUUUGAAAUUAAUUGGUAAUGCCCAACUCUUUUGGAAAGGCGUUCAGGACCUUCUUGAGAGGCUUCAUGCACCUUCCGGUGGAAGUUGGGAGGAAAUGAAGCGCCGCUUUCAAAAGAAGUAUUUGCCCCACUCUUAUAGGAGCAACUUGUUGGACCAGUGGAAUACCCUCACAUAAGGAAAUCGUCCAGUGACUGACUAUGUUACCCAAUUUGAUGAUCUCUGAAUGCGAUGUCACAUCGUCGAGGAUGAAGCUAUGACUUUAAGUAGGUUCAGACAGGACCUAAGAGACGAUCUUCGGCGUGAGCUUGUCUUGCGAGGUGUCACCACUCUCGAUUACGCUUAUUCCUUGGUUCGAGAUUACGAGUCGAUUACUAAGACUCCGUAUGGAAGGCGUAGUGAUAAUCGUCCAUUCAUCUCAUCGGCAUCACCUCCUUCCGUCAAAUCUCUUCUAGGACCUCCACCGUCUAAUGCACUCCCUACUUUACACAAUAAAGGUAAAGCUCCUAAAACUUCAAAAACUUCUUCCAAUGCUUCAAUUGUAAGGGCUUCGGUUAUAUCUCCUCUAGACGUCUGAGUCGAUCCUUAGUUAUUGACGAGCGGAAGGAUGUCGUUGAUGAGACUUUAGAAGACCAAGUCUAUAAGCCUAACUUUGAAGAGUUUGACGAUUUGGGUGAUAACGAGGAUACCUUCUUAGGUUGCCUUUGUGCCCUUCCUGUAGGUUUAGGUUCUACUUCCCUGGCCCCCGACACCUCUCAGUUGAGUGUUUUGCGUUGUACCCUUACCCAACCUAAGGAUGUCGAUGAUUGGCAUCGUCAUGUUAUUUUUCAUACUUACAUCAAGAUCAAUAAUAAGGAUUGUAAGAUUAUUUUUGAUAGUGGGAGUUGUAUUAACGCGGUCUCUGUGACCACAGUGUCCCGUCUUGGGUUGAAAUCAGUCCCGCCCCCCAACCGUACAGUAAUUCUUGGGUUGACACUUUUUCUAUAGCUGUGAAAGAGCGUUGUCUGGUGCCUAUCCAAUUCCUUUAGUAUGAGAAUCAUAUAUGGUGUGACGUCAUCCCUAUGGAUGUCGGACAUGUCAUUCUUGGUCGACCUUGGUUGUUCGAUCUGGAUGUAACUAUCCAUGGGCGAUCAAAUUCAUGUUCCUUUGUAUUUAACGAAAAGAAGAUUCACCUUAAUCAUUUACCACCAAAAUCUGUUGACUUACACCAAGCUAAAAAAAUUGUCGAGAGGAAAGGAUUACAUGUGAUUAGCUCUAUAGAAUUUGAACAGACAAUCGUAAAUGGCUCAAUCGUAUUUGCUGUGAUUGUUAUGGAAGUACCGUCAGAUUCCCCACUAGCAACCCCUACUGAAGCCCAAUCAUUCCUUCAGGAAUUUAAGGAUGUAUUUCCUGAUGACCUCCCUGAUCUAUUGCCUCCCUUACGGGAUAUUCAACAUGCUAUAGAUCUGGUUCCAGGUUAGUCUCUCCCAAAUUUGCCUCACUAUAGAAUGAAUUCUACUGAACAUGCCGAGCUUCAGAGACAAGUGGGUGAACUCCUUCACAAAGGCUUCAUCCGUGAAAGCUUAAGCCCUUGUGCAGUUCCCGCCUUUCUCACACCUAAGGAUGGUUCUUGGAGGAUGUGUAUUGAUAGUCGCGCUAUCAAUAAGAUCACUGUCAAGUAUCGUUUUCCCAUCCCUCGACUUGAUGAUAUGCUAGAUAUGAUGGUCAGUGCCACAAUAUUUUCUAAAAUCGAUUUGAAGAGUGGAUAUCAUCAGAUUCGGAUCCGUCCAGGAGACGAGUGGAAAACGACAUUUAAAACGAAAGAUGGUCUAUACGAGUGGUUGGUAAUGCCUUUGGCGUAACCAAUGCUCCAAGUACCUUUAUGAGGGUGAUGGUACAGGCCCUUCGACCUUUCAUGGGCAAAUUCAUUGUCGUAUACUUUGAUGAGAUUCUCGUGUAUAGCAAAACAAGGGAACAACAUCGAGAUCGUCUCACGCAAGUUUGCUCUACACUGCAUACAACAAGUUUGUAUGCCAAUGUGAAGAAAUGUUCUUUCUUCACGAAUAGAGUUGUGUUUCUCGGGUUCAUUGUUUCCGCUACGGGAGUAUCUGCUAAUCCUGCGAAGAUUCAGGCAAUUGAUGAUUGGCCUGACCCCAAGAACAUACAUGAUGUUAGGAGUUUUCAUGGUUUAGCUACAUUUUAUUGUCGUUUCAUCAAGGGAUUUAGUACGAUCAUGGCUCCUAUCACAGUGUAUGAAGAGAGGAGAAUUUCAUUGGACGCAGUAAGCAGCUAAAACAUUUCAGUUAAUCAAAGAGCGAAUGACAGAGGCUCCUGUUAUGCGACUCCCAGAUUUUUCGAAAGUUUUUAAGGUCGAAUGUUAUGUGUCGGGGGUAGGAAUAUGUGGAGUCUUGAGUCAAGAACGCCAUCCUAUUGCUUAUUUUAAUGAGAAACUAAAUGAUGCUAAGCAACAGUACUCAACUUAUGAUAAGAAGUUGUACGCAGUUGUACAAACCUAUUGGCGUCAUUACUUAUUACCCCACGAAUUUGUCCUCUUUUCAGACCAUGAGGCCCUUCGUUUCCUUAAUUCCUAGAGGCGAUUGAAUUCUAGGCAUAGCCACUGGAUCGAAUAUUUGCAGGUCUAUUCUCUUGUCUUAAAGCAUAAAAAGGGUGCUAAAAAUCGAGCUGCUGACGUUUUAAGCCGUCACAUCUCUUUGUUGUCCGUCAUGAGUGUUAAGGUCAUAUAGUUUGAAAGGCUUAAGGAAGAGUACGAGUCAUGGCCCGAUUUCAAAGACAUUUUUCUUGCUUUGCAAAAUGGGGAGUUGGACACCACUGAUGGUUUCCGUUCGGAGGAGGGCUAUCUUUUUAGAUCCAAUAAGUUGCGCAUUUCGAGGACCUCAGUGCGAGACUUUAUAGUGUGGGAAAGUCAUGCUGGUGGGUUGGCUAGACAUUUUGGGCGUGAUAAGACCAUAGAGGAGAUUGAACGUCAAUUCUAUUGCCCAGUUUAAAGACAGAUGUGGCCAAGAUCGUUGGCACAUGUAACACCUAUCAGCAUUCUAAGCAAAAGAGGUAGAACACAGGCCUCUAUACGCCUCUCCCUGUCCCUAGUUGUCCUUGACAAAACGUUAGUAUGGAUUUUGUGCUAGGGUUGCCAUGUACUCCAAAGAAACACGACUCCAUUUUCGUUGUCGUAGAUCGCUUCUCGAAGAUGGCACACUUUAUUCCAUGUAACAAAACUUCUGAUGCAUCUAAGGAGGCUAAGUUAUACUUUCAUGAGAUCGUCAAGCUAUAUGGCCUCCCUAAGACCAUUGUCUCAGAUAGGGAUAUGCGUUUAACUAGUCAUUUUUGGCGAGCCCUAUGGAGUAUGGUUGACACUAAACUGAAAUUCUCUACUGCAUAUCACCCACAAACGGACGGUCAAACUGAAGUUGUUAACCGCAGUCUUGGUAAUCUAUUAAGGUGUCUAGUCCAGAAAAAUCUUAGGAAUUGGGACUUAAUUCUUCCUACUGCCCAACUUGCAUAUAACAGUUCAGUGAAUCGGUCAGUAUGUAUGAAUCCUUUUGAGGUUCUUCGUGGCUUUGAGCCUAGGAAGCCGUUAGACCUUAUUUCCAUGUCUCCACAUGUUAGUGUGUCUGUGUCAGCUGACUCUUUUGCACAACAUCUGCGUGACUUGUAUAUUGAGAUUAAUAAACAGCUAGAAGCGAGUAAUGCAUCAUAUAAACUUCGAGCUGAUUUGCACAAACGCCACGUUGAAUUUAAUGUUGGAGAUUAUGUUAUGAUUCGAAUUAGACCGGAACGGCAUCCAUCUGGGCCUGCUUCCAAAUUACAAGCUUGUAGUGCUGGUCCUUUUAAAAUUUUAAAGCGUGUUGGUCCAAAUGCAUAUGUCAUUGACUUACCAUCACACUUUGGCUAUCAUCCUACCUUUAAUGUUGAAGACUUAGUUGUUAACAAAGGCCAAUUUCACCCCGCUGAUGAUCCUUUCACACCUCCAUUUCUGGACCCUCAUCCUGAAUAUGUUAUCUCUGCCCCAAUUCCACCUGCUGCAGCACGUAGAGAUAAAAUUGAUGAUAUUCUAGAUACACAGAUCAUAUUAAUCAAGAAUGGAGACAUUCAGCGCUUCCUUGUUCAUUGGGAGGGCCGUCCUGCUUCUGAUUGUACUUGAAUCUCCAAAGAGACACUUCAACAGCUUGAUCCUGAUUUGUUGGAGCAUUAUAGGAGUUAACAAGAUCUUCCCUUAUCGGACCACCACCCUUGCGUGUCUAUAGACGCCGAAAGAAGUUUGCUCAACCACUCAAUUUGUGGCUAGGAGAUUGACAGCAGCCUUUUGUGUUCUACCUCCUUGACGGACCUCGGAAGAGUUGAUGCAGACAUCAUUCUUAUCGGGCCAAUUGUUGGGCCAUUUUAUCUUUUAUUUUAUUUAUUUCAGGUUUUAUGUCUCAUUGGGGUUGUAUAUGGGUUUGGCCCAAGCCCAAGUUUAUUGUUUUGUUAUUUAUAUUAUUGUAAUUGGGAUUGAAAGUUUAGUUUUGAUAAAUGAAAAAUUAUUUGGUUGUUGCAGAAUACUCCUGUCUUCCCUCGUUCUCUCCUCCUUCUCCCUCUUUUCCCUCUGUGAUCCCUCUUCUUCUCUUUCUUGCUACUUCUCAAUUUAUUCUACAUCAUUUUUCCUUUUAACUUGUUCUCUAGGUUUAAUUUGGCCUCUUCGAUGAAGACAAAGUUAAAGUUUUACAGUUAUAACAAAUUAAAUUUCCUUUUUACUAUGACAAUCUUUUUGGAAUAUCUAUAGUUCCAUUUAUCAAUAUAGUUAUGUUUACUCUAAUUUUUAGGUUCAUGAUAAAGCCAAUAAGGUUGAGCCUCUUCAAUACAUUGGCAUAACGAUGCGAAGCUUGUGUUGAUCUUCCAACCAUUUAUAGUAAGCAAUGAGUCUAUACCAUAAAAUUGGUGCAAGAACCACUAAUGAUGGUGUGCCUUUAUUUUACAGAAAGAAGGAUAAAUUUUAUGUUCAUGUCACGAGAAAAAUGAAUAAUUAUUUACAUGCUGUCCAUAGUUGUAGAUAUGAGGUGAAGUUGCCCUUCCCAACUAGCCUGAUGAUUUCUUUGUUGACAUUUGAUUAAUAUAUUUUUGCUUUCAUCCAAGAACAACAAAACUAUUAGAGUGUAACAUUUUGUGGAUCAUACUUUCCAUCAAACCAAGGAGAUCAAAGACUUUUAAGAGUAAAUGUUCAAAAAUUGCACCCUUGAGAUAGAAUUAAGCACUUGAGUAUAGAUGCUAGUAGUGGUAUAAUAAUAGAUUUCAUGGAGAAGAUUAUGCAGAAGGUCAAUUAGAAGUAAGUUUAGUAAAUCAAAUUUUAAACAAUGUUAACUUGUAAGAAAGGUGCAUUGCAAAUGGAACACUCAAGACAUAAAUGGUUAAAUAGUUUUUCUAACAAAGUUUAUUGAACUUUCCUCUUAGGCCUUUUGCAUACAUUAUUUACUUCUUCCUCUUCGUUCAAAUUUUUGAUUGAUCCUUAUAUCUUUAUAAAAUAUCAUUUCUUUAAUACAAAUAUGUAUAGAAAUUUUGAAAUACAAUCUCUCGUUAACUCUUAACAUUCAUGAUGCUAACAUUGCCUUCAGUAUCAUAAAACCUGUGCAUUGCAUGGGCCAAAAACUAGUCUAUCUCUUCUCUUAAAAGAGACAAUCCUAAAAUCACUGUUCAUUUUUGUAGCCCUGAUUUUUAAGUUGAAAGUGGAUAUUUACUGUUCUCAACUGGUUCUCUACUGUUCAUAAAUCUCUUUCUAAAAAGAACACAAGAAAAGCUUGCCACUUCUACAGUUCUCUCAAAUGCUAAUAGAAAUUGGGCAUCCCUCUCUUCCACCCCACCUCCGUCGCCUACCACCCCCCCAAUUGCGCUAUUCAACUACUUGUUUGCCAAGUCCAAAGGCGGAAAUUUGUUCUUCAAAUUGAAGACAUUGACUUAGAAAGACCACCCAAGGAGUUCGAUGAAGCAAUGAUUCGUGAUCUUCUUGGCUGGCUCUCGAUUGGGAUGAAGAUUUGUGUAACCAUUUUGUUUAUUUUUCAAAAUUUGUCUUCUUUUUGUUUAUUUGUCAAAUUUUUAUUUUUUAAACAUUGCGGAUUUGAUGUGCAAGCCUACGUUGGUGAGAUGUACGGUCCCUACCGAUAGUCUGAAACAAUUGCUCUUUACAAAUAAUAUGCAAAUAAACUUCUACAAUCUGUUCACGUCUAUCACUGCUUCUGUUGAGAUAAGUUCAUCACAUGUAUUUUUAUCUUGUCUCGAACGUAGAUUUUUUACUAAAUUCAUGAGUUUGUAUCCAUUUCUAUAAAAUAUACUAUUGUUUAUUGUUGACCACCAGUGGUUGUUGCCUAACAUCUAGCAUGUUUGUUAGCUUUUGAUCCUCAUGGUCAAGUUUUUUUAAUUCAGUUAUUGUAUGGUGCAACAUAGGUUGAUGGAAGCAUUCUUCUUAUCUUCGAUCAAUUUUCUUAUAUUUAAUAAUUUAUCUCUAUGACCAAUAUGUCAGGAGCCGGAAAAGAUAGGGAUUGUGAAGUUAAAGAGUUGGGCUGUGGAUGCUUCUACUCUACAACUUUUUUCUAUUUUAGAUCAAAAUUCAAGAUUUUAAUUUUAUCAAAUCGCUCAAAUUUGUUUCUGUAAUUUUUCUUUCUUGCUUUUAGUGUAUACUAUUAUUUAUGCGAUCUCUAUAUUAUCCACAAUUAUUUUGAUUUCUCGCACUAAUUUAGUCACUUUUACGGCAAUCUAAUUUCAUUUUCAUCUUGAUGAACACGUAUUAUAUGUAUAUUAUUAAAUGUUCUCAAGGUGAAAACAUUUUUAAUGAGAAUUAUAACUUUUUGGGAACAUUGAGUUGAGCCCAUUUGCAAGGAUUUCAAACUAUGUACAUUUAAGUUUUUCUCUUUUACUAAUUUUAGUUGUGGUGGUUCUUUCAUUGUGUUUAUAGCUUAUUUACAUCAGAUUUGCUUCACUUUUGCUGAAUUCAUAUUUGAAAAAUAACUUGUAGGGGUUGUUUGAAGGUUUGAAAGCGUAUAAAAAAUAUGAUGGUAAUAUUUUACUUGUUCAUGCAGACGAAAAUGCUUCGAUUGAGGAUGGGUACAGAGCGUAUGUGCAUGCCUUCUCUUACGGUCGAAUAGUUUGUGGAAGCUGUAAAAGAAAUUGUUUUAGCAAUUAGAAGAUGGGUAAUCUAACAAUUUCUCAUUGCAGUUAAGAACGUAUUUAUUUAUUUUUUGUAUAGUGAUGUUUAGGCAACUAAGUGGUUUUAUGUUGUCAUCUUGUUUCAGGUUCCCCCACAAGGUAAAUGUUCUUUAUAUAUUGAAGUUGAAAAACAGGAAUAAGAUAUUUUUCAUAUUAACAAUGAACAAUACAUGUGUCCUAUUUAUAGAAGAAAGAAGAAAUAAGAGAAAGGAAAGCAAAUCUCUAAUGAAUACACAAUAUUCUAUCUAAGUACAAUAUUCUAUCUAAGGAGAAUAAAAUCUUCAAUAAUCUCUUUUAUUCCAAAUCAAUUCGGGAUUUCCAACACUCUCCUUGAAGUUGGAUCAUAAAUGUUGAUCAUAUCCAACUUGGAGAUGAAAUCAUCGAACUUCUGUUUUGGUAGUCCUUUGGUGAAAACAUCUGCAAUUUGUGUUUGCGUUGGGACAUAUGUCAUACAAAUAGUUCCUUCUUCAACUUUUUCUUUAAUAAAGUGUCUGUCCACCUCUACAUGCUUGGUUCGAUCAUGUUGAACUGGAUUAAGAGAAAUAUUGAUCGCUGCUUUAUUGUCACAAUAGAGUUUGAUUGGCAAUUUCAUUGUGAUAUGUAAUUCUUCCAGGAGCUUUUUUAACCACAAUGCUUCACACAUUCCUUGUGCAACAACUUUGAACUCAGCUUCAGCACUGCUUCUUGCUACUACAUUCUGCUUCUUGCUUCUCCAAGUCACCAGAUUUCCCCACACAAAAGUACAAUAACCAGUAGUUGACCUCCUAUCACCAAUUGAUCCUGCCCAAUCUGCAUCUGUGUAAAUUUCGACCUCUUUUCUUUCACCCCUUUUGAAGAGUAGCCCUUUCCCUGAAGAGCCCUUGAGAUACCUAAGUAUCUUAUAUACAGCCUCUAGAUGACUUUCCUUUGGGGAAUGCAUGUGUUGGCUAACCUGACUAACAGCAAAUGCGAUGUCGGGUCUAGUGUGUGAUAGGUAGAUUAGCUUUCCCACAAGUCUUUGAUAUCUAUCGACUUCUACCGACAUUUCUCCAUCUUCAUCCUUUUUCCCCACAUCUACAGGAGUAUCACUUGGUUUACAUCCAAGCAUCCCAGUUUCAAUUAGAAGAUCAAGAACAUAUUUUCGUUGUGAUACGUUGAUCCCUUGUCUUGAUCUGGCGAUUUCCAUUCCUAAGAAGUAUCUCAUUGGUCCCAGAUCUUUUACUUCAAAUUCAGUGGCAAGGUUUUUCUUUAAUUUCUCCAUUUCUGCUAUAUUAUCACCUGUCAAAAUAAUGUCAUCGACAUAAACGAUCAGAAUCGUUUUAGUACCGUCUUCAAAAUCUCAAAGAAACAUUGUAUGAUCUGAUUGUCCUUGGUAAUAUCCUUGACUUUUCUACACUUUUGCAAAUCUAUCAAACCAUGCUCUCGGUGACUGUUUUAGUCCAUAUAAAGACUUCUUUAGUUUACAUACUCGGUUUCUUUCAUUUUCCUUACAAAAGCCUGGUCGUAAUGUCAUGAAUACUUCUUCUUCCAAUUCCCUAUUUAGGAAUGCAUUUUUAAUAUCGAGUUGUUGAAGUGGCCAAUCCAAAUUUGCUGCUAGUGAUAGAAGAACCCGAAUAGUGUUAAGCUUUGCUACUGGUGCAAAUGCUUCUAUGUAGUCAAUACCGCAAGUUUGUGUAUAUCCUUUUGCAACCAACCGAGCUUUAUACCUUUCCACUGUCCCAUCGGCUUUGUAUUUCAAGUUGAAGACCCAUUUACAUCCAACGGGUUUCUUUCCCUGUGGUAAGUUCAUCACUUCCCAAGUUUCAUUUUUUUCUAAUGCUUGCAUUUCUUCCAACACUGCUUCUCUCCAUUUAGGAAGUUCUAAGGCUUCGUGAAUAUUUUUCGGAAUCACUGUCCUGUCAAGAUGAGAUGUAAAAGCACGAAAUCCUACAGAUAGGGCAUUAUAGGACAUGUAUUUUGAAAUAGGAUGAAGUGUACAUAACCGUUUUUGUUUUCUGAGAGCAAUGGGUAAAUCAACAUCAGAAAUUUCUGAUGCUUUUUGGGGUUCUGGAGCUACCAUCGGUUCUGACUCUUUUGGUGCUUCAGAUGUGAGAUUCUCUGAGUACUUUGAUUUUUGCUUUCUGGAGUAAACUAGUAUUUCCUUAUCGUUUUAUUUUUCUACCUCUCCCCUAGAUUCAAGUUUCUUUCUGGUAGCGGUAUUUUAGUUGGUGGCGUAUUAAUUGAUGGGAUAUGUGACGUAUGUUCAGGAGUUGAGAGGCUGAGGUCGAGGAACCGAUCUUCAUGUGAGAUAUCCCCCUGAAGAUCGGUGGUUGUAAAAUAUGGGGCAUUCUGGAAGAAAGUUACAUCAAGGCUUACAAAGGUCCGUUUAGUGGAAGGAUCAUAACAUUUGUAGCCUUUUGAGUAGGAGAAUAUCCGAUCAGGACACAUUUAAUUGCACGUGGAUCAAGUUUACUUCUGUGAUUGGGGUGAACAUGUACGAAUGCGGUGCACCCAAACACUCUUAGGGGAAGAUUAGAGUGGAGGCGAGAAUUUGGGAAAUAUUUUUGAAAUUUUUGGAGAGGUGUUGCAAAGUUUAGGACACGACUAGGCAUUCGGUUGAUUAGAUAGGUGGAUGUAAGGACCGCAUCCCCCCAGAAUAUUUUUGGCAUGUUCGUAGUAAACAUUAGGGCACGAGCAACUUCUAGAAGAUGUCUAUUUUUUCGUUCGGCAAUCCCAUUUUGUUGGGGAGUGUUGACGCAAGUGCUUUGAUGAAUUAUGCCAUGAGAAUGCAAGAAAUUUCCCAUGAUGUUAUUGAAAUAUUCCGUGCCAUUGUCGCUGUGUAAAAUUUGAAUUUGUGUUUGAAUCAUAGAGUGGAAGUUUAUGAACACGGACCGAACAUCGGAUUUUUCUUUUAAUAAAUAUACCCAACAAAUUCGAGUAUGAUCGUCGAUGAAUGUAACAAACCAUUUUGCAUGUGGUUUGGGACACGUGAAGGCCCCCAUACAUCACUAUGAAUCAUGGUAAAAGGCUUUGAUGGUUUGUAUGUGGAUUUUGAGAAUGUCGUACGUUGAUAUUUUGCAAGUUCACAAAUUUCACAUUGAAGAUUGACUGAUUUUUUAUUCAAAAAAAUAGAAGGAAAGACAUGUUUCAAGUAUUGAAAGUUGGGAUGACCCAUUCUAAGGUGCCAUAACAUAAUUUCACUAUUUCUAAGGACAGACGCAGAAUCACAAACUUUAAUUUGAUAGUGUUUACUCACAUCAGCCUUUUCAAAGUAGUAGAGUCCUUCACUUUCCUUAGCACUGCCAAUCGUCUUCCCCGAUGAUUGGUCCUGAAAAACAUAGUAAGAUGGAAGAAAUUUAGCAGAGCAGUUAGAGGUUUUUAUUAACUGGCUUAUGGAUAGUAAAUUGCAUGAUAAAUUUGGAACAUGAAGAACAGGUUCUAAAGUUAUAGAGUCGGAAAUUUGAAUACUCCCUUUUCCUGCGACAGUAGAUAGAGAACCAUCUGCAAUCUUAACUUUAAGAUUGCCAGCACAUGUUGAGUACGAAGAGAAUAAGUGGUAGGAAUUCGUCAUAUGAUCAGAUGCUCCCGAGUCAAUGAUCCAUGGCGUUUUAGUCUGAGUGAUGGAUUUUAAAGCUUUCAAAAAGUUACCUCUGUGGGUGAGUGAACUUGAAGGAUUAUUUGUGGAGUUUUGGCUUGACGGUUGGAGAGUAGCAAACAUUUUGUAAAGUUGCUCCAUCUGCUCGGGAUUAAAAGCACUACUGGAACCUUGGGUAUUUUCUGUAGAAUAAUUAACAGAUGCUUGAUAACUACGAUUUCUAUUAUUUGCCUCGAUUUCCAAUCGGUCGGCUUUCUGUGUAAGUCCCAGCAUGUGUCUUCCUUAUGUCCUGGCUUACGACAGUGUACACACCAGGGUCGACCCUUUUGUUUUUAGCCUAACCCAACUGCUGACCCCUUUUUAUAUAAGCCCAUUCCUCCAGGCCCAACAUUAGUAAAAUUGAGCCCAACAUUAGCUGUAGCCUCGUUUUGAAUUUUUGAUAGAUCCAUUUUAAAGUUUGGAGGCCCAUUAUUUGGAGGCCCAAUCCCUUUCACACCCAUUCCUGAGCUUUCGAUCCCCGACGUUGCAGAGUCGAACACGCUGCUUCCAUUCAUCAUCACCUUCCGCCGGUUCUCCUCUCGCCUUACCUCCGUGAACACCUCUCGCGGUGAUGGUAGUGGCUGUCGACCGAGGAUUCGACCUCUAACAUCGUCGAGGUCACGGUGAAGCCCAACGAGGAAUUCAAAAACUCUCUCAUUUUCCAGCUUUUUUCGGUAACAGGCGCAGUCUUCAGGGCACUUCCACUUCUCUUCCGAACUCAGAUCGAGUUCUUGCCAGAGCGCAGUCAUCUCAAGGUAGUAGUCGAUUACAUCUGGUUCUCCCUGCUUGGUUUGCCACAGCUUCGAUUUAAUUUUAAAAAUCUGGGAGGAGUUUUCAGAAUCCGAAUAAGUCUCUUUCACAGCUUCCCAAACAUCUUUUGCAGUGGGUAGAAACAGGUAUGUCUUUCCAAUUGUGGGCCUCAUGGAGUUGAUGAGCCACGCAGUCACCAUGGAGUUCUCCGAUCUCUACUUCUGAAGGAGAACUGUGUCGGUUGAGGCAGGCAUCUUAGUCUCUCCAGUCAGGUACCCAAGUUUGGCUUUUCCAUCGAUAAUCAAUUUGAUAGAUUGCGCCCAUUCCCUGUAAUUUCGUCCAUCCAAUUUUUCUACCGUGAAUUGAAAGGAUGAACCUUCAAUUCCUCCACUCACGGCAGAGGUAGCCUCCGUUCGUUCAUUGAAAGAUUCGGAUGUCAUUGACCCUCUGUUGGUGGUGGCAGUUUCUGUCAUUGGAAUGACCCUGAUACCAUUAAGUUGAAAAACGGGAAUAAGAUAUUUUUCAUAUUAACAAUGAACAAUACAUGUGUCCUAUUUAUAGAAGAAAGAAGAAAUAAGAGAAAGGAAAGCAAAUCUCUAAUGAAUAUACAAUAUUCUAUCUAAGGAGAAUAAAAUCUUCAAUAAUCUCUUUUAUUCCAAAUCAAUUCGGGAUUUCCAACAUAUAUAAGACCAUUGCUAAUGGAGAAUGGAGCUGCUCUAGGACUUGCACCAGCCUUGAAUACAUCCUUUUCAUUUAUGCAUCGUACGUGGAAAACUACUUCAAGGUAUGAUAGUUCUAUUCCGCAUGCCUCUGCAACCAUUAUUCUGUUUUUACUUGAAUUUUUGGCUAGAUAGGGCUCAAAAGUGUAUAUGGAUAAAGUCCAAUUAACUUUGCUUCAACUGCUUUUCCAAACUUUCCACCUAUACUCUACCCAAUUAUUCAUGAAUUAGCAAAGUAACAGAGUUUCUUAGGCAAUAAUAUUAGAUUUUGAGGAUGUUUGUUCUUUGAAUGGUAACUUAUAUAAUUCAUAAAGAAGCAAAAAGAUGAUCUUGCAAUUACAUUCUCAAAUAUGCAGAAAGAUAUCCAAAGUAGCCAAAGAGGCAAAUGACUCAAAGAAGAUGGAGAGUCAAUAGGAUUUAUGUUACUGUUCACAACCAUUCGAUAAUUUCUUCCAGUUGAGAGUACUUAGUUAUUGCUAGUUCUGGUGUUGCAUUUGAUCAAAGAAUAGGUUGUUUGGUAUGUCACUCAAAUCUUAAUCAAAGUUUGUCUUCAUACCUGCUGCAUACGAAGUGAAUCACAUAAUGAUUUAAAUCAAUUGGUUGACAAAGAUUUUCGCCUCUUAGAUGCAACUGAUAAUGUUUACUAAAAACUAUAUUAAAACUCUUAUGUUGUGGACAUCAAGUCAUUCUUGUGUUUUGAAAUAAUUUUAUUUGGCGAAUAUUCUCUCUUUGAUCAGUAGCAUACCUCCUAUACAAUUUCUAUACAAGUUUCUACUACGUACUUCUUCAUAAAUGAAUCAAACGAGGUAUACUCUGGACCUUGGAGACUAAUGAAACUGCAUUCAUAUUUGAGACUCUGGUGUUUGGAUGAUCAGUUUGUACCUAUCAAUGUCAUAUUUCAUUUUUUACUUUUUUACAAGAUUUUAAGCUGAUAAUUUUAUCUUCAAAUACAUGCAACACGGUUGCUUUUAGUCAUAUCUUGUUUGUAUGCAUGUACUCUUUCGAACUUGACCUGUUGAUGCAUUUUAAAAUCGACAUCAUAACUUAAUUAACAUCUCUUAAUCAUAAUGUUGUUUAUCUUUAUUAUGUUAACAACCUCUUAGAUGAACAAGAAGCACUGGGGGAUAUUUUUGUGAUGCUCGAUUAUAGUAUCACUAGCUCACCAAAUUUUGGUGAUAAAACUUGUGCCUUGGCUAAUAGCUGUUGAAUAGUGAUCUGGAAUCAAUCUGCAUAUUUGCUUAGGCUACUGUACGAGAAAAGUUGCAUCGAAUGGAAAAUGGAGAGUGGAAGGCUCUUAGGGAAUUAGCUUUCCCUUGUUGACUAGAGAGGAAGGCUUUAAAGAAUGGAAAGAAGCUAGAAAGCAUUUUUCUUUUUCUUUUAUUUAAGUGAGAUAUACCCUUUUUUUUUUAACAGCAUACGUUGAAAGAAAGCCAAAAAAGAUUAUUUCCCUCUUAUCCUCCUCCAUAUCGAUCAAAAGAUGGAAAAUAAUUUUUUUAACAUUGCUUAGAAAAUUCUCUCUCUUUUUCUGUUGAACCCACCUUUCUCUCAUACCAAACAUCACCUUAGUUGUUCAUUUUGAUUCUUUUAUAACUCUUAUUAUAUGUUGAUCAUCUUUAAAGGUUAUCUAUGAUUAGCUUAUGAUUGUUCUUUUGUUAAUAGCUAUGCCUAAAUAAGCUUUUUUUAUAUCCUCUUUUUGAAUGACUGUUAUGUUGAAUAUAUGGGAUUAGCUAUGCCUAAGCAAAAUUUGAAUGACAUUGGAUUGGUUCAACAAGCACCCGGUUUUCGGAAGAACUUUGAAAUCACGUACCACUGCUGUUUGUCAUUGCAAUUUGUCCAAAUAUUACUGAUGUCUUAUUAAAAGCUGUGGGAUUUCACUCCAAAUCGCUUGCAACUCUAUCAUUAGCAUCAAUUUCUUUUACUUCUCAAUUGUAACUAUUUUGAUUGCAUGGUAUAUAAUUUUUCCCUCUUUGAUUUUUAUAUCUAAUAGUAUAUGAGAUGGGAGAAGGGGAAACUUGUCCAUGCAUAUUCUUCUCAGAAUCUUGAAGAAAUUCUUGUAAAUUAUUUGUAUUACUUUCAUCCUAUGUCUAUUAUUUAUAGAAAUUAUUUUCAAAAUAAACACAAUCCCAUUAUUUCACGAGUUCCAUUUUAUGCGACUACAGUAAUUUUGAUAUUCUAAAUGUUUUGACAUACCCAAUAUUGUGAUCAGAACUGAGGCAAGGAGAUAUUAUUUUCAAAUCUAUGUACCAUGAUUAAUUUCACCAAUAUUCUGGGUAAUCCACUUUCUCAUUUCAAACUCUACAUUAUAUUUUUUAGAGCUCAUGCGAAAGAAUAAGAGGAUGCUUGAUGAAUCCAUCCAAGAUAUCAAGAGGGAAAUACAGGGUUUACAAGCUCAAAAAAAAAACAAAUUGUUGAGAUUAAAAAAAAUGGCAAGGGCAUAUGGUAAGAUGUUCUCUGUAGAUAAUAUUCUUGCAGCUUCUUACACAGUAUGACUCUCUUUCCUCCUAGGUCCCAUCUGCUUUAUUGCCCAAGUUGGUCCCAUGAAGAUAUUUUAGAAUAAUUUUAUGAUGAAAUUGCUUUUAAAGGUAGAUUCAUUAAUGAUGAUUUGGUGAAUUUCAUCUUCAGUGUAUGAACCAACCAGAAGAAGUAAGUAACUCGUCCAAAUUGAAAGCUUAAAUAACAGAAGUGAAAGGGAUAGUGAUGCACAAUAUUGAGAUGGUACAACAGAAGGCAUCGAAAGCUCAAGCCUAAGAGGCUGCUACAAGAGUCGUGAAAGAGACCUUCCCGCAAGCCUCUUGGUUCGCAACCUUCAACGUGAUUGCAGGCCCACUAUUGUUCUUGUAAUUGUUCAACUUUCUACGAGCUGUUUUCUUGUUAUUGAAAUUAGUUUAAAAGCAUUGAUAUCUCCUUCAUAAUUUUUUUGACUUCACUGCCAUGCCUUGGAGAUAUAUCUUCCGCAUUAUAAAUACUCUUUGUUGCAUAAAGCAUUAUUUCCUAUUUUUUUGCAUUUAGUUACUGGUAUUUUAUGUGUAUUGAUUAUGUAUGAGUAUAUGAAGCUAAUCUGUCCACAAAUAUUUUGCAUGCCAUACUGGUUGGAUGUACAAAGUUAUUUCAUUAGACGUGCUUAUUUUGAUUCCGUGUAUAUCCAAUCCCAUGUUCAUAUUAAUGUGUGGUUUUAUAUGUAUCAACUUCUGUGACUAAAAUAUCAAAUAUGUACCUUAGUUCAUGUGCACAAGAAAAUUUCCAGCCCAAGAAGAAUCUCACACCGGCAUAAUGACAUUUAGGAAUAUAUUAUUUAGGGUGAAUUCAGCCAUGAAUUUCAUUUACAAAGCAUAUGUCCAAAUACUAAGAAUUAGUAAUUGCCUAAGAUUUAAGUGAGAAUUUACUGAACUUUCUAAAUAAUUUCAUAAAUAUUCGACACGCUAGCAUUACCUUCAAAAUAAUACAACUUGUGCAUUGCACGGGGCAUAAGACUAGUAUAUAUAUGAGAGGCACUUUGGGUUUCACCAUUCAUUUUUGUAACCUUCCUUUUCACACCUGAAGAGUUCAUCUACUAUUUACUAACUGGUUUUUUACUGUUCAUUAAAUAAUCCCGAGAGAAUGCUACUUUACUGUUCAUCUAUGAGUUUUGCUUCACAUUUCACUGUUCAUUUGAUAAUUCGUGUAUAGACAAAAAAGGGCAACAAUUGUUGACUGAGGAAGUGGGAUAUGACUGUUGGGUAGCUUCUCAAAUACGUUUUCUCGUUCUUUUUCUCACUGUACUGUACAUAUGGGCAAAUAUCUUGCUUGCCUCAGCUGUUCAUUCAGAAGACUUCGUUUUAGACCUCUCCGAUUCUGACUUCGUUUUAGACCUCUCCGAUUCUUACUGUUCAUUAACAAGUUUUGUACUGUUUACUAAAUAUCUCUUUUGUUAGUUCAAUGGUCCACUUGUCUCGCACGUUUAAGCCUUUUACAGUCUCUCCCUUCCCUAUUCUUUUUCUUUUUGCUCUCGUGUUGAGGAAAAUUAUUGUUUAAAGCUCACGGUGAUGAAGAAAUCUAACUCAAAAGUGAUAGUGAAAGCCAAUCUGAUGAACUAGAUGAAGCAGCAGCAGAAAAUGCUGAGUUGAAAGAUGAAAAAUUCUACCAGAGUGCUGUUUAAGUGCUUCGAAAAUCAAGAAAUGUAAAGGUGAUAUUUUCUUUCUGCUGUUAUGUUGGGAACUUAAAUUUUGAGUUAUUGCUAAAAAUUAUCAUUGGAUUCCGUAUUCCCUUUGAAAAUUGUGGACCUUAGAGUUGUGAACUUAAUUCAGCCUGUUUAAGGAAAAAGACAUUUGGACUGAAGCAACUACGAUGAGAGAUAGAUGCAGCCAGUGUUCCCGGGUAUUGGAGGACGAAGGUGUUGGUAAUUCCGACUUCGAACUUUGACCUGUGAAUGGCAGAGGCUGACUGGGGAGGGAUUUUGUAUGGAAGGCGAGGUGUUCUUAGUGUUUCCAGCGAACGAGCAAGUAACUAGCAGGGAUUACAAACUGAAGCAAAGAAAGAAAUGAAGUCGAGGAUUCUAAGCUCAAAGUUGAACUGUUUUUUGCCCAUUCUUUUUCUUUCUUUCUUUUUUAUUUUUAUUUUUUGGUAGGGAAUGAUCUGAUUGUUUUUGUUAUUUAAGUUGGGUUUUUAUGGUGAUCUAAUUCAAACUGAAUCUUCAUAUUGGAAUGUAUGGGGAUGAACGAUGUCCUAAUUUAGUUGGUAAUUUACUGUCUUAUUGGAUAAAUUGGUUUCAUUUGUUCAUAUUUUGUCUCCUUGUUAUAUUUAAAGUUAAAAAAUGCAAGAUCACUGUAUUCUUUUGAAUGUUUAGGAGGUCUAAUUUUGGGAAAAAGCUACUUCCAAUAAUUAGAUGGAAAUCCAACAAAAGAGUCAAUAUUAUUUUACAUUUAUGUGGAAUUAGAUAUGUUUAAAAAAUAUGGCCUUUACUAUAAUUCCUUAGAAUCCCUGUAUUAGAAGCUUCCCAAACCUUUUAAAAUUGAUGUUUACCUCCUGGACAGAGUCUAAGGUCCAGUUGUUUGUCAUGCUAUUAUAUCUUUUAUAACAUUAAACGAAGAUUAUGCUUCAAACAUGGUUGUGUUUAAAGAUUUGGUGAUGAAGACUAAUGGAUUCAUAAUAGCAGUUAGGAACAGUAGUCAAUGAUGGCUAACAUGAGUAUGUUAUUAAUUAAGUUUAAGCUCAUUACAUACUGUGGAGUUUUUAUUGCAUAUUCAUUGCAUAAUCAUAACGUUGGCCACUAUAUUUACUCCAUAAUAAGAGUUGAAAGAAUGUUUUCAUAGGGAAACAAAUCUUUCAACCCUUAAAUACACACACACACACACAUACUUGGACAUUUAAAUGUAGACUUAAAUUCUUGGCAUCCCAUAAUCAAAUUAUUUCCUAUCAAGUGCACUGCCGUUUAAAUCAUUGUUCAUGAUCUGACUUUAUUUUGCUUCAUUAUUUGCAGAUAUGUGUUAUAACAGGUACAUCAACUGGUUUUGAUCAGACAGUGCCAUGGAUGUUCUAUCAUAAAGUUAUUGGGGUAUCAAUCUUUUUCCUUUUUGUUGAAGGGAAGGCUGCAUCUCUUGCUAUCUCCAAAGUCCUUGAAUAUAUUCCUAUGAGUUUUUUUCCUGCAUGUACUCUUCAUCUAUUCUUUUGAUCAAGUAACUACUCUUUUUAAGGCUGAUAUAAUCACUUUGCAUUUGCAACACAAUCUACUUAAAUAUUAUGUCAUAAAAUACUUUCUUUACCUUAAAAGGAAAAGAAAAAUACACCUGCAAACUAUGUUGGUCUUCAAGGGAAUUGUAGAGAGGUGCAAAAUAGAAAGAUGUUUAGAUUGAUUUUUGGUCAACUAUAUAAACUAUGUUGUGAAAAAAAAUAUUUCACGUGUUGUUUCCUUGUGCAAUCAUUUACACUUAACGUCUAUCACUUAGUUUAAAUAAUAACAAAUGCCUCCUUGCAAGUGGAAAAUUGCAUUGCUAUCCCAUGAUCUUUUAUUGCAGCUAGAUCCCUGCGCCAUGUUAUUCUAUUUGCUGGUAUUAACUCAUUGAAAGUAUUUUAUGCACUAGAAAUAUUUCUUGAAACUUGACAAUAGGUUUUGAGUUAUGUGCACCUCGAAUGUAAAUGUAUUUAAUUAUAUAGGAGAUAGUUCUGCCUUUCUUUUUUUUUCUGAAGUCUGUUAAUGCAUUGUUGUAAAAUGAGUUUGUGCAUUUUUUUUAUUUUUUAUUUUUGUGACAAUAUUGUUAAUUAUUAUCUAGAUAAAUCCAAAGAAGGAAUAUUCAUUUGUUACUGAAAGAGUGCCUAUUUAGAGAUAAAAUACAAAUUGUGCAACAGCAAGUGAACCGAAAUUGUUACUUUUAAUAUUAUGUGAUACAUAAAUACAGAAUGCUCUCUCUUCACCUGAAGAAGUUUGAGUCUUAAUUAUCCUCCAUGAGUAACAAGCUAAAUUUUUCCACUCUUUUCACUUGUUAGAUUCUUAACACCGGUGUUAUGGACUGUGCUACAAUAGUUUGUCUUACUAAAUUGUUUAUGAUUUAAUGAUGUAGGUAUUCCUUAUAAUACUAAUCAUAAGAAUUGUUCUCCAAUUUAAACAUGCUACCAAUUGUUAUAUUAUAUUCUCUGAUCUACUAAGAGCUAUUUGCGAAUUUUUUACCUAUUUUUUGUUCACAAGUUAUAUAAACUCUUUCUAUCAUUGUCCUCUUUCCUGUUGAUUCUUCUGUUGAAUUGAUUUACUUCCUUGACUGUUGUUACGGAACCUUUUCAUAUGCCUUUGUAAGACCAAUUCCACGGUCAAUACUUAUUUGGUAAUUUUUCCAGGUUUUAGAAUUGCAAGCAACAAUGAUGGAGAUUAUGGAAGUUGCUGAUUUAUAAAAGCAGAAACAUAAUAAAACUCAAAUGAAAGCACUUGUGAGAUUGUCAAAACUUGAGGUCAUCAUGUGAUUUCUUUAAUUUAGAUUUAAGCUUUAGCUCUUUAGUUGACAUCUUAUUAGGUUUAGUUUUGAUCAUAUAAUUCUUCUUGUUUUUUGUCUUAUUAUUAUUAUGGAUAACAAUAUGUUUUCUCUUUGCUUUCUGUAUUUUGAAGACUCUGAAUGCUAACCUUGCCAGGUUUCUUGAUGCUGCAUACCAUUUCUCUCCCCUACCUCUAUUUGGUUUCUUUUCUUUCUUUUUACUUUUUCAACCAUAGCUAAAUGAUCCAUGAAUACCUUGAGAACACUCUAGACUAAAGGAGGACUUGGAGAUCUAUUUAAUUAUGUUUAUUUCUUCAUGUUUGUUUUAAGUUUUUGCUCAAUAGCUAAGUAUCAAUAAGCGAGUAAUUUAUCAGCAUAUUGGGAAGUUAGUGUUACUUGUUCAAUAUGGUUUCAAAAUCGACCUUGAGAAAUGAUUGAAUUGAAAUUGUACAAUGGUUCUAUAUGGUAGCAUGAUAGCAAAUUGAUAUACUAAUGAUUUUGUGCAUGGUGGACUAGGCUGAUCAUAUCGCUAAACUUUGUCAAAAGAUUCAGUUCAAAGUAGGAACUGAUAGAAGCGUGCUUUUCGUAUCUUAAUUGGGAAGUAACUUUAGUUUCUAUGCCUCUCUUUUUAGUUCCUGUCUUAUGUGUGCUUAUCUAUCCGUGCCAGAAUGACUUGUUUGAAUGUGCCCUGGUAACCCAGAGGCUUGUCACUCCAAAGAACUUGUAGUAUGGUACAUCAAAUUUUAUUUUUUGGGCAGAGACCAUUUAAUUCUCUUUUUCCAAUUUUCCUGCACUUCAUAUUGACUGCUCAGAGCUAUUGUGCUUUUAUUUUUGUUUCGAACGAUCCAACAUUUUCAUUUUAUUUUAACAUCCUUGAAGUUUAGCGUUGAACUUAAUGUCAGUAUAUAAUGGAUAUUAUAUUUUAUUAUUCAAUACUCAAUAUGCAUAUGCGGAGUACUCUGGUUAAUUAUGAGAUAAAUAAGUACGCAAUGGCACCAUUUUUAGCAUUCAGCUUGUAUUGUUGUUCUAGAAAAUUAUCACUAAUGGGGAAACCCUGAAAGAUUGUUGAGCGUUUCAUCUAUGUUUUGACAUAUUUAACUUUGUGAAGCAAAUAGACAAUUUUUAUUGACAAAUAGAGCUUAGUUACUAAGAUAUAUUGUUUCCUCUUGUAGAAUUGAGAAUGAAAAUAUCAGCUACGCGUCAAAAAUGGGACAACGUAAGCAUCUUUUGCUUCUUCAUUUAGUCAGAAUAUUCCUUAUAUCUUCUCAACUAAUUUUCCAUGCAAAUGGCUUGUAGCUGGUGGCUUCAAAACGUGUCGAAUUUGAAAGGAAGAUGCUUAAGGCAAAGUAUUACUGUAACUAAUAAAGUGGAACAAGUAAAGGUGACAUACUUCCUUUUCUAUUGAACAUUAUUUGUAUAUUUGACGUUGUCCUGGAAGUAUACGAAUCUUUGUAGAACUAUCAUAUAUCUUGUUCAGUGUAUUACAAAUUUUAAUAUAGAAUGUGCUUCUUAAUCUGGCUUAUAUUUUGAACAUUAGGAUUAUCAUGGUAUUGAUUCUAUCAUAUAUCAGGUGGAUCCGUUCAAUUUCGUAAUAUUUGUAACAUGAAUGAAUAAAUUGUGUGUAAGAUUUGUAGAUGAGAAAGGUAUAGUAUUCUAUCCCUCAGAGAAGGCUGUUUAUGACCCAGUAACUCCAUGUCUACAUUAAAGCCAAAACUUGUAUAUGAAAUUGCAGUAUUGGACAGUAAUGCACUAGGUAAUAUGCAAUAUUUUAACUUACUUUUCUACCUCAAUCUUAUAUUGUGUUGUCCAGUCCAGUGCAGCCUACAAACAUAUCAAUAUGAUGUCAUGCCACUAAGUAACUAAACAAUUCCACUUGUCGAUUCAACUAAAUCAUAUUAAUUUGGUUGCAUAUUAUUGACUCAUUCUUAUGUGAAAGAUUUCAGUGAGUAGUACGAGGAAUUUGUUGCAAGUAUUUCUCUUGUGACUGCCAGCCCACUCAUUGUUUCCUUUCCCCUACCCAUUACUAAACCAACAAUACUUUCAACAGUAUAUUUAAUUUGCAGUUAUCGAAAACUAAUUAUCUCGACUAAUGCCAAUAAAGGCACUGCAAACAAACAUUGAAACAAUUAAAGGGAAUUCAAGAAUCCAACUGAACUGAAAAUUCAGCUCAGCCAAAGGCUCGAUCAAUUGACUGACCAUUUGAUUCAGAAGCAAGCAUAGGUUUGUCUUCUAUUUGCUUUUUUUAGUUGCAGCUGAUUAUUAUUUAGGAAAUUUAUUCUUGGCACGUUAUUAUAUCAUACAUUUAUCGAAAAAAAAUUUCAUGUUUCAACUUCCAGCUAAAAAUAAAAGGAGAUUAAGAGCAUCGUUAACCUUGCUUAAAAAUAUGUAAAAAUGUGUUUACAAACAUGUUUGGAUAAGUUACUUCUGCUUAAUUUUAAGUAAAAGUUACUUACUGUGAAAAUAACUCUCACUUUACUGACAAAAUAAGAAACUUAGUUCCUAUUUUGAUCAAUUAAUUGUUUACUCAAAAGUGCACCUUUUAUGUAGCCAACUAUGUUGAACUGAGUUUAUGUAUAAACUUUGCUGUUGAAAAUUAUGUUUAGAAUUUAACAACUGAGUUUAUUGGUUGAACAAGCAACUUUUGGUCUUUUAUCAGGUUGAGACACUAUCCUUAGAUGGAAAAAAUAAUGAAUAUGUUGAAUAUCUUAUGCCAAGUGAGGUGGAGAAAGUUAAUUUGACAUUUUAUGCAAAUUCAAGGGAGAAGGAUCAUUGAUGUCCUAAAUAUCCAAUCUGAUGUUCCUCCUUUCAACUCAUAUUCAAAUAAAUUGAGACAUACCAUUCAUUUUGCCACCAAUAAAUCAAAUUCUAGAGGUAAGGAGAGAAAUAGCUCUUUUGGAUUGAAGAAAAAAUAUCGACAUUUCUAUUGUACUAAUAAUAGAAAGUUAACAUAGCCCAAGCUCACGUUUGCAAGGUGAUCUCUGCAAAUUGAAAUGAGUCAUAGUUCUAUUAUUGAGUUUUAUUUUCAACCCUUGCAUCAAAUUAUGAGUUUGUUGGAAUGUAAUAGAGAUUGAUAUAGUACUUUUUUAAAAUUGUAAUAUGGAUAUAUUUAGAAUGAGAUAAAUAUAUAAAAAUCGUGUGGAUAUAUUGCCCUUGUUUGGUAGGUAUUAAAAUUAAUUCAGGUCAAAUUCAAUAAUUGCAACGACAACGAGGACGAGCGAGGUAUGAAUUGUUUGACCCAAUUCUUUUACGCAAAUUUCUAGAAAUUAUGAAAAGAAAGUUGGGAAUUUUUGUUCUGCUGGUUUCCAAAUGAUAAUUUGGUUUUUGAUGUAAUUUUUAAUUGUUUUAGGUCUAUAGUGGAAAAUGAAUGGUUUUAUGCUUAUUUGAUUUAAUGGGAUCUGAUUUUAGUUAAAAAAAAGUUUGAUUUUUUGUUAUUACAUUUCAAAAGAAAAGAAAUUCAUAUUUGGUUUCAAUGCUGUCGUGCUCAGUUGAAUUUUCUUUUUAGGGUUUUUAUAGAUUGAUUUUCUUAAAAUCUAUUUUCAUUUUGCUGAAUAUUUUGAAAUAUUUUUUUGAAAAUAUAACAUAUAGUUAAUUGUUUUAAAUCAUAUAAUGGAAAACAAAUCGUUUUUAUGUGUGUAUGGAUGUUAUGUUUUGAACUUUGCUUCUUCUUUUUUUUUUCUUAUAUUGAUAAAUCUGUUUUUUUGAAGUUAAUGUUUCAACCUGAGACAUUUUUUGAGUGCUGUGAUUUUUGUUAGGUAAGGUUUCAUAUGUAGGGGUUUUAGGAUUUCAUUUGUUUUUGGGGAUUUUGAGUAAAUCAUUUUAAGGAUCUUUGAUUUAUAGACCCAAUGUUUUUUUACUUUAAGGCUACUAGAGUUUUUAGUACCGAGGUCAACUCUCAAGCCCUCUCUCUCCUACUCCUCUUCUUGCCUUUCUCUUUCAUUUCCAAACCAAUCCUCUGAGGCAUAUCCAAGCGUUGCUACUCAACCAUAAUCUACCUUUUUUUUAGAUAUUCUUACCCAAUAUGAUCGAAGCAACAAUGAUUUCAUGGAAUAGUUUCAACUUCCUGAGUUAGACACACGAUUAUUGAACUCAGUACUAUCAUGUUGUAUGUAUCCCUUAACAAACUUGGAAAAGGAAAUGACUAAAACGUAAAAGGAAUAUACAUUAGAUAAAAUAUAUGGAAUCAUAGAAUUGCAAAAGUAGUAAUACUUAUAAUAAUGCAAAGUGAUUUGACUCUUUUAUAUAAUAAUAAUAAUAAUAAUAAUAAUAAUAAUAAUAAUAAUAAUAAUAAUAAUAAUAAUAAUAAUAAUAAUAAGAUCCUAGACAUUCCCUAAGACUCAUUCAAUCUGGUUAGCACAAUUGUUGUAUAUUUUGCUAUUGUGUGAGUGCAAAAUAACUUCAAUGAUAGUAGAUAUCAUUAAGUAUCAAGUAUCUUCUUCAUCAACAAAAAUGCGGUAGUCAUUUUGAAGGAUGAAAUCUCUCAUGGUAGGAAGAAGUUGGCAAUGAGAAAGGAUACAAGAUACUAAGAAUGGAUUGAGGAGAAGGAAUAGUAGGAAAUUUUGGUAACCUAAAAUAAGAUUUCCACAUUCAAAACAUUAAUUAAACACUAAAAAGAAAUAUAAGAAAUGUAAACUCCAUAGAUAUCUGACUCCAUUCUCCUUUAAUAUUGAAGAUAUUUUUUUCGGCUUCUACAUUUGAUGGUUUAAACUGGCUUCAUAAUUGGAACAAGUUAUGAUUCAAUCCAGAUUUCAAUUCAAUUUUUCACAAAUUAUGAUUCCUAAUUGUUCCAUUCAAUUCAAAAACGGCAUGAGAGUUUAUCAGGAAAUGAGGUUUUAUAAGUGCAUUUCACUGUCGCAUCAUAUUUGUCAGCUGAACACUAUUUUCAAUUAAAAUAGUCAUAUGUUCAACUAUUACUCAAAAAAGGCCAAAUGAAUAUUAGGGAAAAAAUUUAAAAAGAAAAAUCAACUCAUUUUUUUACUUACAAAUUACUUUUCAUGAAUUUUUCUCCAAAAAAUACAAUCAAAGGGAGGAAACUUACAAUUUCUGUUAACUAAAAUUUUAGGCUCAUUUUAUUUAAGCACAGCAAAUCAUCCAUAUAAAUGGGUUCUUCUCCCUCUUUCCACGUGUACAUAUAACAUGAAAUGCAUGUACAUUACUUAAAUAUUUAUAUAUGUAUAUAUACUACAUACUUCAGCUUGACAGUUUUUUGUUAAUUUUGCAGUCGUUUGUUGUUGUGGUAGAAUUUCUAUAUUUUUAUUCUAUGUAUGUUAGACGAUUGUAUAUUUUUAUCCUAUAGGGGACGAAGAACAAAUGUAGAGAGUUUGAGAUUAUGUGUAAAAUUGUGAUGUAUUGCUGUAUAGAAUUUAUUUCGUCAAAAUAAAUAAAUUAUAAUUUUUGUGUAAUAUAUAUUUGUGCUUUCUAAUUCAAAUGCAUAUAUCUAAUGUGUUUUUUUUAUGUCGUAUUUAUAGUUAGUUUAGUACUAGGUACGAGCAUUUUCUUGUGCCUUUGGAUUCUUCGGAGCCAUCUGCAAAUCAAUUGCCUAGUUUUUGUAACAUUGAAACCGUUCACGAAAGCACAAGUGAAUCAUAUAAUGCGUUCGUUCGUCAAAAAAAGUCAAAGACAGGCGGACAGGAGGAAUCGAAACCAAAUUGUGGGCAUUGAUCGUCGUAGAAGAGUAAGUGAUCCUAGAGUAUCUGAAAAUCAUAAUCUAGGUGCUACUCAAGUUGAUCAACAUAUAAUACGUUUUGAAUCUGAGCCUUCUACUUCGAAUGAAAAAUUGAUAAUUUUCAUCUUUCCGAACUAGAAGGAAGUGUUAAUUUGUUAAAUAUACCAAUUACUGCAUAUGUAUUAUCGACAUGCAACUAUUGUAAACAUUGUGGUGCACGUAAAUUCUAUUGGGAAAGUAAAGGUUUUUGUUGCUCUGAUGGAAAAGGUAAACUAUUUAUAUAAGAUUCGCCAACUGAAUUAUAUGAUUUAUUUACUUCUAAAGAGCUGACAUGUAUAAAAUUCAAAAAGUUGUCACGUGGAUAUAAUGAUCACUUUGUGUUCACUUUGUUUGGUGUGAAGUAUGAUAAAGAAUUUUUUCAAAUAUAUAAAGGUAUUUACACAUUUAGAGUUCAAAGACAAGUAUAUCAUUAUGUAAAUAAAUUUAUGCCAAAAAAUAAUACGUCUUCUUAUAUGCAGUUAUAUUUUUAUGACACAGAAAAUAAGCUUGAAAAUCACAUGAAAAUUUCAGAAAAUUUAGUUGAAUCUACUAUGAUUAUUUUAAUUGAACUCUUGAAAGUAAAUCCAAAUAGUAAAUUCUUUAAGUUUUUAAGUGAUAUGACGAACCUGCACAAUCAUCGUAUACAAAUAAGAUGUGACCCAGGAAUUGAUCAGAGUGUUUUUAAUACUCUUUCAGCGUCUCAUGUAGCUACUGUAUGGGUUGAGGAUGAUGAAAAUACAAAUACUAGUCUUCGUGAUACUAUUAUUUAUGGCCAUUCUGGUGAUUCUCAUAGAGUUUAUUAUUAUUAUGGUUGUUAUGAUCAUUUGCAAUAUCCUUUGAUUUUCCCAUGAGGCAAUUUGGUUGGCAUGAAGGCAUACAAAGAUGCAAAAACAUAAAUGUUCAGCCUCGUAAUUUGGUCGAUUGUGUAGCGGUUCCUAACACAAUAAAUUCUGAAAUUGAAAUUAUUGAAAAAGAGGCUGCAGCUUUGUUCAUAUAAUUUUUCGUACAAUUUCUAAUUUUUACAAUGUCACUGUUGUUACUGAAUAUGAAAUUUUUUCCUAUUUUUCUCAUGCAGUGCUUAAUGGAACAAAGAAAAGAUCUCAAGUUUCUUGUCGCAAAUAGUAUUCAUACAAGUUGCAAAUUAGGCACUCUGGUAAGUUUGUAUUACUUCAUACUUGUAGACUUUUUCAACAGUAUGUUGUAGAUAUGUACGUUAAGAUUAAAACUAUCAGGUCAGAUUAUUUUCGAAAGAAUCAGAAACAAAUUUGUGCUGAACUCUAUUAAGAUUUUGUGGAUAGUGUUCAAAAUGGGGAAACAAGAGGAUACAAAAUUGGAAAGAAAUUUGUUUUACCACAAUCUUUUACACGUGGUACUAGAGAUAUGCUAAGAAAAUACUUAGAUGCGAUGGCCAUUGUUCAAGGUUUUGGAAAAUCAGAUAUAUUUUCAACUAUAACAUGCAAUCCAAUUUGGCCUGAAAUUAGGCAAGAACUAAAAUACAAUGAUGAAGUUCAAAAUCGAUCAGAUUUAAUUGCACGUAUAUUUAGAGCAAAAUUAGAGGAGUUAAAAAAUGAUUUAUGUAAAGAAAAUAUCUUAGGCCCUGUUGUUACUCCUACAUAUAUGGUUGAAUUCCAAAAAAGAGAGCUCCCUCAUGCGCAUUUGUUGAUUUUUAAUUGUGCCCAUAAAAUAGUAUGUGCUGAACAAGUUGAUAAAAUAGUAUCUUGUGAAAUUCCUAAUGAAAAUAAGUAUUCUCAUCUUUAUUCUAUUAUUGUAAAACAUAAUAUGAAUGGUCCAUGUAGAAACCUUAAUCCAAAGAAUGUAUGUAUGUUAAAAAAUACUAGUUGUAAAAAUAAAUAUCAUAGAGAUUACUAUAACGCUACUAUAUUUGAUGAUAAUUCAUAUCCAUCGUACAAACGUCAUAAAAACGGUAUUUUUAUUAAAGUUAGAGGCCACAUGUUAGACAAUCGAUGAGUUGUUCCAUAUAAUCCUCAUUUAAGUGAAAAUUUUGACCAUCACAUUGACGUUGAAGUAUGUUCAUCUAUUAAUACUGUAAAAUAUUUGUAUAAAUAUGUAUAUAAAUGACAUGAUCGCAUUAAUUUUUUUGUUGGCAAAAAUGAAAAUAUGGAAGUUGAUGAAAUUUCUGCUUAUCAAUCUGCUAGAUGGAUAUCUUCACCUGAAGCUAUAAGGAGAAUUUUUUCUUUCAACUUAUCAGAAAUUUAUCCGAGUGCUUAUUCUUUACAACUCCAUAUUAAAGAUCAUCAAGAAGUAAAGAUGAUUUAUGUAGUAUUGUUAACAACAAUGAAAAUAUGAGGAGAACUAUGUUAACUGAAUUUUUUCAAAUAAAUAAAAUAAACGAAUUUGCUCGAACAUUGUCGUAUAAAGAUUUUCCAGCACAUUUUGUCUAGAAUGCAUAAAAGAAAAUUUGGACUCCUAGAAAACAACAAUUUGUUAUAGGACGAAUUGUCACCGCGAAUCCAAGUGAAGGGAAGAGAUAUUUUCUUCAAAUUCUUCUUAAUCACAUUAAAGGGCCAACGUCAUUUGAUGAUUUAAAAACUUUGAAUGGGGUAACUUAUGCUACAUAUCGAGAAGUAGCACUUUCACAUGGUUUUUUAACGGGAGACACAAUCAUUGUGAAGAAUGUUUAUCUGAAGCUAUUGUAUACGAAAUGCCUGGUUCUUUAAGACGUCUUUUUGCUACAAUGCUUACGCUUUGAAAUCCUGAUAAUCCAAAGUUAUUGUGGAAUAAAUUUAAAGCCUACAUGAUUGAUGAUUAUGUACAUCAAAAUAUAUCUUUGGAAAUUGCUGAAGUGCGAGCUUUGGAAGAUAUUAGUUCAAUUUUAGAACCUAUAGGUAAAGACAUCAAUGACUAUGGAAUAGUGUCAUUUCCUGUAGAUAUAGAUGAGACUGAGAGAUUGAAUUGAAUGGUUGCAGAAGAAAUCAUGAAUUUUGAUGUUGAAAGAGGCCUUGCUUGUGCGACAAUGUUAAAUAAAAAACAACAAAUUGCAUACGAUACGAUAAUGGAAAAAGUAAAAACAGAAUCAAGUGGUAUUCACUUCAUUGAUGGUCCAUGGGAGACUAGGAAGACUUUUUUAUACAAAGCACUUCUAGCUGGCGUAAGAUCUCAAAAUUUAAUUGCUUUAGCAACAACGUCCUCUGGAGUAUCUGCAUCUCUUUUACUCGGAUAUCGAACAGCUCAUUAGAGAUUUAAAAUUCCUUUAAAAAUAGCUGGUAAAGUUAGCUGUUCUGUUAGCAAGCAAUCGGCUUUGGGAACCUUGUUAAAAAUGUGUAAGUUAAUAAUUUAGGAUGAAGCACCCAUGGUAAACCGUCGUGCUAUUGAAGCCGUGGAGAAAAUUCUUAGAGAUGUUGCUGAUUGUGAUUGCCAUUUGGUGGGAAAGUCAUAAUUUUUGGAGGAGAUUUUCGACAGGUUCUACCAGUAUUACCAAGAGGGAAAAAAGAAGACAUAAUAAAAGCUAGCUUAGUUUUCUCAGAUUUAUGGCCUUUAUAUUUACAACUACCUUUGGCUGAAAAUAUGAUAGCAAAAUUAGAUCCUGUGUUUUGCAAUUACUUACUUAUAAUUUUAGAUGUGACAGAAAAAGAAUACAGUUGUGAUUGCAUUCAACUUCUAAACAGUUUAACUUUACCAUUCGAAGAUGAGAUUAUAUCUUUAAAAAAUUUGAUACAUCAUAUUUUUUCAAAUAUAGAAGCAUAUGAUGAUAAUUUACAUGACAUGAUGAACAGAGUUAUUCUUACUCCUAAAAAUGAAUGUGUUGACUAUAUUGACAAAAUUUUGCCCGAUCAAAUUUCUGGUGAAAUUUUUACAUACUAUAGUUUUGAUGAAGCAAUUGACAAAUCAAAACAGAGCUUGUAGGAAGAUUUUUUAAAUAGUUUACACCAAAUGGUAUUCCACCACAUGAAUUGAAACUUAAGGUAAAUUAUCCAGUAAUGUUAUUGCUAAAUAUCAAUCAUUCUGAAAGUUUAUGCAAUGGGACACGCCUUACUUGUCAAAAGUUUAAUAGAAAUGUAAUUUUGGCUAAAAUCACAACUGGUAAAUAUCAUGAAAGAUACGUGUUCUUACCAAGGAUCCCCUUUGUACAUCUUCAAAAUGAUCGAAAUUCAAUUCAAUUUAAGAGGACUCAAUUCCCAAUUAGACCUUGCUUUUGCAAUGACAAUAAAUAAAGUACAAGGUCAAACCUUAGAUUUUGUUGGUUUAUACCUUCCAGAACCAAGUUUUUACCAUGGACAACUAUAUGUAGCAUUAUCGAGAGCAAAAACAAGUAAAUCUUUGAAAGUUUUACUCAAACCGUCAAAUGCAGACAAUUUACACAACUCAUGCACUAAGAAUGUGGAGUACAAAGAAAUUCAUUCAUCUAUACAUUCAUAAAACUACAAUCUUUUCAUAGGUAUGUAUUUACUUUUGUUUUCAAAUUCAAUACAGUUUAUUAUUAUCCACUAGUUUCAUUGUUUUUAUAUGAGUUAUAAAGAUUAAACAUCUAGAUUUUACAUCUUUUGUUAAUUGGUUUGGAAUCUGCAUUUAAUUCAAGAGGGUUAACUAAACAUUUAGCGUCAUUUAUACAAAUGACUUUCGUUUGAUACGCUUCACUUUUAUAUUGCUUUUUUUUUUCUUUCUUUGUUGGUUUUUACCACCGUUUCAACCACUUUAUGCUUUUUUUUUUCUCAUUGUUUAUUUAAGGAUGGAACUUCUGCCUGCAAUAACAAGUGAUUGCCGACGUACAUUUCCAUCUUUAUACUAGCAAACAUGUCAUCCAUCAAAUAUAGUUUAUAUUUGUACGGUGAAGGAUGAAGAAAGAUUGAUUUUAAUGAACUUCUUAACAAGCUUAAUCACAUUCAUUUCUUUUUAUUCCUGGUAAUGGUGGAAGUUACAAAUAUAGAAGUCUUCUUAUUUAUUUUUAAUUGUCAAGCAUAUUUUGGGAUGAUUUCUUAGGAUUAAUAGUAAUCUAAAGUUGUUCAUGAGCUUAAUCAUGCUCAUUAAAAGAAAUUAGGCAAUUAGCCAUCCAAUAGUUCGUCUAUUUUUGUUCGUGUCUUUGUAUCUCUUAUCGUGAUAAACGUUAAAAUUAUAUUACUAUUUGUAUUUAUUGGUGAAUCGACACUUUUGUUAAGAAGACUUUUCUCUGAAUAGGUAGGGUAAACAAUUUACUCAAUACAUAGUGUCAAUGGUUUUGUAUUAUUAAAAUAUUCUUAUAUGAUGAUGCGAUGCCGUAUGGGUUAUAAAUUUUUAUAUAAUUCUCAAGUUAUAUGAUAAUGAUGAAAGCAAAUGCUUUAUUUGUAAAUUGAUUAAAAAUGCUUAAAAUUUAAAUUGAUAUUCGCUAAUUGAGUAUUUAUUGUUUUACUACUUUUCCCUCAUUGAUUAGGUAACAUCACUGGUUGCGGAAUGUAAUAGAGCUUAUGAAAAAGACAUAUUGUUAUGUAGCCUACUACGAUGGUUUAAAUUGCUUAAAGUUAAUUCUUUCUACCACUCAUUAGACUUCGAUUGUACAGUCUUGGUAACUAUUUCUUCCCGAUGUUUUCUUAUAUUAAUAUAUACACAAAUGCUUGUCUAUUCAAAAUAAUAAGCUAAUUAUCAUCCUCAAAUGAAAGGUCAGGGCAUUUUUCAAAUUUGUUAGUAUAAGAGAUGAAAGAGUUGCAACUCCUAAAAGAAUUCCAUCCACAAAAGGUAUGUUUUUUACUUUUCACGCGCCUCUUUGAUAUCUUUCCAUUCAAGAAUAUUUGAAAAUCUUCUCAUGUUCUCCCGUUUCAUGAAUUUUUGGAUUUUUUACCGUUUGAUUUUAUCGUUCCAUCUAUUUCUUUUGUUGGAAAGUACUGAUGGCUACAAUUUUUUUAAGUUCUAUUUUGUAGAGUUUUGAGAAAUUAAUUCAUUCUGAGAGGAAAACUAUGAAUUUUGUGUGUGAAUUUAGAGGAUUAUGCUUUAUUAUAUUUCGAGUAGCCUAGCAUGCACAAAACCAAAUGUGAGAACGAUAAAUUUUUCAAGGUUCAGGCUAUUAUUGUAAAUCCCUCUACUUAUGGUUAGUAAUUGUAAUGUUGAUGUAUUUAAAUAAUAAAAUUUCAAUUAGUUUAUUUUUUUAAUAAAAUUUAGUCUAUAGUAAAAUCAUUUUACCAGAACUUGUGACUUAGAACUUAAGAAAGAGAAUUGAAUAGUAAGUUUUCUUAUUUGCAUUACAUUAUUAUUCAUAAUGGAUGACUUGUAUUUCAAAGUUUUGUAUUUGUUAACAUAUGUUUUCCAUAUUUAAAAUAUCGCAUGCUCAUGUUGCUGAAACUUUUGAUAUACCAUCGCGUAUCUUCAUAAUGCCUUGGAUGUCAGUUUGUAUUACAAUUUCUGUAAGUGUCCAUCUUUUCUCUUAUCUUAUCCUUCUAAGUAAUCAAAUUGAUAUUUUACUUUUAAGACCAGAAUUUUUUAUUUUCAGGAAAUGUAUUUUUUCAUUUAUUUUAGAAAAAUGAGUCAUGAUGCAUAUGUAUAAACAUUGAUCAAACAAAAAAUUAAAUGUUUUCGAGAGUUUAUGUUUUACAAAAAGGUUUACGCAGAAAAAAAAUUUUAUUUGUAAAGUAGGACUAUAAGUAUUCUUUUAUCCACAUAAUUAUUUCAUUUCUAAUAGAGCUUUCUAUUUACUUCAAAGAAAGAUAAAAUAACAUACUCAAGUCAAUAGCCGCACAUAUGAAUUUCCUCAUCUAUUUGCAUUUGUAUUUCAAAGUGUAGGAUAUUGGUUGUGUUUAAAGUUAUUUGCGAAUAGUUUUCUUUUGCAUUUAAACAACGUCAAUUAAAUUUCAUAAACAAAAUAUGUUCCCUAAUAUUUCUUGCUUGUUACAGAUUUUAUACAUUCUUGUGGAUUUGGUGGAGGUAUAAGAGAAUAUAUUCAUAACUUGAGAAAAAGAAACUGAAGCUUAAUCCUACUGUACAGUUGAUUACAUAGUAUCUCAUUUACCAACGGGCUACAUGUGUAGUUCCUAUAUUGUGCCAAAGCAAAAUGGUAAGCGUGCCAUUUAAAGUUGCACAAUUAAUAUUAAUGGUUGCUAUAAUUUUUCUUUGCUGGGAAACUAAAUUAUGCAGAAAUCUUGUCUUAGUCAAUGUUUUCCAUAUCCAAUCUUAUUUAGGACUAAUUUUUUCCACUAAUUAUCAAAGUUAGGUAGAAAGCAAAUUCACUAUAUCCUUAGCGUGCCAUCCUUUUCUUUAAAGAAAUUUUUGCAUGAAUGCCUCAUCAUUCAACUAUGUUAGUAAUUCAUUAUUGUGAAUCUUUGCAGGUCCUCAAUUAGCAAUUAUUAAGGAAAUAGGAAAACGACUCGGGAUGGGCAUAAAUAUAUACCCUUCUUGAUUUUAGUUCAAUAAUGAUAACGAUGAUCUUUGCCCUACGUUUUACUUAGCACUACACUAAAUAAUAUAUUAAUGUUUUGGACAUAGUAAGGUUUUUUUACAAAUUUUGAUGUCUUUUUUUGUAUUCCAAAAUGUAUAUACUCUAAAGUACUAAGAAGGACUGCUUGUACAAUGACUACAACGAUAUAUAGAACUAUUUUUACUAUUAUUCAAAUUUUUUCUAUACCAUUACAACAGCAAAACAUACAAUAAUUCUAUUAAUCACUUUAAAGAAUUCUUCAAAUUAUUUAGCUUAUAAGAAAUCAAGCAUACUAAUAUUUCCUUAAAAAGAACACAAGCCCAUGCAUUUCAACUAUAUGAUAAUGUAAUACUUACAAUAUUUAUUUCUAUAUAUUUCUUUUGUAUUAGCUAUUACUUUAAUUGAAUAAUAAUGAUUGAAUUAAGAAUUCAAAAGUAAAACCUCUAUGUCAAAUGAUAAUAACAAUUAUAUUUUUACAUAUUUACUUACAUAAAAUUUUAAAUUGUACUUUUCAAAUGAAAUAAAUAAAUUUAUAAAAUGUUUCAUACAUUUAAUUAUAUCUAAUUACAAUUUACAAAUAUUCAUAUUUAAAACUUUUAUAUUAAUAAAUAUAAAAUAUAAAUAAACAAAAACAAAACAACUAUGUAAAAAAUUUAAACUAAGUUCGCAAUUUUUUUAUUUCAUUACUAUAAUUAUUACUUUAAAAAAUUACGUAUACCAAAAUUACAUAUUCAAUAGCAGAUCUUUUGUAUAAUACAUAAGUACAAUUUCUAUUAAAUGAUGAAUGGACAAGUAUAAUUAUAACUUAUAUGAUAUUAGAUAUUUUUCAACUAACACGUGGUAUACUUUACCUUUAUUUCUCCUGUGCUUAAAUUGUAUAUUAAAAUAUUCAAAAUAUCCAUUAAAUAUCUCCUCUAAAUGUUUUAUAAAUAGUAAAUACCAUACCUUUCUACUUGAAGUUCAUUCACAUAUUGCACCUCAUUUCUGCUUACCAACUCUUCAAAAUAAACAUUUUCGAUAUUUUUUCCAUUUCCUGGAAAAAGAUUCCUUCUCAUUUUUAUAACUAUUUUUACUCUAACUUUUUGUUGUUCUCAUUAACAGAUAUCAAAGAUGGCUAUAUCGUAUAAACUAAGCCCAAAGAUUGGAACUUCAAAAAUGAAUUGGUCUGCAAAAGUAGUCAUUAUAGAAAAGUAAUCGCCUAAGAUUGCUCGUAAUUCGACUACCAGAUACUAGAAUAUUGUCCUCAUUGAUUUACAGGUACAUAAGUAAUAAUAUUUUUCAUAAUUUUAAACUUUUAUUAUACCUGUAUAUUUUAUAACUAUUUUUAACUGCACUAAUAUUAAAUAGGGUAAUUAAGUCAUAACAACACUGUAUGAAGCAAAUAUUACUGUACUUAAUGAUCAGCUGGACCUCGGAAAAACGUACGUCAUCCCAAAUGCAACAGUGAAAGAUAACAAAAGUGAGUUUAAAAGCUCAACCGAUGAAAAAGUGUGGACGAUCACAAGAAGAACAAAAAUUGAAGAAUUACGUGAGAAUAACUUGAACUUUGUCUUCUCACAGUAUUAACUUACCCCGUUUAAUGAAUUAGAACAAUACAUGAAUAAAAAUAUCAACAUCACUAAGAUUUCUAAUGCAUCACUUUAUCAUCACAUUCCACAGUUAUCUUAUGAUUGUCUUCGGAUUAACUACAUGUGACAUAUAUAUAUAUAUAUAUAUAUAUAACCCACUUUGGCACACAAGCUACUCUUCAGGAUGUUAUAUUGAUGGACAAACAAUAACAAAUAGUGAUGCUAAUCUUAUGUGAUAGUUUCGUGGACCGAGAAUGUGUUGCAAUUAUUGAAAAUCUUGCACAAAGACCCAUUAUAUGAGCUACUAAUCUUAAGGUGUCUUCAUCCAAUGGUAUAAUCUUGCAUACCUAUUCAUUUGAAACAUUCACAAAAUUGCAAUCAUAGAUUAAUUACUUUUUUUUUGUUUUGCAGGCAUUACCCUUUCAACCGAAGUCAAGAGCAUCAUCUUCAUUAAUUCUGAUCUAUUAGUUGUUGCAGACUAUAGAAACUAGUGCUCAAAGUAAUAACUACAUUUCACUAAUGAAAAAUAUUAAUACAAUAAUUAUUAUUUUUACUAUUUCUAUGUUUGUUUUCUUAUAGGAUGGAGGUUAACAAAGAAAUAUUUGACAAGCUUACAGAAAAUAAGCCAUUUGUUGUCGUAAGCCCGUCGAAACUAUCGCCUCCAACUCAGGACAAAUUCACACCAAUUACAGAUUUACUGGGAGUGUAUUUAGCGGUAAUAUAUUUUCAUUUAAUAUACAAGUAACAUAAUUUUUUUUCGUAUUCUAUACUGAAAUAUUAUCAAUCGAUAUUAUCUCCAUUUACUAUCUAUUGAAUAUAACUAAAUAUUUUUCUCAGAAAAAAUUUUAUUGGGUCAAAGCAUAUUAGAAAAUCAUUUCCAAAAAUCAAAAGUUUUGGUAUAUGACUUGUAACAACUACAAGAAAACAUCCAACUAGACUGUGGACAAAUUUAUAAAUGUCGAUUUUGCAAAUGCGAAUAUGCAAAAACUGUUCCAAGGUAGCUUGUACUAUUAAACAUAUAUUAAAUUUUUACAUCGCAUUAAUGAUUUAUUUAAAAACUACAUAAUACAUGCUAUGUUUUGCAAAAAAAUCAUUCACAGAGUAAAUGCUUUUGUUCAUCUUUAAGACACAUCUGGAUGGUUGGAUGCAACCAUUAUCGAUGAUAAGGCAUAAAAAUUAUUAGAAGUUACUGCAAAUGAUGUAAUGAACUAUUUCUAUAAGGUAAAAUUAAAAUUCUAACAUUGUUUAAUAUUAUUUAUUUCAAUACUUUAACAUUUACUAUUCUAAAAUGUUACUUCUAUUACAGGAAUCAGAUGUAGAAAUUGACAGUGUGAUGAAAAUGGAAAGUGAAAAUGAAGCACAAUUCUAUCUGAAAUUCACAUACAAACGGUAAAACCCUCCAGAAUACCAUUUUGAAAUUAUCUUUGCAUUGAACUCUUCAACAACAACAAAUGCACCAAAUGUCAUAGUUGAUGACAGCAAUCCAAGUGAACUGCAGGAAAAUUUGAAGGAAAAAAGUACAAAAGACAAAGAGAAGAUGUGUAUAGUCUCCCCAAAGACUAAAGACUCAACAAAUGUCAAACGGUCUCUCUUUGAAAUUGCAGACGAAAUUAUUAUACCAGACUCACAGGCUAAAAAGAAGCCUCGCAAAAGUUAUGAAACGGAAGAUGAACCAAGUUUUCAAGUUGAAAAUCACUACAUUAUUUUUUUUAUUGUUGUAUCAUUUGAUAGUAAUAAUGUAAACAAGACUACAUCGUCUACUUUCCAAGUACUGUCAAUUGUUAACUAAGAGCAGUUUGCAACUUUUGAAAGUUAGGAAUUUGCUUUCAAAGUAUUUUUGUUCAAUGUAAAUAUUGUAAUCUAAUAUCUUUUGCUAAUGUAUAACAAUCUUUAUAUUUUUGUCAAACAUCAUUUCAACAAUUUAUUACGUUUUGUAGUUUUCUUUUUGUAUUUGAAGACUGCACAAAAUUUUAUCGAUUUUUUGUUCAAUAGUUAAAUAAAUACAAUAUUGAAUAAAAAACAACUAAAUUUCAAUCUAUCACCUUUUGCUAAUGUAUAACGUUUCGUAUUUUUGCAAAAAACACUUCAACAAUUUAUUAAAUUUCGCAGCUUCAUUUUAUUUCAAAACUAUACAAAUCCUUUACAAACUACGAAUACAUAAUUCCAAUACAUAACUACAUUAUUAAUUACAUCAAUUAAAAUAAACUAUAUUAAAUUUGAAUUUGCAUUUACAUAUUUCAACUACCAACAUUUACUCAUACCAACUUCUAUCUACCAACAUUCAUUAUAUGACAACUAUCACAUUCAACCACUUAACCAUUAUCAUUUUGGCAACCAUUUCAUUUUCGUUUCACAAGCAAACAUUUGUUAAGCUUCCAAAAUCGAACGUCGCCACCGUUCUCGCCGCCUACUCUACUAUCGGAAAAGGUAAUUUUUAUGUGAUGAAAGUAAAUUUGGAAUUUAUUUAUGCUAUAAAGAAUAUAUAGUUUAGCCAAUAAGAAAUUUAGCAACUACUGUUAUGUUAAAAAAUCAAGCAAAACAUUUAUACAUUAUACUUUUGAAACCUUUCCCAAUUCAAACUUGAGCCUACAAUGUUAAGUAUUCAAACAUUUUAGGAUCGAUUGUUUCAGCAUGCUACAUGGCUAUGUUGAAUUGAUCUUUUUUUUUUUUUAAGAUUUUUUUGAUUUAACACAAAUAAUAAUUUUAAAUUUGUACUUUUUUACGUGAAAAAAGAAAAAUAGUUAAACUUCAAGCUGCUAAUUUUAACUUCGUUCUUAAAGUUUAGAACUAACCACUCUAUGCAGUGCGAAGUGUUUGGUGAAAUACUCCGCACACCAAACACUCCGCAGCUUAAAGUUUAGAACUAACCACUUUGCGCAGUGCGAAGUGUUUGGUGAAAUACUCCGCGCACCAAACACUCUGCACUGCGUAGAGUGAUAGUCACUUUGCGCUGAGCGGAAUGUCACGGAGUGUCCAAUUUUCUUUUUUUCUUUUUUUUCUUGGUACAUAUUUUUGGUAAUUUAGCUAUAACUUUGGCUAUGAUUAUCAGAAUCGCGCCCAUGACCCCAAUUCGAAAAGCUCUUUUCUAUGCGCAAGUCGUGGCCAACAGCUUCUUUGGGUGGGCAUCAUUUUCGUCAAAAUCCGCUAUUUUCCCUUCCAAAUCCCCAAUUAUAGUUAUUCUCUUCCUUUUAUGGCAUCUUCUAUGAAAACAUACUUUCUAUCGUUCUAAAUAUUUAUCAUACAUCAAAAAAAAUAAUAAUAAUAAUUGACAUCAUACACUUUUUUAAAAAAAAAUAAUGUAAAUUAUAUUGAGAAAAUUAUUACGUAAAAAUAAUAAACAUUAAAAAAAAUUGAUUUUUUAGGGAAAAAAAGACAAGUUAUACUUAUUUUUGAACACACACAUUUAAUAUACGUUUAACUAUCUUUGAUAUUCAUUUAGACAAUUCAAUGUGUCCAUGAUAUAGUUCUUGAACUGAGCUUUAAGAGAAUAUAAAACAUUUAUGAAUUCGACUACCGUAUAAUCGUUAACGAAUUUUUAAAAUUAGCUUGUUAUCGAAAUUUUUAAUUUUUAAAAUGAUAUCUCUUUUUACACUAAAAAUAAUUUAAAAGUUAUUAGGAAUUUUUUAAAUCACGUCAAACAUUUUAUUAAAUUAUUUACAAAAUUAGUUUUGCAGUAGUGGUGAUAUAUUAAUUAAGUUGAAAAAUUAAAAUAGGAUUGAAGGAUAAAAUGGAAAAAUGAAAAUACUUCACAAAUGAAAAGUAAAUGGCAUAUUCAUUCUUACAGUGUAGUGGGAAUAGAAAAAAUAGGAAAAAUAUAUCGAAAAAAUCACUAAGAAUAGGUAAGUUAAAGACUUUGAUGAAAAUACCAUGAUAUGCUUAGAUUUUUUAAAUUUUACACCAUCAUAAAGAUAUUUUGGACAUUCCAAACAAUUUUUGACAAUACUGUUUAUUAAAUAAUUCAAAAACUACUAUCUAUCAAAUUCCUAUUUGCAUUUAACCAUAAUUUCACUUUGAGCUCUCUUCUUCUCUGUCUUUAACCUUAAUUUCAAUCUCCCUCUCUCAAUAUUUAACUUUUACAACCAAUUUCUCUCUAUCUUUAACCUUAAUUAUAAUUUCCCUCUCUCAAUAAUUAUUACACUUCUGCUUACUAUUUUUUUUCUUGUUAUUUUCUCCUUUUUUUUCUCUUCCAUUUACACACAAUUACAGUUUCCUGUAUAACGAUUAAUUUAGCAGCAUAAUCAAGUCAAUAGCCCUCAGUUUUUUCUUCAUUUGCAUAUUCAUAUAUAGGUAAGUGGGUUUUUAUUUUGGAAUUUCGUUGUGAUAAUUUUUAUUAUUCUCUUGUUUCUUAAGAAAAAUUCAAUCUUGAAUAUUGUUCUUAUUUAGUGUUUUUUAUGGUCAAGAUUUUUUCCCCAUGUUACACUUACAAAUUUUCAAAAAAAAAUUUUUAAAAAAGUUAAAUGUUCAUUUCGAGAACACGGUGAGGUAUUGUUAAGCCUUAAAAAAAAUUUUUUUUUAACAAUUAUAGAUUACAUUUAUUUUUGUGUAAUAGAUGUGUGAGUAAUUGUGUUUGUAGAACUAUUUUAGUAGUUGUUGCUCAUAGGGCUUAAUGUUUUAGAUAUGUACACAAUGUAGAUAAUAUUUUUACCUUCUAUUAAUUUCUAAUAGUCCACUUCUCUCGAAAUACUAAUCACAUGCUUUUUAUCCUGUCUAAGAAUAAAAACAUCACUUGUUAGUUUGUAUAUGUAUUUGUAACUUCUUACAGGAUAUGCCUACUUGUAAUCUUACUUUACCUAAUAUUCUUAAGAUUCAACAAUCGGUUUAUUCACUUGACAACGUCAGCUUAGAAUAUUCUAUGUAAUAAAAGACUGAUUUUCUAAAAGAUGUUGGUUUCUUUGAAGAAGAGCUUCAUUUUUAUAUUAUUCACUUCCUUCCUUGGAAGUGGACGAGAAAAAUCUAGGUACUAUCAAAAGCAUACAUAUGGAGGAUAAGCUUCUAGAUUUUGAAAAUAUUGAACAUAACUACAUGUAGUAUUAAGUUAUGUUAAGGAGUUUUUGAAUUCUACAGAGUUUGAGUUAAUGAAAUAUCUAUUAAAGCAUUAUUUAGCAGUACAAUGCCUUGAAGUUUCACUACUCAAAUUCCUCAUUGCAAAUAGACACCUAAGUGUUUUCGAACAACCACAUUUUUAGGAGUACUCAACGUUCCAUUAAGGAAAAUAACCAUUGAUGAAGAAUUUUUUGAGUAAGUUAGACUGAGAGUUAAACCAAAGAAUGUAAAUAGAUGUAUGUGCUUUAACAAAAUAUUCAAUGCUAGGGUUCUUUAUUAUUAAGAAUAUGUGAUUCCUAUCAUGUAAAUUUUUAUUUCCAUGUACGAAAAUUAAGUUAAAUUUAUAUAUAACUUGCAUGUGUUAAGCAUGCCGCCAGCGUUCAUCCUGAACCAGGAUCGAACUCUCCAUGAGAUUCAUAGUUGCAUUACUUAUAGCUUCCAUUUAAGUCUCCAACAAUUAUUCCAAUAAUUACAUAUCUGAUUUGACCUAUGGACGAAUAUGCAAGCAUACGUUUCAUGCUUGUUUGAGUAUAUAUAUACAUAUACAUAUAUUUUAUGAUUAAUGAAUAGUUUUUUUUUAAUAAUUUUUGCAGAUGUCGUUAGAAUACAUAUUAUAGAUGGAGAAGAUCAAGCUUCUUUAAUAUGCAGUCACUUUCACGAAUUUAUCUAUGGAAGUAUGUAUAAAAAACAAAAUGAAAAUUUAGUAGCAAAUUAAUACAUGAGUUCAUAAUGAGACUUAUCGAGGCAAAAAUAAUGAAAUUUGGGUACGAUUAGACAAUCAUGUGGCCCGUUUUAGCACGCAAUAAUUUUGUCUAAUCACUGGAUUACCAUGCCAUGAAAUUGUUGUUGAUUUCAAUUUUAGUAAUACUCGACUUAGAGAUGAAUACUUCAAUGUUACAAAAAGAAUUACUAUGAAAAGACUUUCUGAAGUAUUCCACAUGUGUCAAGAUCGAGAAGAUAAAUUCAAGUUAGGAUUAGUUAUGUUUGUUGAAUGCGUUUUAAAACCAAAUCGAAGGUACAUCAAUUUUAGAACUCUUGGAUGAUUGAACAACUUGAUGAGUUUCUUAUAUAUCCAUGGGGACGUAAGGCAUACUUUGUUUUAUUGAAUUCACUGAAAGAAUCACACAUCGAAAGAGUACGAAGGACAUAACAAAAUGACCAAACAGAUUGUAAAUAUUCGUUACAUGGUUAUUCACUUGCAUUCCAGGUAUUUUUCUUUUAUUUUUUCCUGUUUCAUAUAAUUUAAUCAUAUUAAAACUUUAAUAUUUAUUUUUACUUUUAUUUCAAUAUUGGAUAUAUGAAGCUUUUCCUCAAAUUGGAUGAUAAUUCGGACGUCGUACCCGUAAAAGCUUACAGUGUCCACGUAUACAUAAAUGGAAGCCCAAAAUAGUAUUAACGGAACAAAUCAUUAAACAAUUUUUUGCUACUCAAGAGGUAUGAUUUAUUUCAAUUUACAAUUAAAUAUGUAUUUAAUUAUUUAUAAAUUAAUUUUAAAACAUAAAUCUAAUAUUUUAUUACAAUUAUAGACUGAAGUAAUUGCAGUACUAAAUCCUAUUGAAGAAGAAUUUGAAACAUUCUGGUAAACAAAUCUUUCACUACCGACGGACAACCAACAUCGUAUACUAGAUGAUAUUGUCAAUGGUGAAUUCGACAAUGUAGCACAACAAAUUCCAACUGAUAACAUUCAUAUGCAAGAAAAAACUAUAGGCACUUCAGUUGGAAUUGAAUCUACUUCUUCUGGUAACUCAAACUAUGUAACUAAAUAAGAUAUGAAUCAGAUGUUCAACAUAUACAGACAACAAGUAGUGUCACAUGUAUUUGGUUUCUAUGACAGAUUAAAAACACAAAUGACUGAAGAAUCAACAAAACAAGAAACUCGCUAUCAUGCAAUUCUUGAAAAGCAAGAAGCUCACUGCCAAAUGAUUCUUGACAAUUAAAAACAAUUUUUCGAACAUCAACAAUAAAGCCAACAAGACUACUUCCAGGGCACGCAAUCUAACAUGCAAUCUUAUGUGGAUACCAGUUUUAGUUUAGCAAAAUUUUACAUUGAUGAACAAAAUCAAAGUAUGCAGAAUCAGUUAUCUAACUGGAAAUCACACAUGAAAACGAUUGUCAGCUCUAUACAACGAGAAUUACCUGCUCAUACAAGUCCAAUUGAAUUCGAAAUCCCUUCAACAUCUGAACAUAUUGAAGAUGUGGAAAGGUCGAUGAAAGAAAAAAAAAAGGUAAGCAAAAACAGACACAAUCUUCAUCAACAAUGCCUACUAAUACUUUAGAAGACUAUAAUAUCGACAAGUACAAAAACAUUAGAGAGUGGAUAUUACAAAAUUCAUCAGAGUAAGAUAUUCAAUUUUACCUUGUUAACUUCAAUAUUAUAAUUUGUAUUUUACUCAUUUAACACUAAUUCAAAUUCUCUUAUACAGCGCAUAUUGGAACGAUGAAAUCGACAAUCUAUACGGAAGACAAUCGCUAGAAAAUAUAUUAGAUGACACGAAAAAUAUAAAUAUUGUGGUAAGUAAAAUUUAGUGAUCAUAAUUCAAUUUUCUCCUUUAUUAAUAUAUCUAAUUUACAUUUUUUUUUACUAGCAUAUUGAUAUAGAAUUAAAGCUAUUGAGAAAACUUGUUACCGACGGUUCUCCCCUGCUUUCUAAAAAAUAUGCAAUCAUGGACCUUAGAUUCAAAAUUGAAUGUGUUCAUUGGUAUACAAAUAUGAAAGAAGGAACUGGCCAUUCUACAACUAAUUUCAAUGCAUUAUAACAAUACAUAAAAGAAGAAUUGCAUGUAUCUGCUCAACCGUGGAUAACAUACAAUUAUUUAUUAAUUCCAGUAGCAUAUCCAGGCAACACUUGGUUUCUUUUUUUGUUGAUUUUCGAAAGUGAAGAUUUCAUAUAUAUGAUUGCACCCACAACAUUCAUACAUCAAAAGAAAUCAGAGAACGUGCAGAACCAGUAUUAACUGUAGUGGAAUAUUUAUUAAUCUCUGCAGACAUUUUCUUCAGCAAACCAAGUUUAAAAAAACAUAGAAAUAAACAUAUGAAAUUGGAAAUCAUACCGGAUCUACCUUGUCAAAAGAAUGGGUAAGCAUCUCAACAAUUUACUAUAAUAUUUAAUUUUCCAUUUAAUUUUAUUUUAUAUUUACAAUAUUAGUAUAAUCUAACUUCAAACUAUUUUUUCUAUAGGCCAAAUUCUGGAAUUUUCCUUCUCAAAUACAUAGAAUGCUUUGUUUUCGGAUAUCCAUUAAAAUCAGUUUCACCAAAAAAUAUAAGUUUAUAUAGACAAAAAAUUGCAACAGAUAUCUGUUACAAUGAAUAUUUUUUACGUCCCUAUUUGUCCCAAUUCUAACGAAUUAUCAAAAUGUAGUAAGAUUCUUAAAAUACAGUAAGACUCUUUUAUUAAAAUUCAAUGUAUAAUUUUAUAUUCACAACUUUAAAAUUGUUUAUUUUAAAUAUUUCUGUACAUAGGAAUAAAUGUAGGUUGUUCGAUAGCAAACAUGAAACACUACUAAUUACAUGAGAUUUCAAAGUGUCGGAGUCACAUUUUAUAAAGGAGCAAAUUAUUGUAUUUUGAUGACGGUUAGCAUCAAUAAUUUCUCAAUAAGGUUAGUAAAUCUAUUAAACCGUUCUAUAAUUUAAAUGUUAUGCUUUUUUAACUUUUUCCAUUACACAUUUAUCUGUUGCAUUAAUUAACACUUUUGUAGUUUUAAUUGCUUCUAAAGUUAAAUUUUACUUAUUUAUUAUUCACGCAUUUUAGGAUAAUUUACAAUAAUUAUUGAUCUUUUGUUUAAUUUUUCUUUUUUGUUAUUCAAUAUUAUGUUUCAACUUUAAUACAUGCUCUGCUUUUAGAUCAAUUUCUUUCUUCACAAUCAAAUCAAACCUUAAAAGGAAAAAAAUUAUAUUAUAAUCUCCUAUGCAUAUCUCCAAUCAUACGUACGUUUCAUACCCAUGCUCUAUUGUGUGUUUCAAAUUAUUUCAAUGAAAUUUGUAAAUAAGUAAAAAUUACUAACUUUUUCUAAUCUUUUGUUCAAUUUCUCUAUUUUGGCUUUCAAUUUAUAUUUUGGCUCUUUGAACUAUCGCUUGUAAUUUUGUUUCUUUCGAGUAAAUAUUUUUAAGUCAAUUUUAGUUCAGUUUUUAUUUCUUGCUAUAAAGAACUUAUUGCCUCUACCUCUAUUGUAUUUUGUACAGAAGGCGACAUGUCCCUGGUCGAUCAAGUAUUUGUUUUGCGUGGUUUGAGAAAGUUGCACUAUUGGCUUUUGUUUGAAGGUAAAAUCUAUGAUACGAAAUACAAUUUUUCAUUCGUUCUUUCUAAAAGAAACAUUUCACAGUUCUUUCUUGUUGUGAUUUCUUAAAUGCAAAUAAAAUUCCAAUUUGUCAAUGUUAAAGCCAAUGCCUUGCAAACAUCCUUUGAUUGAGCAAAAAAAAGGUGUAAUCAGCUUUGAUUUUUGUGAAAAUGAAUAUCCUUUCUAUUUAUCUUAGUUUUUAACUGCACAUAUGAAUUUAUCUUUUCAUUUAUCUUAGUUUUUAACAGCUCAUAUGAAUGUAUCAUUUGUAUCUAUUACUUGUGUAUUUUAAAUUGAAGUGGUUGAUGUCACAUGGCUAAAUACCUGUGUAAGAUUAUAAAAAAAAAUUUCUUUUAAAUUUCGAAUUUCCUUGUCUUGUCAAUGCUUGGUGCUUAAUUGUCUCUCUACACUAUUCUUUAAUAUAUGACUAAAGAAAACCAUGGGAGAUAUUGUGCACCAAAUCUUGACCAGAAUUUCAACAAGGGAUAUGAUGAAAAGAAUGUUGUACAAAAUCUACACCAAGCUUGCGUUUUAAGAUAGCCAAUGAAAGCGGAAAACUAAGGAUUUUGUCUGAUUAUGUGACAGGUUGUGCAAUUCAUCAUCCAAUGAAACAGAACAAAUACAAUAAAGAUUGUGCAAAUGAAGUAAUCUGUUCACUUGGUAUGUUACAAUUCCACUUUAUCAAUGCUUUACUCAACAAAAAAUAAAUAAAAUUAAGGCAUGAUGUAUAAUGUGUGCUUGCAUGAAUAUCCAUUUUCAUUUUGUAGAUGAGUUGAUGUGACCCAAGUCCCGUAUACUAUAAUGUAUACUAACAUUAACUAUGCUACUUUGUUUUAUUAUCACAGAGUAUCGUCAUUUAUCAUAGUUUUAUUUUAAUUAUUUAAAUUUUCUUCUCUAUUGAAAAUGUCAACUCACAUUCUGGUGUUAAUAGUUUUCGUUGUGCUCUGAGAAACGGGGUGUGUGGUUCCGGUGGUCGUUGGCGGCUUUAUGGUUGGCGGAGUGGUGGUUGACGGCAGUGGGGUCGUCGGAUCUCUGCGCUAUUUGCGCUGCUCGAAGUUCCCGCAACUGAUUUCAAACUGGAUUCCACUGAAUCUAGCCUUGUUCCCAUCCUCAGCAAUCGUACUCUCUCUAAGGUAUUUAUAAUUGGGUAUCCUCAACUUUGUGUAGUUUUGAAAAUAGUGCGGUUAUUUUUAAUUCGAUGUUUUCAUAGACAUAGUUCUAUUUCUUUCUUUCUUUUAUUUUCGGUUUUAUAUGAUCGUUCCUUUUGUUGAAACUUUUAAUCGGGCGGUCAGAAUUUUGGAUUUAUAACAACAAUUUGAAAGGAUAAUAUCGUCUUUGAUCUUAUGGUAUUGAUUAACUAUUUAGCACAAUAAUGCUCUUAUUUUUAAAUUUAUAAUGUGUGACCAAAGAUUCUGGAAUACAUUAUAGUGAUUCCAAUACUUCAUAAUACCAAUUUUCUAUUUGAAAAAUGUAAUGAUGAAUCUAUGAAUUUCUUCAAAAAUAAUGGACAUCUUAGAUUAGAUUUUAUCGGAAAGACAUGAAAAAUGAAGAUGGUGGUUUAAUUGAUGGGAUCCAAUUGGCAUGCAUCGCCGGAAAAUGGGAUUAUUGAGUUGGAAUUCAUUUAUUAAGAUAGAUGAUUAUUCUGUCCUAAAAUCAUGACAUUUUUUUUAUAACAUAAUCUGUUUUUUUUUUUUUUUUCAUAAGAGGUCUCCGAGAGACAACUCUCACCCACGGAGCACUCUUUUCAAUUUCUCAUUUUCUAAUUAAAAUUUUUGAGCUUCUGAAUUGUUUUUUGGUUUUGAAGGACUUGAGAAGAAAACAGGAGGAUGUCACUGAUGCCAAACCAUUUUCGUAAAGUGGGAACAAGGGUUUUGCCAUCUUCAUCACCCUUUUUUACGCUGCGGCCUGAGAGGCGUAUGUCUAAUUCAAGAGGGUCUGAGUAGAACUCGAAUUUUCAGGACAAAGAUAAAGAGGUCAACAUGCAGGUUCUGCUAAGAUGUAUGUGAAUUUUUUCAAGAUUUAAUUUAUUCACUCUUUCAAUGUUUUUAAAGUAAAUUCAUUAUAGAUUUUUGUUUUUAGGUUUUAAUUCACAAGCACGGAAAUUUAUAUUAAGGCAGGAAAGUUGAAAUCUAUCAAAAAAUUAUGCAAACAUAUUUCCCACUUUGGUUGGGCCUAAAUUUGCCAGUAAAUCAAUAAUGUUACAAAAUGAGAACUCCAUUUGUGAACUCAUCUCUUCGAUUUUGUUUAAAUGUACUAUGUUAACUAUUUUAUUUGAAUUUAAUUUUAGGGCAUUGAGUGAUGAUGAACAGAGGGCGAAUGUGCCUAAGGUUAUCACUCGCAAUGAAAAUAAACGACAAGUCACUAUUUUGAAGGCCUGGCUAACAAGCAAUUGUUUUUCCCAAAAAUUUGAGCAAGCAUAUCUAGCAACUCUGGGUCUUUUAGAGAUCAAAGAAUUUAGUGUUGUAACCAAGAAUUAGGAUUUUCUAUUGGGCUUAUCUUGAGAUUUCUUCAAAUCUUCGAUUUUCAUCGAAAUUCUAAUUCGGGAAUAGCCCAUAUUGCUUUAGCGCUAUAAAUUUCAGAAGCAUGAAAAAUUUUGGCAGUUCUAUAUGAACCAGCACUUAAAACCAGCCACAAGAUGUUGGCAUUUUGUUGGCACUUUGUGUAGUAUUCUGUGCUUGGUAUACUCAAUGUUCUUCAACUGGCGGUGCCUAAUUUUCGUGCCCUUAUUUGGGUAUUGUUUGCCGUGGUAUAGCCAUUUCUUUGUUGAAAAGAAUGUUCUAGCAACUUUUGGGCAUCCCUUCUCGUCUCUACUAUGUGAUUGGAAGAUGUUUGGCCUAAUGCUUGGUCAAAUGGAUAGAGAAAUCAAGAGGCUUGGUAAGGGGCCUAUCUUGCAAACCUACGGAUUUUCUGAUUUUAGUUUGUUUAGAAGACGUAGUUUUAAUAGCAAGUGAAUCUUUUUCAAUUUUGUUUGAACUUUCUAUAUUGCCUUUUCUGUUCCUUUUUUUAUGGUCUUCACCAUUACUGCAAUCACACCACCACCAACACCAUCAUCACUAACACAACAACGCACCAGAGACAUAUCUGUGCACACCACCACACACAUGUACACACUAUCACAUAAAGAUCCGCAUCACAUAUUUAGCCUUCAAUCGUCACCAAAGCCUUUGAACUCAUCCAUCACCAUCGAUAAAAAAAAAUCCCCAACACCUACUCACCUUUGAUUGGAGGCUCAGCCCCUCAUGUAGGCCCACAUCCUAAAAUCAGCAAGGACUAUUUACAAGUUCGUAUUUUUUCAAGGGGUCUGAUGUUGUAAAGAUAUUAGAUACACUUGCUCAGUUUUAUCCAGAUGUCAUACUACCUAAUAUCAGACAAACUUUAACUGUUUAAAUAUUUUUCAUGUAAGGUGCAAUAAAGAGCUUUUGAUAGUAGUGUUAAAAAGGAUUUUCCUGUGUCCCCUCUUUCAUCAUUUUAAGCCAUGUAUUUGCUUUUCAGUGGCCCACUGUCUCCAUUAAUUAAAUUGUUAAUUCUUGUUAUUCCCAAUUCAUCCUAUGCUUCCGUUACGCCAGUAGUUCUCAAGUUAUUAUACAUGAUUGUGCUAUUUGAAUGUUCAGCCAAGCUUUUUUGUCUUGGGCAUUUUACAUUGUCAAAUAUGGUUGUUUUUUAGGCUUGAACAAAGAACAACAAGAUACUGUGUAAAAUACUUAUUUAUAUCUAUAUUUCUUUAGAAAACAAAAUCUCCAUUUUUCUUUGUAUGAUAGUUAUUGUCAAAAGCUUUGACAGUUCCUGAAACAACAAGCAUUAAUGAUGCUUGUGUCGUCAGAUAGCUGCUCGUACAAUUAAUGCCUUAUUGCUGACUGAUUCAAAUGCAUUAUUGUGCUAAAUCCUGACCAAUAGGGUAUGGUAUGGCUUCUAUUGCACAUUUGGUAAAUUUGAAGCAAUUAAAAGUUUAGAUCUUUCCCUUACUCUUGCUUUUUUUUUUUUUUUCAUUGAAGGAUAACACUACAAAAGUUGUUGCUUGUGAAGUUAAUCUCGAUGAAACGACUGUUUCAAAACUCAUAACAAAAAUUAUUGUCUUGAACUGCUUUCAAUAUUUCAUAUCCAAUGUUAACAUAUUUUCUACUUUUUUUCGUAUAAUUAGCUCUUUAUCUUUACUGGUUUUUUGUCAGGCUUCCUUAUGCACCAAUUAAAUACUUUCUUCGCUUCCCAAAAAUUCAUUCAAUGUAGUUCUCUCUCAUGAAUACUCAAUACUUAAGUAAGUCAACACACUAAUAUCACCUUCUAGAAAAUUCAAGCCAUGCAUUACAUGGCCAGAAACUAGUAUAUAUAUAAACGGCAGAUUGAAGGGAUUAUUUUUUGAGGACUUCAAAUUGGAGUAAAAGAAAAGGGGCUGCUGGUCUAUAAUAUAUAUAUGUAUAUAUAUAUGCUUGGAGGAUUUUUUUGGCAGCCAACUGGGGAGAAAAUUGGAGGGGAAGACGUCGACUACGGUUGGAGUAUAAAAGGCAGCCGCUUGGGAAAUUGUUGAGAGAUUCACACAUAUAAUUGGGCAGCCGAUUGGAGGGGAGUUGGAAAAAAAAAUACAACCUGGUUGCUGCCUUAAAUUAUAUAUACACAAACAAUAACGGCAGUUUGAGUGGAAAAGAAAGUGGAGAAAUUGAAAAGGAAUUGAGGCUACCUGGUAUUUAUUGGAGAAGAUAGAAAAAAAGUUGAGCUGCUGGAAUUGAAUAGAUAUACGCAUUGGGUGGCUAAAUUAUUUAAUCUAGACACAAAGUUGGUGACUGCAAGGGUGAAAUUACACACGGCAAAAGGCACAUAAAUUGGAAAAAAAUACAUACUUGCUCAGCCUUUACAAGUUAAUCACAUUCCGUCGACUCUCGGUGAUCUCUUUCCUCUUUUAUAUGUUUAAUCCCAAAAUUAUGCUAGGCUAAGUCUUUUCAUGUAUUGAAUGGAUGACAAAAUUGUUUAAUUCUUAGUUUUAAUUCGAGACCUAUGUUUUUAUCUAAAUUUUUGAGGUGUGAUUCCAUUAAUAUCCAUAAUUACAUUAUUUUGAUGUUUGCGUACCAUUAGGACAAUAAGUUGCUUAUUCGUAGUGUUGAAAAACUCACAAUAGGUAGAACACUAUUAUUGGUACAUACGGACAAUAAAUAUUAGACAUAAUAUUUGUAGCAUGUGCGAUAAUAUGUGAUAAUCAUAAAUGUCAAUGCAUGUUUGCCAUAUGAAUUCGAACUAAGAAUAGGAUCGUCUCGUGGUAAUCAUAUGUUUAUUCUAUCUUGGGAAAAAAUAAUAAAUAAAAGUGAAAUUAUCAAUCGUCGCAAUUGCAUGAAUUAAGAUAAUUAUUACUGGUUGAGAAUUAGAAUUAAGAAUUAAUCAAUGGCGUCGAAAAUCCAAUACGUUCACACACUUGAAUUUUUUUAAAAUCAUUUUUCAUUGAUUUCGUAAGUUUUAAUUAUAAAAAUUAUUUAGCUAUUCAUUCGAUCGUCUUUUGAUUGCAAACACGAAUUUAAAUAUAUUAAACAUACUAAAAUUAAUCAUUAUUCCCUGUGGGACGAUAACUCUCUCAUCACGAUUAUUACUUGUAUAAUGAACUUGUACGCUUGUGGGAUCUUGACGAACCGUAGCUCUUGCAGUUGUAGAUAUAUAAGAGCCAUUGAACUGUUCCGGACGUCAUCAUCCAAUGUUUCACUUUGACCCACGUCAUCAUCCAACGUUUCACUUCGAGCCAUCUCCAAUAGGCAAUAGUUACACCUGUUGGGGGAUAUGGUAUAAAGGAUAUUUUAUACGUGGACAAUAUUUUAGCACGAGUUCAACAACACAAAAAUGAUGUUAAACUACAAAGGAAAAUGAUAGAACCAAAAAUUAGAAAAAGAAGAAAUUUGGAUGAAAUUAUCCAGACAACUGAUAACACUCUUUCAUUUAAACGAAUUUGUCUUGUAAUGGUGCUAACAAAGUAACGGCAAUUGUCUCUCGAGAUACAACGGAUUACUCUUUGCAGUAGAAGCACUUCCAACAACAAAGCAAUACUGAACUUGAACAGAUUAUUCUAUAUUCAAAGAAUGAUUUUGAAUGAAAAGUUUGAAGAGUUAUUUAUGUAAGACUCAAAAAUAUGAAUUGAGAUGCCUAGAUAACGUCCAAAGGGUCCAAUUUAUAGAAACCUCGGUGCUCGCUUGAUGUUGAGCUAUCACUCAAAAGUCAUAAGUGCUAAAAAUCGAAAAAAAAUUCUUCCGACUUUGGAUCACAAUUUCUUAUUCUUUUGGAAAUUGAUUUUGAGAUUUUAAAUAUAUCACGAUCAUCUACUAAAUGAAUCGAACAAGCUAGUCUAUUUAUUUGCAUAUUUUGAUUAUCGGAUCAAGUUCGAAUAUUUGGCCGAAUUGACACCAAAGUUAUUUUUCACAUUUUUCAUGGUUUUAUACUUAAUUAAUUUUCAUCUCUUUUAAACCAAAUUCCAACAUUUGAGGUCAAUUUUGCACCCUUUUUGUGCAAAUUUUGUACCAAAUUGAAAGCUGUCUCCAAUUUUAAAAACCAAAAGUUGUACUAAAUGAACAUUAUUUCAUCAUUUUUUUUUCAUUUGUAAUUCUUAACAAUUCAUCUAUCUCAAAAAUUAUUUAAUUAUUUUUUUUGCUACUACAUAAAUUAUUAUAAAAAAAUUUUAUUGAUUACAUGAUUAAAAUUUAUUACAAAUGCAUAUAAUAAUGAUAAUAACAAUUACACAAUUAAAUUAAGAAUUAAAAUAAAUUGUAUAACAAAAAAGAAACACAAGGGAAAGAAAAUCUUGUUCUAUACCAAAAUGAAGGGAAAAAUUAUACAAAUUUCCUUUGCACCAUUUUGGCGCAGAGGAAUAGUGUUGCACAUGUGCACCAAAAUGGUGCAAAAAAUGGCGCCUGGUUGAAGGAGGUUUGCACCAUUUUUUUGGGUGCAAAAUGAAACAUUUUAAUGUUUUGGGAUCUCCAUUGAAGAUGCCCUAAAAAUGAAUGAAAUUGUUGGGAAUUUUAGUCUCGACAAAUGUGGUAAGCAAUACUGUAUAUUGUAGAUUUAUUGUGAGAGAAAGUUCAAUUUAAUAUAAUUACAAAUCUCAAAACCAAUACAAAAGCUGGUGUAUACACUCUACAGUCUCUUAGUCACUAAAUAUAUUCGCGUCCCAGUCGUGUGUUACUAUAACUCAGAUAUCUACAAGAAUCUAGGCUAUAUUUUUCAAUUCUACCUUUUUUCUCUGCGCAUACAAUUUUCCCAAUAAGACAUACUUAGAAGCUACACACAUCUAUAGAUACAAAAUAGGCGGAGUUGCAUUUUUCCUUUUUAAGACACAUCUAUAGAUACAAAAUAGGCGGAGUUGCAUUUUUCCUUUUUAAGCAUACCAAGGUGUAGGACUAGGACAAAUUGACUCAUUUGAAACGUCUGUGUUUACUGGGCCGAUUCUCUAGGUUUUUAACUCGCUUGAGUCACCUCAUUGUUUAAGAAUAGUAGAGCACAACGUGACAGUAAGACACGAUCCAUGUUCUAUUUUCAAAUGCUUAAAACACACGUUGAGUCAACUUUUUUGAUACAUUAACAAACUUAUUGUUUUGACAUUGAUGAGGUUUUUUCCGGAUUAAAGUUUUUUUAGGGUCUCACAUGGAAAAAUAAACCACAUUGAUCUACAGCACAACUAGUAUGGUGUGAUUAGAAAUUCACAUUGUCAAAUAACUUUUCUAGUUAUCGAGUGAAACUUAAAAAAUAUAAUAAUAAAUUAUUGAACUAUCUCUACUUUCUCAAUAUUUCAAAUUGUUUACUAGUUGGAAAAAUUAUUCAUGGACAUGAAAUAAAUAUUAAAAAUUCAAACAUAAAUAAAAAGCAAAUAAAAAGAAAAUAAAAUUUGGGAAUGAAAUCAUAAAUAUUAAUAAGUGAAAAUUACAAGAGUCCAGGCAUUUAAAGAUCACAAUGCAAAAAUUUGGUGGGAAGGUUUUUUAUUUAGAAUUCAUAUAUUAAUUUAAUAAUAUUAAUACUAAAUAUUUCAUCCCCAGUUUAUCCCUAAAGUUCAAUUUCACAACACCUUCUGAUUUCCUCCUCUCCUCACUCUUUCUAGAUAACCCUCGUCUCCGGUGCCGCUGCCCAGUGCUGGAGACCAAGCCCACUACCGGAAGUUACCACCGAACUCACAUCAACGAUCGUUCAUUGGCUCACUUAGGCAGAAGUGCAGCAACUACGUCUUGUGACGAUUGAAAAUUUCACCGACGAUUCAUGGCAUUUCCCUGGCGGUGUGAGCACCGGUUCUUCUUUGCUCACUACGACGACGAUGAUGGAAUUGUGAGCAUGCUUCUUCUCUGCUAAGCUUUUGUUGGUCGAUGCUAUUGUGAACGGCAACCUCGUGAUGGUAUGGUGUGGAUCUAGGUAGCGAUAUGGUGUGGCACAGGCGGUGGCUAUAGUGGUCGGCAUUUUUUUGGUUGGUGUUUGUUCGUGGUGUGAGCGGCGACUCUCCGUUCAGCAGCCGCGAUGUUUACAAUAGCUGUAGCAAUAUUGUGUUGUUCUAUAGUGGCUUGUGGUAUUUUCUUCAGUGGCAAUGUGAUGUUUGUGGUGUAGUAUUGUUGGUAUGUUGAAGGGGAAUACGUGGCGGUUGGUGGCCGGCUUGGCUUUGUGCAUUGGCUAGCGGGUAGCGGUGGUAAUUUUCAUGUGGUCGUGGUCAUGUUGGCGGUGGUUGUGAUGGUGAUGUGAUGGGAGUGGGUAGUGUUUGUGACGAAGUAUUAUGGCUAAAUGGGAUCAGGAUAGGGUCUGGUGAUGCGGUGGUGUGGAGUGGUGUGGUGCAAGCGGCGAUUAGGUGGUGGUGAUUUGUGACCAAGAUUGGUGUUAGAUCGGGAUCGGUGGUGGGGGUGUUUGAAAUCUCUGACCAACUAUUUUAACGCCUGUAACCAACUAUUUCGCUGAUUUGUGACAAAAAAAUUAGGUGUGUGUGAUUAAAAAAUAAUUUGUGACCUAUGUGUCACAUAGAUAAAAUGUGACAUGUAAUUUUGAUGAUCUGCGACCUCAAAAUAAUUUGUGAGCUACAAAAUUUUUGAUUUGUGACCACGAAAUAAUCUAUGAUCAAUUGAUUUGACGAUAUAUGAUCAGUAAAUAAAUCUGUGACCAAUAAUUAUGAAUUUGUGACCAUUAAUUGCUUAACCGUGAUUUUAUUAUUUUUAUUUAAUAAUUAUUUUUAAUUAACUAAAAAUAUACCUGAAUUUUGAAUUUUCAUACUAUUUACUUGAUUUUUGAAAUGAUGUAAAGAAUAUACCUGCAAUAUGAUUUUUUCCCCUAUUAAUAAUAACCAAACAAGUUAUUUCAUUUCAAUACCUUAAUAUAAAUGAGAGGAAAUAAGCCCAGUACGGCCCAAAAUCAUGAAAAUUGAUUGAUACGCUUAAUUAUUAACAGUAAUUUUUACGUGAAUUCUCAGUUAUAAAGUUUUGUUACCUUUUGUACUAAAAGUGACAGAGAACAAAAGUGGCAUAUGAUAUGUCAUUUAUUUAUAUUUUUAUUUUGUUUCAAAGUGACAAAUCUUGAGCGUGAGAUAGUAAUAGUAUCAUGUAAUAGUAUAUCCGUGAAUUAAAAAUGAUCUAUAUUCAUCUAGAAAAAUAACUCUUGCUUUGCAUGUAGGGAUGAGAAUAGGGUGGAUGUAGGGUAAGUCAGCCAUUUCGAUUCUCCGACUCGUCAAAUAUUUUUAUUACUUUGUCCCACCCCAUACCCGUUUAAAGUAGGACAUGGUGGGGGUUCGGGGAAGGUCCCAUGUCCCUUUUUUAACUUUUUUUAUAUCUUUAAUUAGUGAAUAUUAGUACUUCUUCUUCUUCAUUUUUUUUUUUUUCCAGUUUGUACAAAUAACUCAUGUUAUAUUUAAAAAUGAUGAUAAAUAUUUCUUUUUGUUUGGUAAGAAAUUUAAAUUUAAAAUUAGCUUUAAAUGGGGGUGAGGACCAUGUUUUCCAUAACCGUCCCAUACCCAUUUCAGAACGAUGACCCCUGUCCUGUUUACUCGAAAGUGGGGUUCACGAGUAUCGGGUUGAACGAAUUUUUUGUCAUCUCCAUUUGCAUGUGAUUGUUGAGGCACAGAAACAAGGAGGUUAGGAAACUCAUUUGAACCCUUUGUACUUUCGUAUGUUUUAUAGUUAAAUUUUAUACAGGCAAUUUACUGUUAGUGUUUUUAUUUCAAAGGUAAAAAUUAAGUAUGGACGUAUGUAAUACGUAUUUUAAUUUAUAGUAGCAAACAAAACUGAAAGACAGUUCAAAAUAAAAAAACUCAAAUAUUCGAGUUUUAUAAAUCUUCCAAUUUUCCUUUUUUUUUCCCGUGGCUUCUUUUUCAUAAUAACAACUGAAAUGGUUUCAUUUGUGUCGUUCUUGAAUUCUUCAACUUUUAUAUUCAUUCUCUUAUUCACAUUUGCCUCCAAAUAGGCGAAGUUAUUAAUUUUAUCCAUAUAAUGCAAAAAUAAUUUAAAUUAGAUAGUGUGCUAUUUUCUUACACAAAAAAAAAAAAAAAAAGGGUGGCAGAGCAUGUCACUUUCAAAUUUUAGCACCUUAAUUUAUAUACAAGGCAAAUAAAGUAUUUCAUCAUGUCACUUUUUAAUGUAAAGGAAAGGUUAAUUUCAUAUUCCUAUUUAUAUUUCAAAAACACUUGUAUGCAUCUCUUUAAUUGAGAUAAAAAUAAAUAAAAUCAAGUCAAAUGAGAGUGUACAACUUUCUUUGAAAAAAGUGACACAGUCAUUUUCACCUUGUGAUAUAUAUAUUUGCAUUUUCAAAAACUCCUUGUAUGCAUCUCUUUAAUUGAUUUAAGGUAGAAUUGACAUAUAUACAUUGACUCAAUCCAAUAGAUUUUUGCUGAUUAUUUACAGAUUUUGAGAAGCAAAUGCACAAAUUCCUUAGGUAAAAAUAGAGCAAGGAGCCACUUAUUGAUAGGUGACAAUAAUUUUCUCUUUCGAUUUCAAUUUUUUGUUAAUUGUUUUGGUUGUUAGUUUUCAGUUUUGGUCACUUUCUUCGCUUUUGUUUUGAGAAUUUUGGGUUUUAAUUAAAUACGUUAUCUAAUGUGGAAACUAUUUUUAACUCUAUGUUUAUAUUAAUUUUCAAAAUGACCUUAAUUUAAAGAUAAUUGCGCAAGUUGCCUAUAAAUAGUCCAUUAAGCCCAAUGGGCGUAGUAGUGACAUCAUGUGCUAUCAAGGAAAUUAUUAAGUCUUUGUUUGGCGGAAAUUAAGCCAUUAUUUGAGCCCUAUUUUUGGGCCAAAAUGUAUUUUAGAAUAGUAUUUUGUUCGAUCAUGUGGGGCUAAAAAGUAAAAAAAUUUGUGGAUUUAUAUGUAAAAUUAUUAUUAAAAAAUGUGUGUGUUAAAAAUGAGUUUUUUGAAAAAACAGGGGCCGAAUAUAUGUUAAAAUUAGUUUGUAGUACAUUUUGAUAAAAAUAUAUGAAAUCUGUGAUUAAAAGUUGUGUUCUCAUGAAAUAUAUGGUUAAACAUAAUUGUUGAUCUUGAAAUUAAAAUUAAAAUUUUAAUACAUACCAAAUAUGGACUAGAUAUGGGGAUAAUUAGGCCAAAUUAGACAUGAUAACAAAAAAAAAAAAAAAUUUGUUGUUCCGGGUAUUUAUUUUAGCGGAAUAACGAUUGUAUAUGUUGUUAAUAAACAAAAUUUAAACUUGUAGGAGCGUAGUUGAAACACUAUUAUUGUAAGCAAAAGUUCCAACCCGCAGAAGCGUAGUUAGAACACAAUGUAAGGAAACAAAGUAUAUAAUUAAAACGACCACACAAAACCAAAAUGAAAUAAGGAGUAGAAAAAGAAAUCUAAAAUGAGUAUAAUGCUUUCCUUAAGACAAAUUGCCCUACUAUGAUGCUCACGGUUGAAUGGCAAAUGUCUCCCAAUAUAUAACGGAUACAUACUUGUGGUAGCAGCACUUCAAACCACAAGAACGGUGAAACUUCGACAGAAUUUUUUCUCUACAAAUGAAUGUUAUGAGAAUGAGAGAAAGAUGAAUUGUAAGAGAAGAAUGGAUGUUCAAUACAAUGUUGUGCUUAAAAUCACAUUCAUAGGGUCCUAUUUAUAGAUGUAGAAAGGGUGCAAAUGAAGUAGUGUGGACCAAAACCUACAUCAUUUCAAAAAGUUGCAACACUUCAUUUCUUCCAAUUUUGGACCGCAAUUUCUCAUUCAUCCAUAAUCGAUAUUUCAAAUAUACCUUGACGAUCUACUCAAAGAGUAAAAUAAGUUGGUCUAGUUACUUUUGUAAUUUGAUCAUCGGAUCAAGUUCGCAUAUUUGGCCAAAGUUGACACGAAGUCACAUAUUUUCAUUUUUUCAGUUUUACACUCAACCAAUUUUCAGCUAUUUUUGAACCAAUUCCAACAAUUCCCCACAUGAAUGGAAAUUUGAGUAUGCACGUGUAGCUCUAUGAUAUGAUACAUUGUAGAGAGAGAGCGGAAAGCCACUGCAUCGGGGAUGGUAACUUCUGACCUUGAAGCUCUCGUAGUGAAAUACCAUCGGACUUACUCGGCUAGGUGGUGAAUAUGAUGUUUUAAACCAUUCAGCCUUUAGUUUAAGCCAAGACAACGAUGUUCACACAAAUGUCUUCCCUAUUUCGUACUUAUUUCUUAUGAUUUGGUUCACUUCGGCCCUAAACCCAUCUCGAUUUCAUAAUGUUUAAAGAAUUCAAGCCUCGAAUAAUUCUUAUUGAAGCGGCCCCACUUCACACUUACUUAGGUGACCUCCUAUUAAGAGUAUUCUGCCCUACUUUACUUGACUUUAAUCAAGAUAUAGGAAUCAUUAAGAGAUUAACUUGACCUUUAACCACUCUGCAGAAAACACUUUUGUAUCAUAGGAAUGAGUCAGGAAAUUUGAUUUCUUAAGUGCUUCAUGGAAUUCUUACAACUUAGUUGUCCCUUUGAAUCAAGAUCUUGGGAUCUUUAGUCAACAAGGUAGGUUACCAUUGCCAAGACUCUUACAUAGUAGACUUUAAUCUCAUUUCUUUCGAUAGACAACUUACUUGAUCUCUAGGCAAACCUUUCGUAAGUGGAUCCGUAACGUUUUCUUUUUAAUUUCACAUAAUUUACCGAGAUAAUAACAUUUGAGAUCAGUUGCUUAAUGGUGUUGUGUCUACGACGUAUAUGUCUAGACUUACCAUUGUACAUGCUGCUUCUUGCCCUUUCAAACACUGAUUGACCAUCACAAUGUAUACUAAUUAGAGGUACCAGCUUAGGCCAACAUGAAAUGGCUUCUAGAAAAUUAUGAAGUCAUUCUGCUUCUUCUCCAACUUUAUCCAAAGCAAUAAACUCGAAUUCUAUACUUGAUUGAGCUAUACACAUUUGCUUUAUCGAUUUCCAUGAGACAGCAGCUCCCACUAGGGUAAACACAUGGCCGCUAGUGGACUUGGAAUCUUUCAUAUUGGAUAUCCAAUUCGAAUCACAAUAUCCUUCCAAUAUCUCAGAAUAUUUCUUGAAGUGUAAUACAUGGUUUAAGGUAUGUUUCAAAUACCUAAGUACCCUUAUCAAAGUCUUCCAAUGGUCAUGGCUUGGAUUAUUCGUGAAUUUACUAAGUUUAUUUACCGCAAAGGCAAUGUCCGGUUGAGUACAAUUCGUGAUGUACAUUAGACUGCCUAUCGCUUGUGAAUACCUUAGUUGUGACAUUCUCCCUCAUUUUUGACUAAGUGCAAACUUGGGUCAAUAGGGGUUUGUGAAGGACUUUCCUCGAAUACUUCGUAUUUCUUAAGUACUUUCUCAAUGUAAUGUGAUGGGGAAAGUGCAAGUCCUUUCGACAUUUUAGUGAUUUUAAUUCCUAAAAUCACAUCUGCUACACCCACGUCUUUCAUAUCGAAGUGCUUCGUUAACAUUCUCUUGGUGUUGAGUAGCUCUUCGUGACUAUUGCCCUUUAUCAACAUAUUGUCUAAAUAAAGACAUACUAUUACGUAGACAUUUGGUGUAUUUUUUACGUAUACACACUUGUCACAUUUAUUUAUUUUGAAUCCGUUCGACAACAUCAUUUUGCCAAAUUUUUGGUGCCAUUGUUUCGGAGCUUGUUUCAAUCCAUAUAAGGACUUAACGAGUUUACAAACUUUGUCCUUUUGGUUAGGAGAAACGAACCCUUCAAGUUGAUCCAUGUGUAUUUCCUCUUGUAACUCAUCAUUUAGGAAUGCCGUUUUAACAUCCAUUUGAUGAAUCUCAAGGUUAUGUAUUGUCACAAUUGCAAUUAGUAACCUUAUAAACGUAAUUCUAGUUACAGGUGAGUAGGUAUCAAAGAAGUCGAAUACUUCUUUUGUCUAUACCCUUUGGCAACCAACCUAGCUUUAUACUUGUCAAUGGAUCCAUCCGGCUUCAACUUUUUCUUGAAUAUCCAUUUACAUUCCAAAGGCUUAUUCCCGAGAGGUAAAUCAACUAACUCCAAUGUAUGAUUUUGCAUUAUGGAAUUUAUCUCGCUAUUGAUAGCUUCCUUCCAAUACGGUGCUUCCGGAGUUGACAUGGCUUUUUCGAAAGUCUUUGGGUCAUUUUCUACUAUGUAGGUUAGAAAUUCCGGACCAAAAAAUGUGGACGUUCUAGCCCAUCUACUACGCCUUGGUUCUUCGUCACUUGAAGAUUCUUUUGUAGUUUCAUAAGUUCUCUUAUUCGAACUUUUAAUUUCCUUGUCUUUGCAAGGAAAUACAUUUUCAAAGAAUGUUGCAUUCGUUGAUUCAAUUAUCGUACCCUAGUGUACGUCUUGAAUUUCGGACUUGUGUACAAGGAAAUGAUAUGCACUACUUUUAUUGGCGUAUCUAAUAAAAUGCAAUCAAUCAUUUUAGAUCCGAUUUUUACUUGUUUAGACUUAGGAACUUCAACAUUUGCCAAUCACCCCACACUUUUAAGUGUUGAUAGGAUGGAUGAUGACCUCUCCAAAACUCAUAUGGAGUCUCUUCCAUUUUCUUACGGUAUAUCCUAUUAAGAAGAUGAUUUGCCAUUAUGAUGGCUUCGCCCCAUAAGUUCAGCAAGUUCCGAGGUAGACCUGAACUUAUCAACAUUGCAUUCAUCAUUUCUUUAAGUGUUCUAUUUUUUCCUUCUACAAUGCCAUUCAAUUAAGGAGAGUAGAGUGUUAUUGUUUGAUGAAUAAUUCCAUGUUCGGAAUAGAAUUCUUCAAAUGGUGCCCCAUAUUCACCUCCUUUAUCACUACGAAUAUUUUUAAUUCGUUUGUUAAGUUGCGUUUCAACUUUAGCCUUGUGUAAUUUGAAGGUAUGCAGCGCUUCGUCUUUACUUCUUAAAAGAAAGAUAUAGCAAUACCUUGUACAAUCGUCGAUGAAAGUUACAAAGUUUUUCUCAUCGCCUCUAGUUUGUAUAAAUUUCAAAUCGCAUAUGUCACUAUGGAUUAGUUCUAGAGGUAUCGUGUUCCGUUGUAUCGAAUGGAACGGUGUUUUAGCCAUUUUUGCUUCAACACAUACUUCAUAUUUGUGAUCAGGAUCGAUUUUAAAGCACCAGAAUUAAAGUUUGAUUCAUAAGUUUGCGCAUUGAUUUAUAAUUCACGUGUUUUAACCGAUUAUGCCAUAAACAAGAUAACUCGAGCAAGAAAACAGAAUUUGUAAUUUUAUUAAUAACGCCUUGCUUUAGUAUAAUAGUUCGAACAUUUAAUUUGAACAUUCCAUCACACAUAUAACAUUUUCCUACAUACAUCUUAUUCUUGGAUAACACUAACUUGUUGGACACAAAUACAAGUUUAAAAUCAUUUUUUACUAAGUAGAGAACCGGAUACUAAAUUCUUGCGUAUGUCCGACACAUGUAGGACAUUGUUGAGGACAAACUCUUUCUCGGAUGUCAUCUUCAAUGUGACUUUGUCUUAUCCUUCGAUCUUGGAACUUGUAGCAUUUUUCAUGAAAAGUUGUUCCCCAUUCAAUUCUUGAUGGUAGAGAACAUUCCCUUAUCGGCGCAUACAUGGCGGGUAGCACCGGUGUCAACCCACCAUUCCCUUAUGUUGCCAAUCAUAUUACACUCGGACACAACCGCAAAGAGCCCAUCUCUUGUAUUCCUGUGGAUAGGGUGUCCUUCUCGACCAUGUGGGCUUGUGCAUUCUUCUUUUGUUUUCGACAUUCACUUGAGCGAUGUCCGGCCUUUUCACAAUUAUAGCAGUUUCCUUUAAACUUUUUUGGCCUUCUUGGAGUUAUCUCUACGCGGUGCAUCGUCGGAGAUCUUUUGCUUCUUGUUGACCUUCGGCUCGGUUUCAACGAAGUUUGCUCCAAGUUGAAUAAUAAGCUUCUUCUCAAUCUUCCUAUUGUCUUGCUCAAUCCUCCAGCGGACGAUCAACUCUUCUAAGUUCAUCUCUUUACGUUUGUACUUGAGAUAGUUUUUGAAAUCUCUCCACAAAAGAGGAAGUUUUUCGAUGAUGGUAGCAAUUUCGAAUGACUUACUCAGUUCCAUUUUUUCGGCAUGGAUGUCGUGCAAUAAGACUUUGAUCUUUUACACUUGGCUGAUCACUGUUUUUGAAUCCACCAUUUUGUAAUCCAAAAACUUGCCAACGAUGAACUUUUUAGUUCCGACAUCCUCGGUCUUGCACUUCUUUUCCAAUUAAUCCCAUAGAUUCUUAGCCGAGUCUUUCGAACUAUACACACCAUAUAGUGUGUUAUCCAAUCCAUUAAGGAUGUAGUUUCUGCACAGAAAGUCGGAGUGCGUCCAUGGAUCCAAAGCAAUGAUUGACUCCCGAUUAUUUUCUCUUUCUUGUACGAUGGGAGCGAUUUCCUUAAGAAACUUAGCUAGAUUUAGCGUAGUGAAAUAACAAAACAUCUUUUGUUGCCAUAUCUUAAAGUCUACGCCAUCGAAUUUUUUCAAUUUCUCCCCAUAUGGGAUUGACGUAGUUUGAAUUGGUAUCACCAUUGGAGGAGCCAUGGUAUUUGCUCGAGGUGAGACCAAAUUUUCCAUUCCUAUUUGACUUGUAUUAGCCUCAAUGAAAGUCAUUUCUAUUACAGAAACAGAAGUCCAGCGUAGUAACAAUGAGAAAAAUGAAUAUUACACGAAGACUAUUCCAAAGUAAAGUGUUUAAAACAACAACUGCAGAUGUACAAAAUUUGUAUUAAGUUUGUUGUUUCGAGUAUUUAUUUUAGCGGUAUAACAGUUGUAUUGUUGUUAAUGAACAAAAUUUCAACCCGCCGGAGCGUAGUCGAAACACUAUUAUAGCAAGCAAAAGUUUCAACCUGCAGGAACGUAAUUAGAACACAAAGUAUAUGACUAAAACAACCACACAAAACCAAAAUGAAAUAAGGAGUAGAAAAAGAAAUCCGAGACAAGUAUAACUCUUUUCUCAAGACAAAUUGUCCCGCUACAGUGCUCACAAUUGAAUGGAAAAUGUCUCCCAAGAUACAACGGCUACACACUUGUGGUAGCAGUACGUCAAACUACAUGAACGAUGAAACUUCAACGAAAUUUUCCCUCUACAAAAGAAUGUUAUGAGAAUGAGAUAAAGAUGAAUUGCAAGAGAAGAAUUGAUGCUCAAUGCAAUGGUGUGUUUAAAAUCACGUCCAUAGGGUCCUAUUUAUAGAUGUAGAAAGGGUGCAAAUGAAGUAGUGUGGGUCAAAACUUGCAUGAUUUUGAAAAGUUGCAACACUUCAUUUCAAAACCUUCAUCCUUUCGAAAAGUCACAACACUUCAUUUUUUCUCACUUUGGACUGCAAUUUCUCAUUCAUUCGGAAUUGAUUUCAAGAUUUCAAAUAUACCACGACGAUCUAUUCGAAAAGUAGAAUAAAUUGGUCUAUUUACUUUUGUAAUUUGACCAUCGGAUCAAGUUCGAAUAUUUGGUCGAAGUUGACACGAAGUCACACCUUUUCAUUUUUUCAAUUUUACACUCAACCAAUUUUCGGUUAUUUUUGAACCAAUUCCAACAAUAUUUUAUAUAAUGUUUUUAUGUAAAUUUGAUUGAAACUCAACAAUCAACGUGGGUGGUGAAGGAAUAUUGAGCAAAACUACCACUAUCUAUUUCUCGAAAAUUCAAAUGAACAUUUUAGUCAAUUCAUAAACAUCAUCUAUCUUCUGUCAACUCAAAUUGCAUUUGACAUUUGCAUUUGAAAACUAUAAUAAAAAGUUUGAUUGAUUUAAAUUGAAUGUGAAAAAUCUUGUGAUAUACAAUUUUUGCCAUUUGUUUGUUUUCUAUCAUUCUAAAACUAUUUUUUCUAUAUACUCGUUUUCAAUCACAUAUUCAUACAAUAAAAUAUUUUGCACAUAAAUCCAAAACUUUUCCUUAUUUUUAAUUACACAUUCUUCCAAAUUUACUAAUCAAAACAAUGUUUUCUUGAAAGAAAUGGCCACCAAACAAGGCUUAAUAUAUAGUAAUAGUGCUACUACAGUUACAUUCUAUUUCACAGUUUUGUUGACAGCGUCUGAUAAUGGCACAAAUUUUUACACCAUCCAAUGACAAAAAAAUUGUAUAUUUUUUAUGUACAAAUAGCAUAAUUCAUAUAGUAAUGGGGUUAGACAUCAUUAUUUGUUGGGCACAUCAUCAAAGAAUGACAAUUUUAUUUUAUUUUUUACCUUGUUUACAACAUAUUGAGAAUAUAAAUUACACAAUAUUAUUUACAUCACAAUGUAUAAUGGUGUAUCAAACAUUAAACGCGAAUAAAUAUUUUCAAUUAUACAUUUACAACCCCAUAAGUUAAUACGAGCAUCCAUAUUCCAUAACCUCAUGUAGAAGAAAUAACAUGGACAUGUCCUUUCAAUAACACGAGCUUUCUACUAUAGAUAGCAUUAACUCAGUUCCUAUUAACAAUCGUUACCAUUCCUAGUUUGCAAAUAUUUUACCCAAAAUGUCCAUUUUUGCUUAAACCAAAUUGAAAUUGAGCUUGCCUACUGUUAGCAAUCCUAAUACAAACCACUAAUCAUAAUUCAUGUUGUAUGGGGCAAUGCCAAAUUUUGAUUUUUGAAAGAAGUCACUUUCACGUUAAUUAUAAUAUACUUUCUUAAUAUGCUCAUUAUUCUCAACCAUGCUCCUUUUUCAUGAAAUAUUUUCAAUGCCCAUAAGUAGGCUCACGAUCUUUUGCCUUCUUUCUUCACUUUGUAGAGACCAUUUCUUCCAAAUUUUCAUCAAGGUCAAUGAUUGUUGUAUCGAUAGUACGGUCAUUUUUUGAAUUUAGAAAAUCUCAAUUUUGAUAAAAAUCAUAGAUGAGAGUAUUUAGAACUACCAAAGAAUUGGUUAACAUCCUUGUUGAGGUUUGUUAAUCCAGUGUAAUCUAUAACGAAAUUUGUAGAAAAUUAGGACCGCAACUAAUAGAAAUAAUUUAUACAAAGAAAACUAGAAUUGAAGAAAUAUUUGAAAAUAAAGGAACAAAUGUUUAAUUAUUGCAAACUCGUACUAUUGAAGGGAAGAUAGUGGUAUGGUAGUGAGAUUGUAGAGAAUUUUGAAAUGUGAUAAAAAUUGAUUUACUAGGAUUCCUAUUUAUAAACCUCGAGUUUUGAGAAGAAAAAAAAGUUUAAAAUUUGAAUUGAACAUUGAGGACAUUUAGGGUCUGUUCGGUAGUGAUUAUGAAAAUCAAUUUUUUUGAUGGAUUUUUAUUUUUUAUUUUUUAUUUUUUAUUUUUUUUGAAUAGAGGGUGGACGGUGGAUGGAAUUUUUUUGAAUAUUUUAAUAACAUGGGGUCCAUUACAAUGAACAAUAGGAGGCGAAUUGGUUUUUUUGACAAUAUUUAAUAACAUGGGGUCCAUCCCAUGUGAUUUGAAGGAAUACUGCGAACCCUUCACGGUGCGUGCAGCCUCUCUCAAUUUGAUGGCACCACUUAACGCACCUCGUCAAUAUCAACAUCAUCACUUAUUUGGGAUUGACAGAGAGCAUUAAUAUUUUAUGUCGGAUCAAACUUUUGAACAUAAUAUUUUGUACAUAAUGUGGGCCUCAUUUUGUACAUAAUGGGUGUUUCCACUCACAUGGUGGAAGCCCCACAUUAUGUACAAAAAAAUAUUAUGUACAUAUAGCAAACUUCUUUUUUGUCUUGUGUAUUAUUGUAGUGAAUAGUCAUAUAAACAUUAUUAGAAUUUGUUUGGUAGAAAUUUUAAUUCAAUUAAAAUCAAUUUUUUGAGUUUUAUUUCACUAUUUCAACUGUUAUUUUUGAAUUAUUCUCUCACAAGUAGGACUCUCUUUAUCUUUAACGAACAAAAAAUUAAUUAUCAAAAUCCCUACCAAACAAGCACUUAAUGGGUUUCAAAUCACCGACUUCCGACCUUCAUUUGUUAUAUUUCAAAUUCUUGACAUCAGAAGCAAUGAUGUGAAAACACAACACAUUGCCUCCAUUAAUACACUUUGCUCCCGUUUGGCUUCCAUUUUUUAGAAAUAAAAAUGCGUGGAAUAGUAUUUUUUUGAAAAAUGAGUAGUUGAAAAAGGAGGAAAAGUUUUCGAUUUACGUGUAAUAUUAUUUUAUGAAAAAUUGUGUGGUUGAAAAUAAGAGAAGGAAAAAUAAAAUGUAAUGUAAUGAAAAUUAAUGAGGAUCAAACGGGGGCUUUAUAACAAGACGAAUAAUAAUUUCUUGAAGAACAUGUAAUUAAAAAAAAUUAAAUUUAAGUCCUUGUUUGUCACUCAGUGUUUAAAAAAUUAAAGACACUGGCAGACUCGAGGGGUCUUGGGGGUCACGUGACUAAAAAUUUGAUUUUAACCACCACCAAAUAGAGGUAAAAUCACGAUAAAUUUGAAAUUUUUAUUUUUUCUCUUACUCUAUCUCUCUCACAUUUUACCAAAACCUUAACCCUUUUAAUUUUUUUUAAAUUUGUCCAUAAAUUUUCUACAAAUUAUUACGUCUACUACAAAUUUUUACUUUACAAUCAAUUUUCAAUUAAUUAUAACUUAAAUUUGCAUUCUCUCAUAUCUUAUUUGUGUACAUAAAAUGUGUCUGAACUGAUUAUAUUCAAUUUAGUUUAUAUUUAACAAAUUGUAUUUAUUUGAUUGAAUAUUAGUUAUAUAUUUUUCCUUUCGAUCACUUUAAUUCAUUAUUUGCAUUAAAUAAAAUAUAAAAUUUUUAAACGUAAAUAUGCAUUUUCUUGUAAUGAGCAAAAUAUUAAUAAAAUGACUUUGAAAUCAAAUGGAUGAAAAUGAUGAGUAAAAUAUUAAUGGAGAAAUUUUUUUAAAUGUAAAUCUGCAUUUUAUUGGAUCAAAUAUAAAUCAUUUAAAAAUUAAGAACGAAGUAUUCGAUUUAUACAAAAUUUGAUUGUACUCCAUAACUAAAAAUUUCUGCGUCCACCCAUGAUUAAAGAGUUGUGAAUAGUAUUUCUUUUUAGAAUGUGUGGUUAAAAAAAACUUUAUUGAUUUGUGUGUAUAAUAUUUUACGUGUGAACGUGCGGUGGAAAAUAUACUAUAACAAAUAAUUUAAAAUUUUAAAGGGUGCCAAACAUGUACUAUGUAUAAUAUUAUUUUAUUGAAAAAUGUGUAAUUGAUAAGAAAAGAGAAAAAACGAAUUAUAAUUUAAUGAAAAAUAAUGAAGUCCAAACGGGAGGUCAAAAUUAUGCUAUUUUUUAAGGACAAAUAUAGAGAUUCACAUUCCUAAAGUAAUUAAGGAAACAGUUGUGCACGCCCAGGAUUAAAGCCAGGGCUACGGGACAGGGGUUCGGGGGUGCGGGGGAGUAGAGGAGGGGCUGAAAAAUGGGCAAGAAGUGUUUUUCUUAAGGAAAUACGUGCGCACUUUUCAAGAAAAAAAGAGAAGAAGAAGUCGAUGUAAAAUUUACCCUUAACGUAAAGUUGUUAUUUAACCCCGUUUGGCUCCUAUUUUGUGGUAAUGAGAAUGUGUGAAAUAAUAUUUUUUUGAAAAAUGAGUGGUUAAAAUCAACAAAACUUUGUGUUCAUUUUGUGUAACGUUGAAAAUAAUAUGAAUCAUUUCAUCGAUUGGGAUAUCACGUGAUUACAUACAAAUUCCCUUACCACUCACUCAAUAAGAUUAAAUAAAGAUAAUUCAUCUUAGAUGAUUUAAUGAAAAAUAAUAAUACUAAUGCAUUAAAACUAUUUUUAAUGAUAUAAUAAAGAACUAAAUAUUAUUGCAUGAAUUAUCCUAAAACUUAAUCAAGCCCGACAUGUCAAAAAAUAAAAAAAAAUAAAAAAUAAAAAAUUAAAGCUCACACAUACACACAAAAAGAAGGAAAGAAAAAAAAAAUUGGGAAUCUGAUUCAAAAUGUACUAAAAAUCUGAUUUUUAGGAAAAUUAUAUCUCAAUGAUUGUUGACGUGGCCUUUGUAACGCGAGAUUCUUUUAUUCCCGAAGUAGGCAGUAACCACUAACCACAGAUUAAUUAAGUAAUUAAAAUCGUUUGACCUACCACUAUAUAUUGGGUAAUUAUAUCCCCCACAACAUUUUUUUUUAUAUAACUACAGCACAUAUUUUUUUACAAUGAAGGUUUUCAAUAUUUGCUCAUUUUUACUUUUACGUCCUUAACUUUUUUCGCGUCGACUUGUUAUUCUUAACCUUCAAUUAAUUAAUAUAUUUUGUCUUUAAUCACGAUUUUCAUCAAAAUAUCCUACUAACGUGCAUUGAAAAGAUGGACAAAUAUUUUAUUUAGCUUUUAUAUUUGUCAUUUAUUUCGAUUAUUUAAAAAGCAAGAGAGAAAUAUAUACUUUUGGCUCCCAUACCAAAUAUUUUGGAUGAAAAUCAUUUCUAUAGACAAGAUGUGAAAAUACAUAGAAUGUUGAUGAUAAAAAAAAUAUAUAAAAAGAAGUUGAGAACAUAAGUGUAAAAUAAGAACGAAUUAGGGAUAUGCAUUGUAAUAAAAAUGUAGUGUAGUGAACAAAAAUUGUGAUGUUAAUAUAUUUACACUUAUAUAUUCUAAGUAUAUUAAUUAAAGGAUAAAUUGUAAAUUAUAAAUUAUUAAAGAGUGUAUUAUUCUCUAAGGAUCCGUUUGAUUGUAAGAAUGAAAUUUGAGUGGAAAGAAAACGAAUUUUAAGGAAUUGAAUUACCUAGAACUUGUUCUAGAGGGAAUUGUCAAUUAAAUGUGUUUGAUUGGUAUAAUUCUUCACCUAAAAAUGUUGAAAUUUUGGAUCUUUCGAUAUUCGUCUGGCUUUUUUCAUAAAAAUUGUCAAUUAAAGAGAUAUAAUUUGUUACAAUUAUGAAUAAAAUUUGUUGCCAUUGCCAAAAAAAAAAAAAAGUUGGAAAAUCUAAUUCCCACCAAAACCCAAGGAAAUUAGGGUGUGUUUGAUACACUAAAAUUUUCCAUGGAAAAUAGAAUUUCAACAACAUUUUCCAACUUUUAAGGUAUUUGAUGGGUGUAUUUUUUCAUAGAAUUCAAGUUCUUUCUUUUUUUGAAAUUUGAAAUUUUCUUGGUUUUCCCGGUUAUUGUAGCAUAUAUAUAUAUUAAUUGACAAUUUUCAUGUCAAAGAGAGUCAAACGAAUAUCAAAAAAUACUUUUAUUUCAACAUUUUUUACGUGAAAAAUUAUAUCAAUCAAACACAAUAAUUUAUAAUUUUCAGGAAAAUAAUUUUUAGACAAUAUAAUUUCCUGAAAUUCGUUUUUAAUUCAAUUCAAUUUCAUUUUUACAAUGAGACAGACCUUAAAUUCCUUGAAAACAUGAGAAAUGGGAUCAUGUGAUGGGUAGUUGUAAAACAAAUUUCAUGAAAAUUUUUAGCAAUCAAACAGCAUAUUUGGGUGGAAAUUCCAUGAAAAGUGUGUGGUAUCUUUUUCCACUGACAUUAACUUCUCUCCAUAAAUUUUGAUAUUUGUAGUGUAAUCUAGAAGAAGUCGUCAACGAAGACGCCAAUGAAGAAGCUACGCCACCAGCUGGGUUCUCACGCGCCGCCUCUCCUCGGCCUAUACUUUGUUUUAAUUUGUUUCCUCCUCCCGCUGGAGAUUGCUCGAGCUCAAGAUAACAGAAAUGCCACGACUGAUCCUUCUGAAGGUGUAUCUCUCCAUCUCUUUCACUAUUUUAGGGCAAAUUUCAGCUCUUUUUUCGAAUAUUUUGUUUAAAUGUUUCAGAACUUGAUCUUUUUACAAGAUUAUUUAUUUAUUUUUAUUUUUUGAUGUUGCUCUUAAUUUCUUCAUUUGACCUUGAUGUUUUAUAAUUGUAUACUUGUAAACAUUUUAAUCAAGGAAAUUAUUCUAAAAAUGAAUGAUUUUUGACACAAAAUCUCAUAACAAAACACGUGUGUAUGGGAUUAUAGUUUUUUCAUAAUUUGUCCCAGAAAAUAAAAAAGAACAAUCAACUUGAACUUGCUUGACCAUAAGUGAUUUUUAACUACUAUUACGAACUGAAAGAAACUAGCUUUUUCAUAAGAUUGAGAUGUUGUUUGAUUUUAACCAGCAAUUUAAUGGGAAACAAUUACAUGUUUUAUUUGUUAAGAUUUGUUGACUAAAAAUAAUUUAGCAUCACUUUAUAGAAAUUUUGAUAGAAUCACAACAUCGUGUGCUGGAACUUUUGUAAAGAAAUGCUUGUAUUAUUGUUGGAAAUUUUCUUAGUAACGUACUACUAAGAAUUUUAUCAGUUCGGCUCAUCUCGUUUGAGCCUUGCCACCAAAUUAGAGCUUACACAUAUUCUUGUCGAGCUAUAGUAUCCAACUUCGUGAUGAGUUCUAGUGUUCUACCACCCCGUUCGGAGAGAUUUUACUAGUACGAGAGUUUCGACGGCAAUGAAUCAUCAUGUUGCAUAAGUCUUAGUUUACAACGCACAGCCAAGCUUCUUGUACAGAAAUUUUUUGUACAGAACCAUUACAAAAUACACAUAUGGCAGCGUAGGUGGAUUAUUUUUUGUAAUAUUUUAAUUCACCAUCUUGUGACACAUCUGUAAAGCUUUCGUAAAUUUUUUUCUGUACAACCAGCUUUUUGGUUACAACAUAAGCCAUCACUACUCUUUAUUGAUUGGUGGCGAUGAACGGUACUUAGUUCCAUGGGCUGAUCCAAAAUCGGAUAAAAAAUUUUUUUUUUUUAAUUACACAUAGUUUAUUAUUAUUUUUUUACUUAAAAAAUUUAAAUGAGUUGGGGUACCCCUAAACCCGCCCCUGCUUACGUCAUGGCGGACAGCGCUUUGCUUUUGAUAUGACGUUUCCUAUUAAUCCACCUGUUACGAUGUAUAAGUAGGCCUUCUACACUGUCUUGUUAUGAAUUUCCUGACAAAUAAGCCCUUUUGAUUGCUUUGAAGUGAAACUCACAAUGAUUCGAUUUGAGCCUUCAGAUCAAACACCAACAAUUACAUUGGUAAAAUGAUUUCUAUAUUCAAUAUCAUCACUAUCAACUCUCAAUUCGGAUUCCCCACGUUUCAUUAAAGUCUUCGAAAAAUUCCAAAUUCCUGGUGGAAUACUCCUAUAAGUUUGAUAUUUCUCAUUAUUUUAAUAUUUUUAUAAUAAUAUCUGUGUAGGUCCACGCCUAUAAACUUGGUCAAAGAUUAAAAUAUCGUAGAGUGAUGCAGACUUAACUAAUCUAAACAAUUGUUAAUUAACAGUUUCCUCUGUCAUCAUCAACUUAUCAUUUUCUUUUUAUUGAUUUAUUUUUUAUUUUACAGGUUGUAUUCUUAUUAUAUUGGGAAAUUGAUGCAAAUAGUUCCUAAGUUAUUUAUUUUUGUGUGAUUUCGGUUCUAACAUUUUUUUUUCUUGGCAUGGACGUUUUCAACUUACGAUUAUGUGCAUAAAUAGUCCUUUUUCACGAUUUAUAUUAUUUGCCCAUUCAAAAAAAUGCUAACUAUAUUCACAACAUAUUUUUUAAUAACUAGACUAUGUUUUAAUUUCAUAAAUGGUUCAUAAUCUUUACACAUUAUAAUAUUUAUAUCUCAAAUUUUUUUCAUCGCGAAAAUAUUUAGAUUUUGUGGUGUUUGGAUAGUGUUUGAAAUGGUGAGAGAAGAAUUGAUAGCUUAUAAUUGAAGUUUAAAUAAAGCAGAGUAAAUUAUAUUAAAUAAUUGAUUAAAAUGGAUAAUUACCAUUAAGAAUAAAGUUAAUAUAUAUUUCAAUUUUAUUAAAUAAUUGAUUAAAUGUUUUUGUACAUUUUCUACUAUAGCUUUUUACAGUGUUAAAAUGCCCAGUUAGUUCGAUUGUGUUAGGCCAGCCCAAUUUUCUACUAUAGCUUUUAUUAAGAGUAAAUUAUAUUAAAUAAUUGAUUAAAUGUUUUUGUACAUUUUCUACUGUAGCUUUUUACAGUGUUAAAAUGCCCAGUUAGUUUGAUUGUGUUUGGCCAGCCCAUUUUUUUAUUUUUUAUUUUUAAACCCUAGAUUGGCUUGCCUUUAUUUGGCUGCUGCUACUAGUCCGGUUCAAUCUCCAUGGUUGUGGAAUGCGUAGGUCAAUUGAUCCAAUUUCAUUAAAUUUGUUAUUGGUUCAAUCCAAUUCCAAUCAAAAUCUUGGCCAGACGUCGAGCGUGCCAACAUGUAAAGAGUAAUGAAUUGUUACCUAUUCGUUGAACAAUGAAUCAAGAAGUCCACUAUCAUCUAGUAAUAGAAUUAUUGACUUUUUUUAAAGCUAUUCUUUUUCUCUCUCAUGGCUCAAUUUAUUUUUGUCUCAAUUUUUUUAACAUUUGAGGUAAGUUAAAAUGUACCACAUUAAUAAUUUUGUCAUUCUAAUUAAUUCACUCAAUAUUGAAUAAAGAUUUUAUAGUCUUUAUCACAUGCUGCUUUUCUUAAAAAAUUUGAGAGUUGUUUGAACCCCAUUCUUUGGGGUGUAAAAUGUAUUUUGGAAUAGUAUAUUGACGUAGAAAAUGUGGUUAAAAAUAAGAAAAAGUUUGAGAUGUACGUAUAAUAUUAUUUUAUUGAAAAAUGAGCAAUGGAAAAGAAAAAAAGGAAAAAAAUGUAUUUUUGGAAAAAUAGGAUGAAACAAGGGCUAACCAUGUUGAUUGACAAAGAAAGUUUUUAUAAAUAAGCAAAUUGUAACUAAAACUUACAGAAAUGCUCCCUUGGGCUCAAUGACUGACCGAUGAAACUUCAUUGAUGAAAUGUUUAAAUUUUGUGUUAAAGUUUGAAAUUUUUUAUGAACUUAUUCAUGUAUGAAUGAUGCACAAUGCCAUACUACUCAAUAACAUGAUCUUUGAUUUUGCAGCAAGAGCUGUGAAUGCUAUGUUUCAGCGAUGGGGAAUUUCUGGAACAAAUCAACGAUGGAACAUUAGCGGCGAAUUAUGCAGCGGUGUUGCAAUCGAUACAACACCAUUUGAUAGUAUCAAUCUGGGUAUCAAAUGCGAUUGCUCUUACAACAAUGGCACCACUUGCCGCAUUACUGAGCUGUGAGUUAACAUGUUUGGUACACCAUAAAACCCAAUUAAAAUCAAUUUUUUUACCUUUAUUUUACUAUUCCAGUCGUCAUUUUUGAAUUCUUCUCUCACGGGUAGGACCCACUUUAUCUAUAACCGUCAAAAAAUCAAUUAACAAAAUCUCUACCAAACAAUAAUUGUCCCUCUUUUACCGAUUCGAAAUUAGUCUUUGUUAAAAAAAUACAGUGUUUUUAAUCCUUGGUUGUGUUCAACAAUAAUAUGAUGUAUCUUAUUCGUUUGUUAUGCACUUUAGGUGGUAAUUGUUGCAUUGAUUUUUGGUUCCUAACCUAUCGUUGUACUUGUACAGGAGAGUUUAUGCAUUGGAUGUUGCAGGUCCAAUCCCGAAUGAGCUCUGGAAUUUGACAUUGCUUGAUAAUCUGUAUGGUUAAUUUUUUUCUAUUAUUUGUUUUACUAAUUUUUCAUUUGGUUGUUCACAUUUCUAUUUCUUAGAUGGUGAUGAUACUGGGGUUUUCCUUAAUUUGCAGAGAUUUACGCGAAAAUUAUUUGACAGGUCCACUGCCUGCAUUUCUUGGAAAUCUCACUCGCAUGCAGUAUAUGUAAGCUACAUUGUUUGUGAUGUACGACUUAGGACUUGUCAAUUAAUAGCGUUUGAGUGUUAAUUAAAUAUAUUGCAAUUUUUUUAUUAUUGUCCUCANNNNNNNNNNNNNNNNNNNNNNNNNNNNNNNNNNNNNNNNNNNNNNNNNNNNNNNNNNNNNNNNNNNNNNNNNNNNNNNNNNNNNNNNNNNNNNNNNCUGUUUAGAUAUGCAAUCAUCUCUAAACUUGACAUGGGAAAAUGUGAAGAACCUUUUCCUUUUAGGUCUUUUUUUUUUUUAACGAGGUGUUCCAGCUUGCGCCAGACUAUAUCCUCGUCCCUGUCUUUUUGUGUUUUUUCUUUGUUCCUUGACACGCUAUUUGACAAUUGUGACCUAAUUUGCCUUUCGUACUCUAUUAUCUUCUAAUCCACGUUAGGUAAGCUCAUUUGUCAAUUGUCAUUCAUUCAAGAAGUUCUCUAGCAUUUUUGAUCUACUCCAUAGUAAUGUUUGCUUUUAACCAUCUUAAAAUUUUUCGAAUCUUAAUUUAUUAAUUUAUGACAAGCCACAAAAUUUAUUUUUUAUUUUUAUUUUUUUUGUUUAAUUAUUAUUAUUAUUUUUUUUUUUUGUGCUAUGAGAAAGGAAAAUAGUUCCUGCUCUAUUUUGCAUUCAUACCAUGUUAUUUUCCUCGCAGUUACUUUCCUAGUGCUGGAGUUAGCGGUCCAAUACCCAGAACAGUUUCAAAUCUAACGAGUUUACAAAACAUGUAAGAACAUAUCCUUUCUGCUCCUUUCUUUUGUAAUGAUAGUUAAGUUUAUUGUUUCGACUUCUCUAAUCAAGUUCACUGGAAUAAAUUUUUGGGGAUUUCAGGUGGGCCUCUGACAAUGAACUUACUGGUCAGAUUCCUGACUUUAUUGGGAGUUGGUCGAAUCUUAUUUCCCUGUGAGACAGAAAUCAAGCUCAUUUAUACGAUUCAAUGAUUUAUCAUGAUGAAAUUGUUACACGCCAUCUUCAUUCAAGUAAUUCCUCUAGAGUCAAGAUUUAUGUGUGGUUUGUGAUAAGCUAUAACUAUGUUUGCAGGAGGUUUCAAGGAAACUCCUUUCAGGGGCCAAUACCACCAUCAUUCUCCAAUUUAACCUCUUUGAAUGAUUUGUGAGUUCUGUUUUCAUUUAUGUUACAAAUCUUUCUUCUCUAUGCUUUCUUAAGCUAAUAUUAUUGUACAAACAUGACAAGCAGGAGAAUAAGUGAUCUAUCUAAUGGAAGCUCUACACUGGACUUGGCUGGAAGUAUGAAGUCGUUAUCCACCUUGUAAGGAAUAAACACAGCCAAUAAUUCUGUAGUAAUAUGAUGUAAUCUUUCUUAUAACAAAUUCUCUGUUGAUUUGGCAACUUGUACCAUAAUGAACUUAUUUCUUGAUUGGCAGAAUUUUGCGGAAUAAUAACAUUUCUGGUUCUCUAUCUUCCAAUUUUGGUGAAUACCAGAGUUUAACAUUGCUGUAAGCCUUCUUGUUGUGGUAUGAGUUUCAAACAUUGAUGGUAACUAGGAUGGGAGUCAUGCAGUCCAGCCUAAUGCAUUCUGAGUCUCAAAUUGAGAACAUUAACCGCAUAUAAGGGGUUUACCUGGAAAUGAACUUAAUAAUAUUUUUUAGCUGAUUGAAGUCACUAACCUGUAAAGUUGCUCCAAAGCUACUACAUUGCCUCGCUCUACAACCUUUUAUAAUUUUAUUUUUCAGGGAUUUGAGCUUCAACAGUUUGACUGGGCGCAUUCCAGAUUCUCUUUUCAAUCUGAGUUCACUGUCUAACUUGUAAUAAAUCAUCCAUUACUUACUUAUGCUUGGGACCUCACUGCAACAACUCUCUCAUCCAGAGAAAGAGACUGGGUCCUAAGUCAGUUAUUUAUUUUUUAUCUUCAGAUAUCUUGGUAAUAACAAGUUUACGGGUCCCCUACCAGCGCAAAAGCAUACAUCUCUACAGAACAUGUUAGUAUUCACACUUGUGCUUUUCAGAUGUUCAUAUCUUAAUCAAAUUGCUCGGUUGCUGUGCCCUAUAUCCUAGUGGUUCUGAUAAAAAAAAAAACCUUCUAUAAGUUGCAUUUCUUUGUCCGAAAUACAUGAUUAGAACUCCAAGGUGCAGAUGCAAAUGCGAUGAUUUUGGAUCUCAUCAUUAUUUGUAGGCAUAUUUGAUUUAUAUAAUUAUAAUAGUAGUAAAUGCAUACUCUUAAAUUUACACUCUAGAUUGCUUAAUUAAAAUUAUUAAGUUGGAAAAGGACAUUCAACUUGAUACAUAAAAUGGAACUUAAUGAAAGUAACAACUCUCUCUCUCUCUCUGUUCAAUAUGCUCUCCCCCUUUCUCCAUCAGCAUCAAUCAGGAUCCAACAAGCAGUAUUUGGGGUUUCCCUCAUUAUUUGUACAUGUUUUAAGGGAAAUUUAAAGAAGACUAUAUUUCCAUAAAUCUGCACUAAAUGUGAAUUCAAAUUACGCUUCCAUAUUUCACGAGUUAAAUGAAUAUGCAAUGCGACUAUUAUAUUUUGUUGAGGUAUAUGCCUCCUCUUGUAAUAUUAUUGUUGUAUUCCUUGCAGAGAUAUAUCAUACAAUGGAUUAUCUGGGAGCUUUCCAUCUUGGGUCAGCGAACCAAAUUUACAACUGUAUGUGUGAAAGAAGAUGAGAAUGCAUAGUCUUUAUACUCUAUGGCAUUGUUCUGCUUGAUAUUUCGUUUGAGAUCUCUCAUGAUUUAAAUUGCCCUCUAUACAAUUUACAUAGAAUCUUUCUUGAUUUAUUAUGCAGCAACUUGGUUGCCAACAACUUUACCAUAGACAAUUCUAAUGGCAGGUAAAUAUUUGAAGCGCAAAUUCAUAUAGAUUCACUUGCUAAACUUUACAGUUGGUUUGCUUCUUGAUGUAGACAUGCCUGGAUUGUAAUGUGUAUAUUGGUCAUCCAUACUUACUUCUGUCAGAACUUAACCAUGGCACGAUCAGCCAAUAGCUAAAUCUAUGCCUACUAGUUUUCAUCUUUCGGUAGAAAUUGGUUAACUUACCAUAAACCAUUUCCCGAGAGAGUACACAAUAUGAUAUUAAUUGGAACUAGCAAGUGACUUCCAUAUGUAUGUCCACAUUGUGAAUGAUAAUGGUUCAUUUCUCAUGUCAAUAUCAUGUGUCAAAGCUGUUAGCAGCUUCACAUAAUUUCUUUGUACUUUAACAAAAAUAACAACAAUAUAACAAUUCAUUAUGACUUGGAAAAUACAGUAAACAUUAUUGAGAAGAUUAGUUUAAAUAUGUCAAAGAGCACUAUCACCAAGACCUAGUAACUAGGAAAAAGAUAAUCUCAGGACAGCAAGAGUUUUCUCAGCCACAGAACCUGAGGCAAUUGUGUGGGAAAGUCUAUUCCUGAGAGCAAGAGUUUUCUCAGCCACAGAACCUGAGGCAUUUGUGUAGGAAAGUCUAUUCUCCAAUUGUUCUCGAUACAAAAGGGAGCAUGCUUUCCUAACAAAGCUAUAGUAAAAAGUUGGGAAAGUCUAUUCUCCAAUUGUUCUCAAUACAAAAGGGAGCAUGCUUUCCUAACAAAGCUAUAGUAAAAAGUACAUCUUUAUUAUGUUCUUGCAUUAGGUAUAUAUGACAAUCUUCCAUGUAUGUUUCAUUUCCAAAUCACUUCCUUCUGUUUGAGAAGCGCAAUUUAGUCAUCAUGAAUGAUUUGAAAUAUUGAUAUUCACAAAAUUAAUGCUUGAUGCUUCUGUACCUCCAAUACAACACUUUUCCUAAUUUCAUACAUUCUUUUUGCACUUUCUAGUGCUCUGCCUUCAGGAUUGAAUUGCCUUCAGCGGAAUUUCCCCUGCAAUCAAGGUUCACCUAUCUGUAAGUGAUGUAUUUUAACCCAACAUGUGCAAAUAGGUAACAGGUUUCGAAAGUCUGAAAACUGAUAGGAACUUACUUUUCCUUUUGUGAAUCUAAACAAAGAAUUUAACAUAAUUGUGGGGAGUAGAACCGUGUGUACAAUGCAAAGGUCUGUGCACUGAUAAAAACUAUUAAAGGCCUUGUCUGCAUUGUUUCUAACUAAUUAGUGAAUUUAUUCUAUAUACGGUAUAUUUUGACACUUUACUCUUCUUUCUUUCCACUCAUUUCCCACCAGCUCACCUUACACCUUCAAUCAUCACCACCAGCUUCAAUAGUCCCCCAAAUGUGGUUAAAGUUGUCAUUAAUUUUAGGCAAAAUGAUGCUUUGUCUAGUUAUUUUGUUGCACCGCUGAUUGGACAUUAUUUCUUUAUGCACACAAAGUUGUAAGCACAUUAAAAGAUAUAGUUGGCAAUUUUAAGAUGAUGUCUGUUUGUGUUUCAGAUUGAUAUUUUGCUAACACAUUCUAUAAAUAUUAAAAAAUAAUGUUUUGGAGAUAUAAAUUGAUUGGGAAUAGUCCUAGAGCAUUUUAUUUCAUAAUAAAUAUUAAGAAACGUAAAAAAAUAAAUUGGGUAACCUGUACACGUCUUAAUUUUUUUAAUCAAAAGGACACCAAUUAUCUCUCACUCAGAAACAAAGGUCAAUAUAUGUAUUUUAUAAAAAUGAAAUGUUUUGAUCUUAUUUUACAGUAAAGAAUUUCAAACUGUUCUAGCUAAAUCAUGGUUCCUCAUCCUAAUUUCAAAAGUUUCAUCAGAUUUUCUUACAAAAAGCACUUGCUUGUAAUUUUUUUUUAAAAAGAAAUUACUUCUACAAAAUAUGGUGCAAAACAGGCCAAAAUAUCGUUCACAAAAUAAUUUUCACUCAAAUUCUUAAAGCAAGCACUUUUGUGAAGUUGCAUUGAUAAUUGACAAGUUCAUCUGGAUGAUGGUUUGCAAAUUCCAGCUUUGCAAUUGAUUGUGGUGGUCAACAAAUUAGGUCUUCAGAUCAGAUUGUAUAUGAGAUGGAUAAUGAGACUCUUGGUCCGGCAACACAUUACACGACCCGUACAAACAGAUGGGCAGUUAGCAAUGUUGGUCUGCCUUCUAAUAGCAACAGCCCACAAUAUAAAAGCUCUUCUUCAUCCCAAUUCACUGCUACUUUGGAUUCAGAGUUGUUUCAAACUGCACGAAUUUCUGCGGGAUCUUUGAGAUACUAUGGAUUGGGUCUUCAGAAUGGUAAUUACACUCUGAAACUUCAAUUCGCAGAAAUCGGAUUUCUUGGUCCUAUGAGGUGGAUGAGUCUUGGAAGGCGGGUUUUUGAUAUAUAUAUCCAGGUCUGUGUUAAAAAAUGAGUUCUUAUUAGAACUAUUGCAUUCAUAUUUUUCAUUAUGCUUCAACUACACAUUGGUUUACCAUCAUCAAUUGAUAUGAUCAAGGUGGGUGUAUCUGAUGGAAUAGUUAUGGAUGAUGCACCUUCAAGCCUCAUCUUUGUCUAAAACACCAGUUCACCUUUCAUCAUGUAGUACUUAAUGGGGUGUUUGAUAUGGGUGAUAUAGUAUGUAUUUUUGAAGGCAAUACUUGUGAUAGUUACCUUUUGUUUUUGUUCGAAGAACAUUCAUGCCUCAAAUUCAAUGUUCACAUGUUCUAUUCCAAGAUUUUCUCCAGUUCAAAUUUCAAUAGCAAUGCUUGCCAUGACUUUUCAUAUUUCCCUUGUAUGAAUCCACCAUAGGGAUGGUUAAAUUUAGAAUUUCAAGUAUCUUGUAUAUUUUCCUUUUGAAGUAUACUCAGAAAAUCAAUAUAUCUUGGUUCUUUUUCAUGUAUUAUUGAACCAAAUUGUCACUCUGUGGGGUCCAGGGGAAGCUGGAGUUCAAAGACUUUGACAUAGUAAAAGAGGCUGACGGGACCCCUUUGAAAGCUGUUGUGAAGGAAUUGAAAGUUCAGGUGUCUGAAAACUACCUUGAAAUCCAUUUCUUCUGGGCUGGAAAAGGGACUUGUUGUGUUCCUACUCAAGGUACAUAUGGGCCUUCAAUUUCGGCAAUAAGUGCCAGCCCAGGUAAAUAUAAAUGCAAGAUAUUUAACAGCUCGCAAAAAUUCUCAACUCUGAUUCCUAUUAUCUAGAUGUCAAUAUUGAUCACUAAGCUUUUCAACAGAUUUCAUUCCCACAGUUAGAAACGGAUCUCCAAGUAGAAAGAAGAAUAGGAUUGGUCUGAUUGUGGGGAUUGUAGUUACAGUCGGAGCUGUAAGUCUUCUUUCUGUAUUUGCGGCAUAUUAUUUUGCUCAGAGAAGAAACAGGAAGAAGAGCUAUGAGGAUGAAGGUAAGAAAGGAAAAGUAUUGUAGCCUAAGUAUCCUUUCCAGUUCUGGAGUUGUUGUUGCUUCUAUGCUUUUUGUCUGACUUUAUGUGAUAAAUUGCUUCUUAAAUGUUCCACAAUGAGAGAUAGGUUACUGCAUAUUUAAUUAAUACCAAACUUAUAAUGCCUAUCCUCGUAUGGAACAAUAUUAUAUGAGGUAAGGAAUGAAUGAGCUAGGGGUAAGAUGAAUUAAUCACUGCACUUAGGAAGUGAACAAAUGUUUCUCUGUGAAUUUGCAGAUUUCUUGGGGCUGGAUGCCAGACCAUACACGUUCAGUUAUUUGGAGCUAAGAGCUGCAACAGAUGACUUCAAUCCAGCUAAUAAGCUUGGAGAGGGAGGAUUUGGACCUGUGUACAGGGUAAAUUCUAUUCUGAAAAUUUUCUGAAUCAAAGAUUAUAGAAUGGUGGAACAAUUAAAAGUCAGGCGUGGUUUAUAAACCAACACAUGAAGUGUGUGAUGAAUUAAGACAAAAUAAAGGUGGUAACAAGUCCUUGUAAGUUUCAGUAGUUCACAUUAUUGCUAUAAUUCAAUGUUUUGCCCACAAUUCCUUCGUUAUUUUCUCCUUGACCUUUUGUAUAUUUGUAUAUCCCCAACCUCAUAUUGUAUCAGAAGGAAAGUGUGCGCAACUGUUUCAGAUCUUAUCAAUUCCUAUUUGGUUUUCUUCUUGUAACUUCUAAGUUUAAUAUACCUGAACCUUUUGUGUUGUGACCAACAGGGAACUCUUCAGGAUGGAAGAGUUGUUGCUGUUAAACAAUUGUCUAUUGCAUCCCAUCAAGGAAAGAGGCAGUUUGUUGCAGAGAUUGCCACUAUAUCUGCUAUGCAGCACCGUAACCUUGUGAAAUUGUAUGGAUGCUGUAUUGAGGGAGAUAAACGGUUGCUUGUUUAUGAGUAUCUCGAAAACAAGAGCCUUGAUCAAGUAUUAUUUGGUAGUAAUGAGAUAGCUUGUCUGCAGCUUCAAUUAAUUUCAAUAUACAGGAGACUGAAUCACUUUGCUUUGAUGGAGCAGGGAAUAGAAGUUUAUCUCUUAACUGGCCAACACGCUUUGAUAUAUGCUUGGGAGUAGCAAGAGGUCUUGCUUAUUUGCACGAGGAAUCCCGACUUCGAAUUGUACACAGAGAUGUUAAAGCUAGCAACAUUCUGCUUGACUCCGAUCUGAAUCCCAAAAUUUCAGAUUUUGGUUUGGCAAAACUGUAUGACGACAAAAAGACCCAUAUAAGUACCCGUGUUGCAGGAACAAUGUAAGGCUCACAAAAUUCUUAAUCUAUGAUGUUCUUUCAUUCUGUCUUAAUCUUUUGUGUAGUGACCUGUAUUCCCAGUUGAAAUGUAGACUAGAAUUGGGGUGGGUUAAUUGCUGAGUUUUUCAUUUUUCAUUCAUAUAGUGGGUAUCUUGCUCCGGAGUAUGCCAUGCGCGGGCACCUUACCGAGAAGGCAGACGUAUUUAGCUUUGGAGUUGUAGCCCUAGAAAUCGUCAGUGGAAGGCUGAAUUCUGACUCUAGUUUGGAAGAGGAAGAGGUGUAUCUUCUUGAAUGGGUAUGGUCUAUUGCACAUUUUGAACCUUUGUGCAUAUUGAUACUUUUAGAAUUUUAUGGUUUAUAUAUAAGCAUGUUAUCCAUAAGAUGUUUCUGAUAAGAUCCAGCUGAAGUACAGAAGAUAAUGAAUGAGAACCAGAAAAUAUAUUUCUACAUUGAUUGGAUUCUACAGUACAAAAGAAAAUGAAAUGACAGGCCAAGAGGGCUAUAUCUCUCCUUAGUCUCACCACAGUCAACAAAUUCCUGCUCUUCUCCUCUCCCCGUUCCCUACUUAUAUUCUUUUUUUAUUUACUUUUUUUUUCCUAUUCUACCCCUCUACAGAAUUCGUUAUGGCUCCUGCCCUUCUCCCGACUUCUUGAAUCUUCUAGAAUAGGUAUACUUCAUUGGAGGUCGAUUAAUUACCACCCAACCCCCAAUUUCAGACAGGUAGAAGGACGGAAACUAUUGAUUAAUGAGAUGAAAUGGUUCCCAGGUAGCUUCCAUAGUAGAUAACCCUUUCCACUUGAUCAGUACUUCCAAAUUUUCUGAUAUCUCCCGUGUCCCAUUCCGAAUUCCUAGCACUGCUUCAGGUUCCACUAGUUCCUAGUCAGCUCCCAAAUUUAGAGGUAACUGUGUGGUUAAAUAAUGUUAUCCCACUGCUUUACGAAAUUGUGAUACAUGGAAUACUGGAUGGAUUUUUAUCUCGGGUGGUAGGUCCAACCAAUAAAGCAACUUUCCCCACUUUAGCCAAUACCUUAAAGGGUCCAUAGUAUCGGGGAGCAAGUUUUUCAUUGGUACUAUGUGUCAAGGAUUUGCGACGAUAAGGACGCAUCUUCAAGUAAACCAUGUCCCUUGCAUUAAACUCUACUGCCCUUUGUGUUUGUCAGCUGCAUUUUUCAUCUAUUGUUGAGCUCGAUGCAAAUGGACCUUGAGCUCCUCUAGUAUUUUGUCCUUUUCAGCCAGUUGUUGAUCCAACGAAGAGAUCACCGUAGUUCUCUUUUUGAAAUGCAUUAGGAGAGGGGGGUCAUGCCCAUAUAUGAUCUGAAAAGGGGUGAGCUGAGCAAAUACAUGGAAGGAAGUUUUGUAAGAGAGUUCAACCCAAGGUAGGUAGCAAACCCAUUCCUUUCAUCGUGCAACGCAGAUAGGUCUCUACUCUUCGAUUUGCCCAUCGGUUUGUAGAUGAUAGGCUGAACUACACCUUAACUUGGUUCCUUGGAGUCAGAAUAGUUGAGUCCAAAACUUGUUAAGAAACACCUUAUCUCUCUGUCUGAAAUGAUUAAUUGGGUACCCCGUGCAAUCGAACUGCUUCUCUUCACAAAAACGGCUGCAAUGGAAGUGACCGUGAAAGGAUGCUUGAGACUUAUAAAAUGGGCAACAAUCAACGACUAUCAAAAUCAAAUCAAACCCUUCUGACUUUGGUAAUCCUUCUAUGAAAUCCAUGGAGAUGUCUUCCCACACCUUCUCUAGGACUGGAAGAGGCUACAGUAACCCUGCAGGUGCAAGGGUGGAAUAUUUAUGCUGCUGACAGGUUGUGUAGGCGGCCACAUAUGAGCGAAUAUCCUUCAUCCCCACCAAAUGAAAUGUCUCUGCUAUUCCCCUGUAUGUUUUGAGGAAACCUUCAUGUUCUCCUAUCUUAAUGUCGUGCCCUUCUUGUAGUGUUAUCAAUAUGAGUGGGGAGUCCCUGGGUAAGGUGAUCCGAUCAUUAUACAGUAAAGCUCCAUGCACCAAGGUAUAACCACGAAUCGCUUUUCCAGCAAAUAGUGUCUCCAUUUUUGCACCGCCAGCACCCAUUAGUUCCCUUUCAUGAAUUGACUUAUUUUGGAUUCUUGGUGGAAUAACCUGGCUAAAGUAAGCUCUAGGCCUCAGAUUUUGCAUUAAGACAGCUCCUAAUCCAUGCCUGGAAGCAUCGAUUUCAAUCACAAAGGGUUGCGAAAAAUCGGGAAGAGCUAGAACUGCCAUCGUUGUCACUGCUUCCUUCGGUUUCUUGAAUGCCGCUUCAGCUGCGUCGUUCCAUCCAAAACUAUCUAUUUUUAGCUGUAGAGUCAACGACAAUGCAAUUUUCCCGUAGCCCCCUCAAAACGUCAAUAAUACCUGGUCAAUCCUAGGAAUCCCCGCAACUCCUUAUGUGAUUUUGGGCACGGCCAGUCUCUCAACGCAGCCACCUUUGUCUCAUUCGCCGCUACUCCUUUUGCUGAAAUGAUGUCUCCCAGGUACUCAAAUCUCUUUUUGGCCAAACGAGCACUUUUUCGUGUUGACAUAGAGCUGAUUGUUCACUAUAAUCUGCAUUACCAUCCUCAAAUGAUCCAUAUGCUUGACCUCCGUAUAGCUAUAAACCAAUAUGUCAUCAAAGAAGAUUGAGAUAUAUCUCCUGAGUUGAUAUCUGAAGACCGUAUUCAUUAGAGACUGAAAAGUGACAGGUGCGUUAGUUAACCCAAAUGGCAUGAUGAGACACUCAUAGUGCCCUUUGUGUGUUCGAAAUGCAGUUUUUGGAAUAUCCUCAGCCUUCACCCUGAUCUGAUGGUACCUUGAUUUGAGGUCAAUUUUCGAAAAUACUGUAGCUCCAUUCAAUUCAUCUAGUAAUUCGUCAAUAACGGAAGUUGGAAAUUUAUGCGAAAUGGUGCUUUGUUGAGAGCCCGAUAAUUUACACAAAAUCGCCAACUUCAAUUUUUCUUCCUCACCAGAAGUACCGGACUGGAAAAUGGACUUGUGCUAUGCUAGAUAAUUCCCACAGCUAGCGUCUAUUGUACUAACCAUUUGAUUUCAUUCUUUUGGAAGUGUGGACGCUGGUAUUGUCUCACGCUAACUGGAUUAUCCCCAGGUUUCAUAACAAUUGCAUGAUCGUGACUCCUCUCUGAGGGUAGUUAGGGGGGCUCUUCAAAGAUUGCUGAGAAUUCUUCCAAAACUUCUGCGAUCAUUGCAGGUGGCUUAGGAGGAAAGCAGUUGGUAUCAGUGGCAAUAUUUCCUAAUUCUAGUAACAGCCCUUCCCAUUGCUCCUAAAAGGCCUUCAUCGAUUUUAGCAGAAUGGGGGUUUUACUAAGGUUUGUGUCUCCUUGCAGCAACACUUCAGUUCCCGAGAUGUUGAAGGUCAUAGUCAAUGUAUUCUAGUCGACUUGCAUUUUGCCUAGUUUCCUUAGCCACUGCAUACCCAAUAUAACAUCUGAGCUACCCAGCUCUAAGGGUAAAAAAAUUUCAACUACCAUCAACCUCAGCAAAUGUAAAGCUACUCUCCUGCAUAUGCUUUCCCUUUUAUGGUCAAGCCCGUACCCAUGAUUACCUCGUAGCUCAUGGUGCCUGAUAAUGGACCAACUCAACAAAUAUAAAGUUGUGGGAGGCUCCGCUAUCAACCAACACCACGUCCUAUCUUUGGUCGACCCGCCUGACUAGCUUCAUGGUAUCGAGAGCGGUGUGCCCUACCAUGGAGUUAAUUGACAAUUCCACUGGCUGACCAAGCCAUGGACUUCGUCCUCCCUGGAAAUUACCUCGCCUUCGACCUCAGCGGCGUCAGAGCUCAGCUCGCAGGGCUGUCGCUCCUCGCCCAUCACGCCGUCCUCCUCUACUUCAUGGACUACCCAUACUUGUAGCUUCCUGUUCCUGCAUUUAUGGCCAAUAGUGAACUUGUAGCAUCAGUGAGCCUCUUGAAGGUCGUGGACUUUUUGGGGAAAUAAUUAGGGCAUUGAGAUGGAUAUAGGUUUAAUGGAACGGUGUUUUGAUUUUGGGUCGUAGUGGGUUGUGGUGGGUUUAGGCUGUAGUAUGGGAUGCUUUUGGGCUUAGUUGGGCUUUGAUGGGUAAUUAGAUUACGGUCUUCAACCAUUUGGGCCACCUCCAUUAUUUGCUCCAAGCCCAAUGUUCUGAGUAAAUGGACCUUAGCUCUGAUUUCUGGUUUCAAGCCGUUGAGGAAGCUACACUCCAGAAUUUUCUUUUCUCUGAAACUACCGUCAAUGGCAACGCCAAAGUCUCAAAUCACGGGAGGGAUUCUCUCACGAUGGCACUUUGUUUAAGGGAUAGGAACUGAGCACAAACUGACCCCUCCUGUGAAGGUCGAAAUCGCCAUAGCAAUCGAACCUUCACCUCCUCCCAAUUCUUCAUGGGUCUGCAUUUCUCCUCCCAUUUGAACCAAGCGAGGGCUUCUUCAUCGAAGCACACGGAGGUGGCCUCCACCUUCUCUUCUUCCGUCAUCUUGUUAAUGUGAAGAUAUCUCUCCGCUCGAAAGACCCAUCCAUCCGCUGUAAUGGCUGUCUCUCGAACUCAAUUGAGUAAGCCCAAAAUCAGUCAUUUGUACGGUUGAUUUUUCUGUAGCAAAGCCCUUCUCCUUCCGAUCCUUUUCCUGGCCUUCCUAAGCUAGCAUCAAAUUUUUCCAUCAUUCCUGAAUGCAUUGAUUUGAACUCCAAUCGUAGUGAUUCCAGUCCUGUUUGAAGUUCCUGGUGAUUGUUCUCCACCUCGUGUUCAAGUUCCCCUACUCGGUCGAUUAGUGUCAUGGCUGUGAUGUUAAUUGAGAUACUCUGACACCAAGUUGAUAAGAUCUAGCUGAAGUACAUAAGAUAAUGAAAUGAGAACCAGAAAAUAUAGUUCUACAUUGAUUGGAUUGUGCAGUACAAAAGAAAAUGAAAUGACAGGCAGCCUUUCAAGAGGGCUGUAUCUCUCCUUAGUCUCACCACAGUCAACAGAUUUCCUGCACGUCUCCUCUCCCUGUUCCCUGCUUAUAUUCUUUUUUUGUCUACUUCCUUUUUUCCUAUUCUACCCCUCUUAACAGAAUUCAUUAUGGCUCCUUCCCUUCUCCCGACUUCUUGAAUCUUCUAGAAUAGGUAUUGAUGCUACCAAAAAUCGUACCUGUUGAUUUCCUGAGCUUGAUGAUUCGGGUUGAUCAUGAUCGUUGUCUUCCGGUACCUGAAAUAAAGGCAACGAGGUAUGUUCUCGUCGCCUCUUCGAUACUUAAGUCAGAAAGGGAAUUAUAUGCGUGAGGCUAUUUGCUGGAGAAUAAUGAAAAACGUACCUGAAUAAUUGCCCAAAGUUCUGCUUUUAUAGGGGUAGGUAGUGCACUCUUAGUAGGAUUGUGCUUGUUGGAUGUUUUUAUCCAAGGGAAUUCUAUUUAUAAAGAGUGCCCUACUUGUAAUGGAAUUGUUUGACAAGUGGUAUAAGGGUUGAUACAGAAUCCUUGGGUAUUUAGGUUUGUUUGUUAGAUACCUAGGUCUUAAAAGGUAUGUUGGUGGUAUAUGUCCCGAGGACUAUUCCCGAGGACUUGAGAGGAUGUUAAUAUGUGCACGAGAUACCUCAAGGACCAAAAUAUCUCGAGGUCUCAGGGAGAUCCCGAGGACCAUAGCAAAAAGGUGAGCUGGGGCAUAUAUGGAAUCCUCGGGAUGAACUCCUCGGGGUGUAUCAAUAUUGGCAUCGUCAGGUAUACUUGAUUGGAGGUCUAUCAGUUUCUUAAAAAUCUUGGACUUGAGACUUGAGAAAGCUUUCUAUCAUUCUCUUUUGCACCAUACCCAACAAAAUGGAAUUAGUUCUUCUCAACCCAAUGUUUAUUCAGGAAGUUCCCCUUUCCCCUUCCAAAAUUUAUACAGAUCUAAUUUGUCUCAGGAUUAGAAUUUCUCAUCUUUGAUGGGGUCCUAAUCAAUAAAGUAAAGAACUCGUCCUUUCUUUUUAAUCACAUUUCCUCCUCGCUAAUAGAACAAGGGAUAAGAGAAUCGAACGGACUCUUUUUCAAAUUCAAUAAAUGUUGGUUGAUCGUAUAUUUCAUUAUAGUUCUAUACGAGACCAUAAGAGAGAUUGGACCCAUUAAGAAAACAAAUUCCAAUCUCUAUUUGUUAGCGGGCACACCUCUAAAAUCAAUGUUUAAAUGUGUUUCUGUGUUUUCCAACAUCGUUUGCCUCAGUAGGUACUAAUUUAAAUACGAUAUAUGCUUGCAGGCUUGGAAUCUUCAAGAGAUAAACCAAGAAAUGGAACUUCUUGACAGAACACUAUCCGAAGUGAAGGAAGAUGAAGUGAAAAGAAUUAUAGGAGUGGCUCUUCUGUGUAGUCAAACGUCCCCCAAUUUGCGGCCUUCAAUGUCCCGUGUGGUGUCAAUGCUUUCCGGAGAUAUUGAGGUGCCCCCUGUCACUUCGAAGCCAGGAUACCUGACUGAUUGGAAAUUUAGAGAUGCAACAACCUUCAUGUCAAAUACGGAUAGUUCAACUUCAAGAACUGAUAUUAGUCAUGAUAAUUCGUCAAACAUAGGAAGCAGGGCAACAGAUCCAGCUUAUUCACCUAUCCUUGAUUCCAAACCGAUUCUUCAUGAGAUUAUUGGCGAGGCCAGGUGAUGAAUCGAAUUGUUCUAUCUUUAUUAGAGAGAGAUGACAUUGUGUGGUUUUUGUAUUCAUAGUUUAGUUUCUCCUUAUACUUUUUCAUUUGAGUAAUGUUAUUUAGCUCUUACUGGAGCUAUAACCACAGCCUAUGUGGCUUUAAUGUAAGUGAAAUUAAAUAAGUUAUUUAGCCGAUCACUUAACGUCACGUGGAUUAGAAUUAUAAUCUCAAUGAAGCUAAAUAUUAUUAUUCUAUUUAAUUAGAUUAUAUUGUUAAAAGAACAUUGUUCUAUAAAAUUGUUUGCAUUAAUGUUAUAAUUGUGACAUGCAAUAAAUUUUUCUUUUCGGUAAUUGCAUAAAAUAGAUUUGGAUUCAUUUCGUUAAUUGUGCCAUAGUUAAAAACUUAUGCAUGAGCUGGGACAAAAAAGCCAUUGCCAUAAAUUUUAAAUACUAGUUUUAAUUUUGUGCGCACGACUCUUCAAGUAGAGGUUGAUCAAUUGAGGGAAACUCGGGAGAAGAUUGAUCGAAAAGAAAUAUUAUUUGUUCACAUUUCAUAAUUGCGACGAAGGAUAUAAAAAAGAUUUUUUAUAAGCUUAGCCAAACAAUGCAAGUAAAAAAAUAUUUACUUUAUUUAAGAAAAAAAUUAAAUUAUUUGCAUCUAACUAACAAGUUAUAUAAAAGUAAGUCCCUUUCUGAUUUUUCAAGUUAAAAAAUCAAUUUUUUAAUCAAUACUUAAAAUGGUCGAUUGUCAUUUUUGACUUUUUCACCCACUGAAAGAAUUUAGGGUGUGUUUGAUUACAUUUAUUUUUCAUAAAAAAUAUCAAUUUUCCACCCAAAUUUCUCCUUGAAGUGUUUGAUUGUUAUUUUUUUCCAUGAAAAACAUUUUCCAACUUUUGAAAAUAUACCUAAUUUUCCUUGUUUUUAAGGAAAACAUUUUUCUUGGAUAGAGGUGAUUUUUAUUUUCCACAAAAGAUGAAAAAUAUUUUCUUUUUCAUGUCAAUCAAAUAUACUCUAAAUUUACUCUCUAAAUUGUUAAAAAAUUGAUUCUCAUAGCCCUAAACCUUAUUUCAUUAUCAUUAUCACCAAAUAAAAAAUGCCUUAGGAGGGAAAUCCCCAAUUUUGAAACCCAGACAAGACAACGCAACUUACGUAUCUUCCACCAAAUACCUCUGACGUUUCUUCGAUUCCUAAAAAUAUUAUUCCCAAAAUUCCCUUUCCAUUUCAUCACAUGUAUUAAUUAUAUCCCAUCGUCGUGAACUCCAUUGCCAUCCCUCAAUUCUCGAACCCUACGAAUUCAUCUUUUUUUUUUCUUAUCGAAAUUCAAUUUGUGUAAGCUAGGGAUUUGUCCUGUGCAAUGUCGCAGAGCAGCGGAGACAGCAGUCGGGCGGGGCCGGACUUCAAUUUACCUGACGAGAUAUUAUCGGUGAUGCCUACGGACCCGUACGACCAGUUGGAUCUGGCGCGUAAGAUCACGUCUAUGGCAAUCGCGUCGCGGGUAACGAAAUUGGAAUCGGAAACGGGGAUGCUCCGGCAAAAGCUCCAGGACAAGGACCGGGUUAUUGUGGAGCUGGAAGACAAGUUAUCGCAGCUUGAGCAGGCCGCUCAAGAAGCUGAAUUCCGACUGAGAAUCACUUGUGAAGAUAAUGUAAGUAUGUAUUUACAUUUUUGGAAAAAUUGAAUUCCAAUUUUAAUAAUUUGUGGGGUAUAUAUUUUAUAAUCGGGUUCUUUUAUUUAUGAGUUGUAGAUGAAGCUAGCAAAGGAGAGAGACUCUUUGGCUUUGACAGCGAAGAAGCUGGAUCGUGAUUUGGCUAAGGUAAUUUGGCCUAUUUGGAAUUUUUUGGUUGAUGUUGAAUUUUUACUUUUGGAGAAACGUAGUUUACUAUUAUCUAAAUAAAUUGAUUUUAUUUGAAGUUUUAAUCUCUGUCUCAAUCAUUGAUGCUUUCUGCAAUUAAGUUUUUGGUUCUUUAACUUUUCAAUAGCUAUAUGGAAAAUGAAGAUUGAAAGUUGUUGUUUUUGUAGUAAAGCAGGAUGUUAUUCGUUAUUGUUGAAGAUAUAGUUUUUAGGAAGGGGCACGUAUUGAAUUCAUUCUUAAAAAGGUUUUUUCCUUGCUAACAAUUAAUCAUUACAGAUUUUUUUUUUGUGUGCAUUUUUGCACGGAAUUCAUUAGAUUGUGUUCAAUCUUCCUUUAAAAGUAUACUUACCUGAAUAUGUAGUUGUUGAUGCCUUAACCGUGUGUUUUCUGCUUUUUUCUUAUGUAAGCUGUAGGAUACCAGUAUAUUGUGAUAUUGAAAACUUACCAACAAUGACAAACUGAUUUUAUAUUCACAAUAAAUUUGGUCCACUAUGUGCAUCCUUCAUCUCUACUUCAUUUGGCUUCAUUAUUAGAUCUACCUGAAGCACGCCAUGUUAGUUUUGUCAACCCUUUAUCUCUUGACAUGUUUUAUCAAGAUCAUGUAACUCUGAUGAACAGGCCGCGACAUCUUUAGUAUAUGUUCUAUCUUGUUGAACCACUUCAUCUAAAAGCUUAAGCUAUUAGGAACGGCUACAUGUAGAUCAUCAAAUCUUGUCUUCAACAUGCCAUGAAGUGAGUUAUUUUUCCACAAUUUCAUUUAAUGGGUGAUGGGAAAACUUGAACCUAAACCUUCGUAUGAUUUGAUACCACGUUAGUAUGGCCAUAUUUAUAUCAUUUAAAUCUUGUCUUUAACGCAUCUUUGUCAUCCUUCUUUUAAUUUAUCCUCAAUCUGCAACAAUUCCAGCUUUAGAUGUACAUUCUUGUAUCUUAUAAUAUAUUUUUUAGCAUGAAAAUUUAACCCUUGUCAAAAAUAUGUCUGUAAGUUCUUUUAUCUGAUUGUUUUCUAACUUUUGCUUUACAGUGUGUGGAUUUGAAUCGAUGAAUUUCACAUGAAGUUUGUUAAUCAGAAUCAUAAAAUUUUUGCUAGAUUGCUUGUCAGCCAAUACUCCAUUAUUGCAUAUUUUGGCAAUUUAAUUGUCAAUACUGUUCUUUUAUCCUCCCAAAUUAUUACAAUAAAAUGAAAUGGAUUAUUGUAUAUAGAGUUAUUGUGGUUUCAAUUGCAUCUUUGCUGCAUCAACAUCUGAUUUUUGUCCUUUGGAUUUUCAGUUUUAUGUACAUACUGGUUCAUAAUCUAAUUUUUGUUUUUUGACAGUUGGAGAAGUUCAAGAGACAGUUGAUGCAAUCACUAAAUGAUGAAAUUUCACCUGUAUGAUUCCCAGAUAAACUUGUGUCUAUUUUCUGUCCUGUUAACUUCAUUAAAUCUUCUCAGACAUGGCAAUUUUUGUCUUUUUGUGACCACUUUCUUUAUUGUGCACUAUGGUUACUUAAUUUUUGUCUCAUCAGCAGGCAGAAACUGUUGAUAUUGGCACUUAUGACCAAUCAGUUCCCAAUGGCCAUCCUGCAAAGGGUAAUUUUAAGUUUUAACAGCACUUUUGAGGUUAUUAUUUUUGUGGGAAACUUUCGGUGAUAUUUAAUGAACUUGUUUGAUAAUUCAUAAUUUUAUAUUUAUCUUGGGCUGAUAUUGCCAGCUAUCAGUUGUGUUGUGAUAGUAUAUUAUAAUUUUAUUGUAGAUGACGAGGCAAAUGGAUUCAGAAGAAACCAUUCUGUUACCGGUUCUAUAGAAAGUACAAACAUUACUGAUAAUGGUAUUUGCUUCUGCUUGGCGUUUAUGAAAUAUGAUAAGCAUCUGCAAUUCUGUUUCCCAGUAUGUGAUAUAAGCAAUAUUUUGUUUUUUGGGGUACUUCUGGUUUGCAGUCCCUAAGCAAGUUGGACAUAGAUUUAUAACACCAUCCCUUGCUCCAAAAGCAUAUUCUACUAGUGUGUCUCCAAGAAGAUACUCGACUGCUGGAUCACCUCACAAAACCUCUGGUACCACCUCUCCAACAACCACUCAAUAUGGACGUGGUUCUCUUUCUUCAUGGUACCCAUCGAGUCAGCAGUCCUCGGCUGCAAACUCUCCACCUCGUGGACGCAUGAUACCAGGUAUGAGUACUCAAGAUUUUUUAUUUAUUUUUAUUAGCAUAUAGAAGUUACUGGUUACUGCUAGCCAUUGUAAUUACUUUACUCUUGCAUUCUUGUACCAUCGAUGACUUCCUUCUGACUUGUCUAUAAUUUAUUUUCUGACAAUGGUUAGUUUAAUUCUAUAAGCCACCUCUAUUUUCUCUUUGCCCUAUCAGAUUUUUCAAACUCUAUACUCUUACCCUUGUUCUCCAGUAGAUAUGAUGUAUGAUUUGCGCAGGAAUACAGUGCUCGAUCAAAGAAAUGCCUGCUUGAGCAUCCAAUAUAAUUGGCAGAAAGCACAAUGUUUCAACCUUAUAUUGAUGUUUAUGUUCUAAUAAUUCGAUAAGCAGAUGUUGAUAAGUGAUGUUGGCCGAUUAAACAUACAUAUUAUGGAAGGGUAUUCCAUUCUCGCAAGAAAUUUCUGUUUCCUUAGAAAAUUAUCGUCAUAUUUAUGUGCGAAGAUUUUAUCAAUUUUCAUUAUAAAUUUCUGUUGGCUUUAGCUUCAGAUUUAAGGAGUCUAUGAAUAUGGUGCCAAAUUUAAUAACGAGGAAGGAUUGGAAAUUGUUUUCAUUUAUUUCCAGCCAGGUUAUACUUUAAGCCCUUGUUUGGUUUAGACAAAAAUCAGUUUUAGUAGAAUUUGAUAAAAGUUG
rnacentral:lncRNA from 1 species